CAGAAUGUCCAAAUCCCAGAGAAAUAGUUGACAACAAUGGUCGAAAUAUUGUUCACAUUGCCGCGAUAAUGGGACGGUUUAAUGUGGUAAGGUACAUCUUGCAAGAUGAAAAUGAUGGAUUUAAAGAUAUGAUAAAUGCCAAGGAUUACGAUGGAAACACUCCGUUGCAUUUGGCUGCCUCACACUCUCGUCCAAAAGUUGUGCAAGCCUUGACAUGCAUGGGACACAAGGGUGAAUCCUCAUUGCCUUAACAACAACAACCAAACAGCUCUCGAUGCCUUUGAGCAAUUUAAACAAGAAAAUAAUCCGCUCUUCCCCCAGGCAAGUAUAUAUAAAAUAUUGUGUUUGCUAAAAAAAAUCAAGAUUUAAUUAUGGUAUUUUAGUUUAUAGUGAUUGCUACUAAAAUAUAUGUUCAACUAGGUUCUUAAUUGAUAAAAAAUCCAUCUCAGAUGAUUAUGCUCAAGGAAGGUUUUUUGUUUUAUUUCUCAUUUACCCUCACUUUUUCUUUCUUUCUUAAUUUGUGGUAAAUUCCAUGCACAUAAAUUGUCUAAAAAUUGAGCAUCAUCAUCGGUGAUCUCCUUACACAUUUGGACUACUUAUUUUUCUACUUAUUUUUUUAUUGUUGUAUUGUUGAAUUUGUAACACAAACUUGUAUAUGCAGCGGCUAACAUGGUGCCAACUAAAAUCUGCUGGUGUACAAAAUGCUAAAAGUGGGUCACACUAUAUCGAGAUCCCUUCCCCUUGCAAACCAAAAGCCCAAAACACAGAUUUUUAUAAAGACAGAAUCAACACCCUUAUGUUGGUUUCAACCCUUAUAACUACAGUAACAUUUGCCACAGGUUUUACUUUGCCUGGUGGAAAUAAUAGUUCCACUCCAGGACAACAAGGCAUGGCUGUUAUGCUGAAUCAUGUGUGGUUUAAACCAUUUAUUUUUUGCAUAGCAUCCAUGUAUGGUGGCAUUAGUGUUACUAUUAUACUCAUUUGGGCUCAAUUGCAAGAUAUAACUUUGGCUCUUUUAGCCCUUAAUGUAGCAACACCCCUUUUAGGAGUCACUCUCGCAACCCUAUCAGUGGCAUUCUUGGCUGGUGUCCACCUCGUUAUAAGCGAUCUCAGUUGGUUGGCCACUACUGUUCUAAUUUUGUGUGUGAUCUUCAUUUUCCUUCUUUUGUUAGUGUACAUUCUUCUCUGGUUACCCUCACACUCAAGCAACAUAAUAAUGCGAUACAUUUCUUUCUAUCCUUUUCAGUUUCUCACAUGGUUAUUUGAAGGUAGGUAAAUACGAACACAUUCCUGAAGUCUCUACAUCUUUGUAGAUUUGUUUUCUUCUUUAUCCUUUUUGAUAUGGAGAUUGAACUUCGUUUUCAUGUGCAUCAUAGUUGGAGUUCUGCUUCUUAUAUAAUUGCAUUCUCCUACUCAUCAUUUUCAUGUGCAAAAUCAUUUGGCUUUGUGUGCUUUAAACUCCUUUAUCGUUGUUUUUAUAAUAAGUAUGUCAUAAUAAUACUCUUAAAGGAGUUUUAUAUGUACAUACAUCAUUAGAAAUAGAAAUAAACAAUAGUUUUGUUUAAAUAUUAAUAAAUAUUAAGUCUUGUAUGGUGAUGAUGUACAUUUUUUACCAAUUAAAAGGAUUUUUCUGUUCUGUUAGUCCCAAUAUUCUUAUGUUGUAGCAAGAAUGCUAAUUCUUCUUGUUCUAUAAAGUAUACUAGUAACAUGCUUAUGCUGCAAUGCCAUGCUUAUUUUUUUUUGUUGGUGUGAUGAAACUCAAUCAUAUGAUUCAUUUUUCUAUGAAUGAUUUUCUUUAUGUUUUCAAAAUGAAGGACAUGAAUUUCAUUAGUUAUUAUAGUUGGAUAACUCUGUUCUUAUUCUUUAGUAUUUGUUUUUAUUGAUUAUAUGUGCUAACUUUUUUCAGAUGAGAUGAAAGGCCAAGAGUUUGGUGCAUGAGUUUGAACUAUGAGUUUUGGGCAUGAGUUUGGGCUAUGAGUUUGGUGCAUGUUAAUUAGCGUGUUUGAUUUGUUAUCCGAUAGUAUGAUAUUAACAAAAUUUAAAGGACCUAAUAACACACUCAUUUGUUGUGGUAUUUUAUCUAAGUUAUUUGAUGUCAUCUAGAUAUUAUUAUAUGUGUUUGUAAGGCCAACAUAUUUUGAAGGAACACAUGUAGUUUUACAUAAAUGGUUGAUCAUCUUUAUACGUGUAAGAUUCUAUAUUAGUUUGCUAUGUAUGCAUUUAUUUGGAUAACUUUUUAGAAGAUGUAUACUUCUCUUAAGGGUGUACCUUUCUUAUGUUCGUUCAGUCUAAUUGGUACUACAUGUUAUUAGAAAAUUUUCAAAGCAAAUUAAAUUAACAAUUUUUCAUUGCUUUCACGGUUACUUACUUGCUUAUUUUUUUUAUUAGAAGAUAAUUAAUUAAUUAAUUAGAACACUUCAGAAAUAUCUCAAUUCUUAUAAAAAAAACUUACUACUCAACCAUCUUAUUUACAAGUCCGUAAACAUAAACAAUACAAUCUUCACCAACAAACAAAUAUCAUAUCAUUUUGAAGUUUAUGCUACCCGAAGAAUUAUGCAUUAAAUUCUGCAUUUAAGUUCUGCAUAGUAAUAGAACAGUAGGACUUCAUGAAGUUGGCCCUUGGUGGUUUGGCAUAGUUGCUUACAGAAAGAAACUGUUUUUGCCUAAUUCCAGCUUCACAUAUUGCUAUGCCGCAUAUUUGAUGGGAAAUUUCAUCAUUCUAAAAUAUCUAAAUUUAUUGAAUUUUAAAUUCAUGUUAUUUUAAAUUAUUUUCUAAUUAGAUCCACCAGACGAGAAACUCCAGUCGUCGAAAGAUAGUAUGAAUGUGAAAAGUACAUUAAUAAUAUCUUAACUUAUAUAUAAUUUCUUAUUUUUUUAAAAUAUUUUAUUUUAAUAAGAUAAAUUAAUUUUUUUAAAUUUAAUUUAUUUAUUUGGAUAAAGUAUAUUAAAUAGUAAAUAAUUUAAUAAUUCAAAAAUAGCAACAAGAUUUUAGCUAUCAAUUUCUUUAAAUUCUAAAGUUAGUAAUAAAAUCUUUGUAGUUAAUUAAGUACUUAGUAACUAAUUUAUAAAUUUUAUUAGUAAUAUAAAUUAUUUUAAAUACCAAUAAUUUUUUAAUUUUUAAAAUAAUAUUUAAUUUAAUCAGUGAUUAAUUAUUUUUUUUUUAUAAUUUUUUUUUAUUUAAUGUUUGUAUUGUAUUGAAACCUUUUGAGAAUUACCAAACAACUACUUAGUGAUCUAUGCAUGAAUUAUAUUAUAAGAAGAAAAUAAUAAUAAUUUAUAACUAUAAAACUCUUUAACAAUUUGUUUCCAUCAAAAUAUUAAAGUCAUUUAAUAAAUUUUAAAUUAAAUAAAUAAAGUAUUUUUAUUUUCUUUAAUUUUUUUCUUUAAAUGCAUUAAACUGAAUUAUUCAACAAAGCAAAUUGAAUCGGUCAAAAUAAAUUUUAUGUUUAAUUUUGAAGAAAGUGUUUAAUUCUUUGGAUAUAAAGUAACAUAGAAGUCAAGUAAAUUUUACAAGAUAGUUUAGAAUUCAUGCACUUUCUUUUAAAGAUCAAAAUAAGUAAUGUUUUUUUUAAGAAAACAAUCUAUUAAAAGUAAGUUUACAAUUACAAAAUACAAUUGAGUACUAUUUGGUUAAGUUAUUCUUGAUUAACACUAAGUAUUUUUUACCACUACAAGAAACAGUAUAUAUAGCGUCCGUCAAAUAUGGACUCAAAUGUUGGAUUUUGGACGGUAAAUGUUUUUAGCGUGGGCAUAGCUUGGGUGGGUGAGGGAAAGCUAAAAGGUUGGACGCUAAUCUUUAUGCGUGGGGUUGCAACUACUGGUGUAGGCUUAACCAUCUCUAGUUUGAAGCUAGUAGAGACAACCUAACUCUCAUUGUUAGAGUAAGGUUUAGGGUCAUUCUCUUCGUCGCUAAGAGCAAGCUUCCUCCUAAAAUUCAAAGGGACAAACCCUCACUUAGUCUAACCUAGAGAGGGUUAGACCCUUACUAAAUCACAACCCAUUAUGAACAUGCAUGGGUUAAGUCCUAGCUAUAGCUCAUUAUGACUUAGAGAGGGCUAAACCCUAGCUAUGGUAAAAGUGGACUUGGUGAGGGAUUAACCCUCACUCCCAUGCAUAUCAUAAAAAAAAGAGUUGAAGUCUCACUACAAGAAAAACUUGGAAUUACAUACAACCAAAAUCCCAAGUCCUUUUAGUGACCAAAAAUACAUUAACCACUAGAUCAGACAAGUUCUUUAGUCAUAUUAUCAUUUUUAUUAUACUUAUUAUUAUUAAUAUAAUUUAUACAUAUUAAUAAUAAUAAUAAUAAUAAUAAUAAUAAUAUAAAUUAUAUUCAUAUUAUUAAUAUUAUAUUCAUAUUAUUAAUACUAUAUUCAUACUAUUAAUAUUAUUCAUACUAUUAAUAUUAUUCAUAUUAUUCAUAUUAUUAAUAUUAUUCAUAUUAUUAUUAUUAAUAAUAAUAAUAAUAAUAAGUAUAAUAAAAAUCAUAAUAAUAUUAAAGAAUUUGUUUGGGAUAGUGGUUAAAUUUUCUUUGGUCACUGAAGGAACAUGGUGAUCAUCAAAGUUUUCGGCAUAGUGGGGGUGGACCUGACUAGUACUUGUUGAAGUGUUUGCAACAUGUUUUUCCAUCAUCAUAGCUAAUUGUUGUUGCAUCAACCUCACUAUGUUCUCUAAUUGUGCACUCCUCUUAUCAGCCAUGUCUGCUUUUGCAUUUGCUUCUAAGAUUUGUUGUUUAAGUUGUGCAUUCUUAGCUAGUUGAUCAUCAUUAUCAAUACUAGAAGCUAAUAUAGAGGGUUGAGUGAGGGAUGCGGCACCAUGGCGGAAGUUAGCAGCCAAAUCCCCAGUGCCAUAAACUCUACCUCUACUCCUCCCUCCAUCAACAUCUUUCCACCACUGAAGCUUUAUUUUUGCAUCAAUGGGAGAGAUACCAGGAGUUGAUCCUUUUGAACUCCCUGAUCACAUCAUCCUCAACCGCUCAUGAUAGGUUUCCUAAGAGUAAAGGAAAUAACAAAUGUUAGUAAUUUAUAUUUAAAAAAUGAAUGAAGUAUUAAAUUUAAAACAAAAUAAUUACUUACAUAAGUCUCUCGGGAACGACCAUCUACCCAAUCACCCUUCUUGUUUGUGUGAGUGUCGAGGAAUAAUUCAUCUGGUUCAAUUGAUCGUCCAUAUUUACGUUCCUGAGAAAGAUAUUAUGGGUACAAAGAAUUUAUGUCUUAUACAUCUGAACUGAAUUACAUAUAAUUUCUAACACAUAGGGAAUGAGUAAUAUUUACCAGGCCUAAUGCAAUAUCCAAGUGUGAUUUUUGGCCACUUGAAUGCAAUGCUCCACCUUUAACUGAAGAUCGAUUGAUUUUUUUCUGGGAUGAUUUGUCUUUGAACUUUUGGGUAUCCUAAUAGUUCAAAAGUUCACCUUAUGCUUCUUCUCCUAUCGAAGUAGGUCUAGAGCCCUUUGCGCAAGCUUUACUAAGCAUGUCACAUAGGCGUUUCCUGACUUUUGACUCGUAAAUCUUUAUAAUUUGUUGUGUUCAUGACUUUAAAAGGAACUAUAAAAAUUAUACAUCACCAUAUAAUAGAUUAUAGUCAACAUAUAUUUCUUUAUUUCAUUGUAUUUAUUGUAUAUAACAAAAAAAGUGAUAAUGAUUUGAUAAAAUUACAAAGUGGACUUUAAGCCUAACUCAACCCCAUAAAAUCGGCUACUGUAUUGAUUUUCAUGAUGUUCAUGGGUGUUAUGGAGUUGGGUUUGGAGGUUAACUAAUUUUUCUAGAAUGGACUGUAAAGUUUCAUCUAGGUCUUUGUUUGGUUUAGGAACCAUGACAACUCUCAAUGAAAGCACCAAUUGAUACGCGGUUGCUUAAAAACCAAAAAAGAGAAGACGAUUGAACACCUGGGCGAUGGACAGGGAUGAAGACUCCCUGGAAAACAACUAUUAAAAUUUAAAACAAAAAACUCCUUGUCCUUUUCUUUUAUCAAUGGUCUUAUAAAGACCAUUUCUGGUAGACAGCUGGCCUAAGCUAACAGAAUUCCAAAACAACAAAAUCUUUUCAGAUCCUCACAACCAGACAAAAACAUAAAUAACCCUAGAUGAUGGGCUGCUUCUUCCUGCACCUCCAUACCUUCUUGUGCCACCCCCAUAUAUUUUUUAUAUUCCAAAAAUACCCUUUAUUAAUAUUCCGGAUUACAUAAUCCAGAAGUUUUUUUCUAGAUCCAGAAUUAUCUUCUGGAUUAUGUAAUCCGGAAGCCUUUUGUGAUUAGCUUCCGGAUUACAUAGUCCGGAAGUCUUUUCUAUACAUAAAAUUAGCUUUCGGAUUAUGUAAUCCGGAAGCCUUUUUUUUCAGAGGAGUGAUUAGCUUCUGGAUUACAUAAUCCGGAAGUCUUCUCUAAAUAUGAGAUUGACUUCCGGAUUAUGUAAUCCAGAAUAUAUCCGGAUUACAUAAUCCAUAGGCUUAUUUCAAAUGCAAAAAAGAGUUCCGGAUUUUAUAAAUCUCAAGAACACUUCCGGAUUUAAAAACAACUUCUGGAUUAUGUAUGGAGGUGGCACAAAAAAGGAGAGAACCGAAUUUUUACAUUUAGUAUGGGGGUGGCAGAAGAAGGUAUGGAGGUGUAGGAAGAAAGAGUCUAGAUGAUGAAAUCUUUUAACCAUGUGGGCUUGGAUAUCUUUCUAAUGGGCCUCUGUGGUAUAAGGCCACUACCAAUUGCUGUCCCCUGAAGAUCAACCUUGUCCUCAAGGUUGUUGGACGUGGGUUUAUGGCAGGCAUUUGGAAGAAGUUGUGGGUCCGUGAAGGGUUCCUUGAGUGUAGAGUGGGGAGGUGUGGUUAUUGAUAAGUGUCUAAUUUCAGUAAUAUUUCAUAUUAAAAAUAUAGGCACUUAUGAGGAUUUAUUGCUAAUUUACAUAUAAAAUAAUCCCUAAUUUAUGAAUUCAUACCUUUUUACAUUUUUUAUGAUCUUUAUUUGAAUAAGAGUAUUUUAUUCCCAAAUUUGGUGUUAAUUGCAGAUUUCUAAGGAAGAUUGGAGAUUUGGAUUAAAGAUGAAUGAUUUGAGCUAAAAAGAUAAAGAUAGAAGGUCCCAGAAUGGAAAAGAUGCAAAGAAAGAUUGGGCCUUUUUUAUGUUUUAUCAUUUAGCCCAUUAGCGCGACAUAGGAAACAAGCUAACCCUAGAAAACUAGGAUAAAUAGAGGGCCAGAGGCUCAACCUUAGUGUGCCAGAUUGAGAGGAAAACACCAUAGAGUGAAUUGUAACCCAAUUGGGAGAAUAGAAGGUGCUAGAAGUAUGCGUGGCUAGUUCUACCCUUUGGGGUUGGGAGUAAUCUGCUCAAACUCUUAUGUAUUGAGGUGAUAUUUUAUAUAUUAAUAUUCAGUUCUUGAUUGAUUAUUGGUAUUGUUGUUUUACUUUUAAUUUUCCGUGACAAAUUGAGAAUCUUAAAUCUGACCGGGAGGUAUUUUUAGGGUUCGGACCUAAACAACAAUACUUAACAUAUUUGAGUGCUAGGAAUAGACUUGAAAUGUUAAUUGCUAUUAAACGUUUGAGCUUCGUUCUAAGUUGUUCUUAUAAUUAUGCGAGGGAUCGAUAGUUAGGGGACAUUCUUAAGGAUUUUAUAUGCGAGGAAUCGAUAUAAAUGAUUUUUAUACGGGCAUCAAUUUCAAUCAAAGAACUUAAUAUUGACAUGCUAAUCAAAAUACUUGAGAGUGAGAGAGAUGAAACUAAUCCUUAUUUUUCCAAUUGAAACAACUAAUUCUUUGUUUGUUUUCUUAUUGAUCAGUGCCAACACAAUUAAUUCAAAACUCUUUUAAUUGUUCUGUUUUUAUAUUUAGCGAUUAUUGUACUCGAUAAUUCACUGUUCCUUGUGGGAUCGAUAUCCGUCCUUAGGGACAAUUAUUACUUUUGACAAACGCGGUGCACUUGCCGUAAAAAGUCAUCAGUUAUCAAAGGGCUAGGAUUGGAUAAGAAACUGUGGUCGGGUGGUGAAUUUGGUUGGGCCGUGAGUGAGGAAUUCGGAGCGGAUGUUGGGAUUGAAUGUUGUUGGGCCGAGUAAGGUGUAUUAGUGGAGGGAGCGUGUGUGGUUGGUGAGGCGGAAGUUGGUUUUGGUGUGGGCUGGAUGAUGUGAAUGUAACUACAAGAACACAUGAUUCUUGACAUUCUUAGGAACAACUUGAGCUGGAUUUGAAAGGCACUUUACUUUAGAAUUGGAUCAAUGUUCUAAAUUCAAGAACUCACCAAAACUAAGCACCGACCAAGACUCAUAUUGAAGUCCAUGUAUUGUCAAAUUGAAUCAAAACAAAAGGAAAGAAGAACAAGAAUUAAAACUGGACAGAAUUAAGAAACUAGCUACUGAACCGAAAAAGAAACAAAGCACAAAGCUGGAAAACAGAAUGUAAAUGGUAGAAAAUGAAGGAAACACAUUAGGAAAUGAAACUACCGAAUGGAAAAUUGAAGAAAGGAAAGAAGACACUUAUAUGAAGAUGCUUGCUGGAUUUUGAGGAUUGGAAGAAGCCAUUCACGCCACUUGGAACCUUGAACCAAGAUAAGUGAUGGAGUGCCANNNNNNNNNNNNNNNNNNNNNNNNNNNNNNNNNNNNNNNNNNNNNNNNNNNNNNNNNNNNNNNNNNNNNNNNNNNNNNNNNNNNNNNNNNNNNNNNNNNNNNNNNNNNNNNNNNNNNNNNNNNNNNNNNNNNNNNNNNNNNNNNNNNNNNNNNNNNNNNNNNNNNNNNNNNNNNNNNNNNNNNNNNNNNNNNNNNNNNNNNNNNNNNNNNNNNNNNNNNNNNNNNNNNNNNNNNNNNNNNNNNNNNNNNNNNNNNNNNNNNNNNNNNNNNNNNNNNNAAAAGAGGUGUCUCAUGUUUCCCUCUAAGCACCUUUCUAAACAUUAUUCUAUAUUAUUUACAAUUUAAAAGAAACUAUAAAGAGAGAUAUUUAAUAUGAAGCCUAUUAUUUGAGAGUUUGUAGACUUCUUUAUCUUUAGGCUUGAUCUUCUCUUUGACUUCUUUUAAUUUGUGAGAAGACUAGAAGGAAGAACUUCAAAUGUGUAGGUGAAAAUCCUCUUCCUUCAUUAAUAAAAUCCUCUCCUAGUGGAUAUCCAUCACGGGACUGGUUUGUUUGAGUGGGUUAGGCUUGCAUUAGGGUGGGUUUGGAGUGUUGGAAAGGGAAAAUGGGUGACCGUUGUAGCAUUAAUGCCAUAUGGGUAGGUAUUAAUGGGGUGGUUGGCUGAUGGGCUUAUAGCUUUAGUGGAGUGUGGGUGGAUUUUAAUGUUCUUCUCUGCUGCAUUUAUGAUAUCAGAGGCACGUGGGUGGGUUAGUUGAGAUGUGAAAGGUUGUGCGAGGUGGACACGUGUCGCUGGGAGAGGAAUAUGGCUGUUGUUAGGUGAAGAAUCCGUGUGAGGGAGUGAAGUGUUAGAAGGGUUUAAGUUGUUUUGUCAGAGUUCAGAGUUGAGUUCUGAAUCGUCUUGAGUGUCAGUAGGUGAGGAAAAAUUGGGAGGGUUGGCACUCGGGUGGUGGGAGGUGGUAUUUUUGUUGCCUGUGGUAAGGUUUAAGUAGCACGAUGUGGAAGACCGGGUGGAUUUUAGAUGAGGGAGGGAGGUCGAUUUCGUAAGCCACUUCUCCUAUACGUUUGGUGAUGCGGUAUGGACCAUAGUAUUUUCGAGUGAGUUUGUGGUGAGGCUCGGAAGAGAGGGACCAUUGUCGGUAAGCUUGGCGUCGCAACAACACCCAAUCAUUAACGUUGAAGAUGUGAUGGCGCCGUGAUUUGUUUGCGAUCUGAGCCAUGCGACGUUGAGUUAGAGCAAGGGUGGUCUUCAACCGGUGCAUUAUCUGUGUGCGUUCUUCUAAGGUGGUGGCAAGAGCUGGUUCAGUUGUUGUGCCCGGAACGUAAUCUGGUAUGGAAGGUGGAGGUCGCCCAUACAGUGCUUGGAAAGGAGUGGUAUUGAUGGCGGUGUGGUAGGAAGAAUUAUACCAAAACUCAACAAGGUGUAAGUACUUGUACCAUGUCCUCGGAUGGUCACUUGCGAAACAACGCAGGUAAAUUUCUAAUCCUCUGUUUAUGACUUCUGUUUGCCCAUCUGUUUGGGGAUGAUAGGCGGUGCUAAAUUUCAGUUUGGUGCCUUGUACGUGAAAAAGUUGCUUCCAAAAAUUGCUGAGAAAGAGUGGGUCUCUGUCGGAGAUGAUGGAUUUGGGAACGCCAUGCAACCUGCAAAUCUCAACAGAAAAACGGUUAGCUAAUUGGGUUGCGGUGAAGGAGGUGGGUAGUGCUAUGAAGUGGGCAGAUUUGGAUAAACGGUCACAUACAACCCAUAUGACCGUGUGGCCAAAAGAUGAAGGUAAUUGUGUUAUGAAAUCUGUGGUGAGCUCAUCCCAAAUUUGGGUGGGUGGGGGGAUGGGUUGUAAAAGGCCUAAGGGUUUGGUGUUGAUUGGUUUAUUUUGUUGGCAAGGGAGGCAUUGUUUGAUGAAAGAUUUAGCAUCUCUAUACAUUCCAAGCCAGUAGAAGGAUGCGGCUAGGCGAGCCAUGGUGGCUUUAAGGCCCGAAUGUCCAAAAGAAGGUGUGGCAUGGAACUCGUGAAGCACGGUGGUCCGCAGAGAUCCCAAGGCUGGCAAAUAAGGUCUUCGGCCGUGAUACAAAAGGUGGUUUUGAAAGGUAUAGUCUCUGUUUUGAGUAGUUGUGACUUUCUGAACUUCUUGUUUCCCAGAUUCUGAUUGGUAAUAUGUUUUUAAUUGCAUGAGGAUUUAUGGGAUUGGGGAAGAGAUGGCCAAAAAAACAGAAGUGGGUGGCUGAGAUAGGAAAUCAGUUGCUUGAUUGUGGCGGCCUGGGCGGUACAGUAUCUCAAAACUAUACCCAAUGAGUUUGGUGGCCCAUUUUUGCUGCUCUGGUGUAGAACAUGCCUUGGUAAGUAACCCCUUAAGACUUUGUUGAUCUGUGAUAAUUUGAAAAUGAGUACCAAUUAGGUAGUGUCUCCAUUUUUUUACUGCUUCAGUGAUUGCAAGCAUUUCUUUGACAUACACUGAACUAUUCUGCAUUUUGGGACAGAGCUUCUUGCUGAAGAAAGCAAUGGGAUGUCCAACUUGGGAAAGAACCGCGCCUAUGGCAGAAUUGGAGGCAUCCGUUUCAACCACAAACUGAAGAGAGAAAUCUGGAAGAUGCAGUACAAGAGGUGUAGUUAGGAAUUUCUUAAAUUGUAAAAAGGCCUUUUGUGCCUCUUCAUUCCAUGUAAAAACUCUGAAUUUUAGUAAAUCCGUGAGUGGAGUGGCAAGAGUGGCAUAACCGCGUAUAAAUUUGCGAUAAAACUCGGUAAUUCCUAAAAAAGCUCGGAGAGUGGUGAGGGAGGUGGGUUUGGGCCAAAGCAGGAUGGCCUGGAUUUUGUCUGGGUCAGGGGCCACAGUCCCUCCUUGAAUGAUAUGGCCCAAAUAGGAAACCCUAGGUGUUGCAAACAUGCACUUGGAUUCUUUGACAAAAAAUUGGUUGUCUUGAAAUAAUUGGAGAAUAAUGGUGAGGUGUUGGAUAUGUUCGGGCAUGAAUUUUUACUGUAAAUCAGAAUGUCAUCAAAGAAAACUAGCUCAAAUUGCCUUAGAUGUGGUCUUAAGAGGUCAUUCAUGGCCGCUUGAAAGGUAGAAGGGGCAUUAGAAAGCCCAAACGGCAUAACUAGAAACUCAUAAUGACCAUCGAAGGUUCAAAAAGCAUUUUUAUGGCAAUCAGUGGAGUGUACUUGGAUCUGGUGAUAUCCAGACCUUAAAUCCAACUUAGUUAACACUCUGGCUUCUCUUAGCUCAUCCAGUAAUUCAUCAAUAGUUGGAAUGGGAAAUCUAUCUUUCACUGUAAUAGCAUUCAAAGCCCUGUAAUCAACACAAAAUCUCCACGACCCAUCUUUUUUUUUAUAAGGAUAACCGGUGAAGAGAAAGGGCUAUUGCUUGGGCGAAUAAGCCCUUCUUCUAGCAUUUCUUGGAUGAGUGAAGUCAUGGUAUGUUUAUGGGCAUGUGGGUAACGGUAGGGCUUGAUAUUUACUGGUGGAGAAUUUGGUAGUAGGGGUAUUCGGUGGUUGUGUGGGCGGUCUGGGGGUAGGCCGUGGGGAGUGGAAAAAACUGAUUGGUAAGUGUGAAGGAGGUUGGUAACGUGAGGGUUGAUACUAGAUGGUGGUGGAGCAUGGGAAGGGGGGUCCGGUUGGAAGACUAAGAGAUGAAAAGAUGAUACGGACUUGGUGUGUAAUAGGUGACAAAUGUUGGUGGCCGAAACAUGGUUAUUUAAAAGCUUAGUGGUACCUCGUAGAGUGAUGGGGAGGCCAUUGUGGGUGAAAGAGAGUUGAGGUGUGGAGAAAUCUGCUUGUAUGGGUCCCAGAGAACGUAACCAGUCCACGUCAAGGACUACAUCAACACCUUCAAUAGGGAUUAAGUAGAAAGGUAUGGAGAAACAAUGUUGUUGAAUGGAAACGGUGAUGUUGGGGCAUAUAGAUGAGCAAUGUAUUUUCUCACCAUUGCCAACCAUUAUGGAGAAGGGUGUGAUUGGGAGAGUAUAAAGGUUAAGAAACAAGGCAAGGCGAGGUUGGAGGAUAUUAUGAGAGCUGCCUGUGUCGAUUAAGAUAGUGACUGGAAGACUGGCAAUGUGGCCUUGGAACUUAAAUGUGUGUGUUGAAGGUGUACCUGAUAAUGCUUGAAGAGAUAGGUGGAUGUGAGAGGCGUCCAUGGUUACUUGGUCAUUAUCUAAGGUGGAAAGGGUAUCGGGUGGUGUAUCUGAUGGGCCUUCAUCUCCCAGCAACAACAAAAAACAUUUGGUUGCACAUUUGUGACCAGGAAAAAACUUUUCAUCACAAUUGUAACACAGUCCCGCUGCUCUUCUCUCUUGAAGUUGGGCUGAAGUAAGUUUUUUUAUAGGUAGAGGUGAUGAUGUGGAUGGUGUAGCUGGUUGAAGAAAAGGGGGUCGGGGUGGGGGUAACAAGUGUUGUGAUGGCUGAGGCAGAAUGGUUGAGGAGCGUAUAAAAUGCUUGGUGUCAUUAUUCUUGGAUUCCAAGAGUUUGGCAAGACCCAUGGCUUGGGUGAUGGAAGUAGGUUGGAGCACCGCUAUCUCACGUCUGAUUUCUGGAAUAAGGCCUGAGAUGAAACAGUUUAGGAUCAUUUCUGGAGUGAGACCUAAAACCCGAUUGCAUAGCUUUUCAAAUGUUCUCUGGUACUCAGUAACAGUGCCAUUUUGACGUAAUUUGAACAGUUCUGCUUGAUGAUUAGCAUAAGUGGAGGGCCCAAAACGUAGUUCUAGUGCACGGCCGAAGGAAAUCCAAUCACUGAGUUGGUGAUUUUGAUACAUCCACUUGAACCAACUUAAAGCAUCACCACGCAUAUAAAAAGUCGCCAUGUUUAAGCGAGACUCCCAAGCUAUGUUAUAAAAUUGGAAAAACUGAUCAGCUUGAAAGAGCCAAUCCAGGGGAUCUGAGCCAUCAAAAAAUGAGAGUUGUAAUUUGGGUGGUCUAGGCAUGGUUGGGAGCAGAGGGGGAGAAGAAUGUGGUGGGGGAAAGAUGGUUGGAGUGGUAGAUGUGGUAACGUUAGAGCCUGAUGGUGGGAUAGGUGAUGUCGUCUCUACAGGAAAAGGUAUAGGAGGGUUUGGAGCUUGGUCAUUGUGUUGAAAAAGAGUUGUAGGUAUGGCAGUUAAGAGGGUGUUGAUGGUGUGGGUGAGAGUUUCAUGUUUUGUUUCCAAAGCUAUUUGGCGGUUUUCUAAGGAUUGAUGGAGGCUAUUGUAUUGAUUUUCAUGAUGUUCAUGGGUGUUAUGGAGUUGGGUUUGGAGGUUAACUAAUUUUUCUAGAAUGGACUGUAAAGUUUCAUCUAGGUCUUUGUUUGGUUUAGGAACCAUGGCAACUCUCAAUGAAAGCACCAAUUGAUACGCGGUUGCUUAAAAACCAAAAAAGAGAAGACGAUUGAACACCUGGGUGAUGGACAGGGAUGAAGACUCCCUGGAAAACAACUAUUAAAAUUUAAAACAAAAAACUCCUUGUCCUUUUCUUUUAUCAAUGGUCUUAUAAAGACCAUUUCUGGUAGACAGCUGGCCUAAGCUAACAGAAUUCCAAAACAACAAAAUCUUUUCAGAUCCUCACAACCAGACAAAAACAUAAAUAACCCUAGAUGAUGAAAUCUUUUAACCAUGUGGGCUUGGAUAUCUUUCCAGCAAGGUACAACUUAGACUAGAACAAUAGACACCAUUGCCUAUGCUCCCCCUUAGUCCUGCACUUUGGCAGCUGCUAAACAACACCUAAGCCACAAAGAACAACAAAAAAACAUGAAAACUGCAGCAGCAAAACUGGCUGGAAGAGAAACAAGCUCCCAAAAACAACCCAAAGAAAGAACAGAUGCUCCAAAAGCCUCCUUAAAAAAAACUUUGCGCAGCUCACACCAGUUGGCACUCCAAAUCAUAUAGAUCCCAUUCUGCAUAUAAGCAUUGUUGUUUUGACAGCAAGGACUCAACAAAAUAAGCAAGGCAACUGUUGGAAAUUCUGUUUUUUUAACUGUAUGUUAUUCUGUUUUAAUUCUGUUUUAAUUGUUGAUUUAAUAUUUCUAUGUAACUACUCAUAAAAUUUGUUAAGAGUUUGUUACUGCAGUUAUUUUAAAUGUAAUUGUUAGCAAAGAUAAUAAAAUAUCUUCCUCUGAAAUAUUCUAAAAAACCAACAAUUGGUAUCAGAGCUAUCUUCUUGAGGGAUCUGUGAGGUUAGUAGAGUGCAUCAAUGGAAGGAGGUUUCAAUUUUUCAGCUAUGGCACCACCUGUCUUUGAUGGAGACAAUUAUCAAAUGUGGGCUGUUCGUAUGGAGACCUACCUAGAAGCAUUGGAUUUAUGGGAAGCUGUAAAAGAGGAAAUUCAGUCCCUUCCAGAAAACCCUACUGUGGCACAAAUAAAAUCACAUAAGGAAAAGAAGAUGAAAAGAUCAAAGGCAAAAACAUGUCUAUUUGCAGUUGUAUCUCCUAUGGUAUUCACAAGGAUAAUGUCCUUGAAGUCAACAAAAGAAAUCUGGGAUUACCUCAAGGCAGAAUAUGAAGGUGAUGAGAGGAUUCGUGGAAUGCAAGUGCUGAAUCUAAUCAGGGAGUUUGAAUUGCAGAGAAUGGAGGAGUCAGAAUCUGUAAAAGAGUACUCUGACAGACUUCUAAGCAUUGCCAGCAAAGUGAGGUUGCUUGGAUCUGUGUUAAAAGAUUCAAGAAUUGUGGAAAAACUGCUUGUAACUUUUCCAGAGAGGUUUGAAGCCACCAUAACAACCCUAGAGAACACAAAGGACCUAUCGAAAAUUUCUCUUGCAGAGCUCUUAAAUGCUUUACAAGCACAAGAACAAAGAAGAGCCAUGAGACAAGAUAGAGCAAUAGAAGGAGCCUUAAUAGCCAAUCAUAAAGGUGGCUGGAGAAACCAAGGUAGCCAGAUCAAGCAGAACCAACAAGAAAAUGGAGAAGUUGUUGCACAUAAUAACCACAAAAGGAGAAAUUACCCUCCUUGUAAGCAUUGCAACAAGUUAGGUCAUCCACCGUUUAAGUGUUGGAGAAGACCUGAUGCUAAGUGCAACAAGUGCAAUCAACCUAGGCAUGAAGCAGUCAUUUGUAGAAACCAAAGUGAGCAACAAGAGGUAAACCAAAGUGAGCAACAAGAUGUAAAUGCUCAAUUUGCAAAUGAGGAGGAGGAUGUACUUUUCGUUGCAACUGGUUUCGCCAACAAUAUUUCAAGUGCAUCUUGGCUAAUUGAUAGUGGAUGCACAAAUCACAUGACUUAUGACAAAAAACUUUUCAAGGAGUUGAAGCCUUCAAAAAUCACAAAGGUCAAGAUAGGCCAUGGGGGUCACAUUUCAGUAAAAGGAAUAGGAACCAUUGCUGUAGCAACACAUUCAGGUACUAAAACUAUUACUGAUGUGUUAUAUGUACCUAACAUAGACCAAAAUUUAUUGAGUGUUGGUCAGUUGCUACAAAAAGGCUUCAAGGUGUUUUUAGAAGCUGUUUGAUCAAGGAUGCUAUAGGACAAGAUUUGUUCAAGGUACAAGUGAGAGGCAAAAGUUUCUCAUUAGAUCUAUUUCAGGAGGAGCCGUCUAAUCAAGGACUUCUCAAGAUGCAAAAAUCUGAAAUAGAAGACGAUCCACCAAUUAAAGGCAAUCGAUUACUCUCUAACAUAUAUCAUAGAUGUAACGUUGCAAUAUGUGAACCUGUGGAUCACAAAGAAGCUGCGGAUCACAAAGAACCUGUUGAUCACAAAGAAGUUAUCAAUGACCCAAAGGCAGAAAAGGCAAUGGAGGAAGAGGUAUAUAUGAUUGAGAAGAACAAAACUCGGGAGCUUGUUGACAUACCUCGAGAUAGAAAGGUACAUCAAAUGGAUGUCAAGUCAACAUUCCUAAAUGAAUUUCUUAAAGAGAAAAUUUUUGUUGAGCAACCUAAAGCUUUCAUUGUGGAAGGAAAAGAAGACAAAGUUUAUAAGUUGUCUAAAGUUAUUUAUGGCUUAAAAGAUGUUCCCAGAACAUGGCAUAACCGAAUUGAUGAUUAUCUUAUCAGCUUAGGCUUUGACAAAAGUCUUUUAGAAUCUGCACCUUAUGUCAAAUCAAAAGGUGUUGAAUGGAGAUUAUGCAAAGCGAGGAUGAAAAAAAUAAAAAUUGCAGAUUUGUUUACCAAGCCACUUCCAGCCAACAAGUUUGAGUUCUCAAGACAGAAGAUUGGAAUUUGCAGUUCAAAAAAUCAAGGAGGAGUGUUGGAAAUUCUGUUUUUUUAACUGUUUGUUAUUCUGUUUUAAUUCUGUUUUAAUUGUUGAUUUAAUAUUUCUAUGUAACUACUCAUAAAAUUUGUUAAGAGUUUGUUACUGCAGUUACUAUAAAUGUAAUUGUUAGAAAAGAUAAUAAAAUAUCUUCCUCUGAAAUAUUCUAAAAAACCAACAGCAACCAAGGCAGAGUUGGCAUGGGCUUGACCUGCAGUGUCUACUACUACACCCUGCAUCAUCCAUACUUGUACCACUAGAGAACCUUUUAUUUAACCAACCACUUAGAAACCUUCCAAAAGCAACAACAUCCUACAAAACCCUUACCAAUUACCUACAAAAUUUUAAUACAGUGUGGUUUAAAUUCUAUAAAGCAAGAAAUUACGCAGAUUAGUUACACAAAUCUCCUUGUAAAACCAGUGAGGAAGUGCCAAACACCUAGCUUCUAUCUACUUAAGUUCCAUUUUGCUUAAAGAUUCAAUUCAAUGUUGAAUCCAUUUAUUAUAAUAAUUCAAAAUCCAUAUGGCACUUUUCUAUUGACUCCUAUUGCACUGAAAUCAGAUCACAUGUUGUGGGCAGACGACUUGUUUGAUUUAAUUGUUCAUAUAUUGUUGACUCCUUGUGCAUUUGCAUUUAACUAGAGUUGUUUAGCUUAGUUAAAGUCAUAUAUCAUAUAUUCACAAAUUAAUUAGGCUUAGCUGAAACUUCAUUGGCUAAAGAAGAUAGCAAGCCCCAACCACUUCACGGACUAUUUCCAUUGUCAGACUUAGAAUGUAUAAAAUCCACAGUAAAUACAAUUGAACUAGCUCAAAAUCAGAGCGAACUAAAACCACAAAAAUAAACAUAAACCUAAAUGACAAUUAAAAACUCCUAAACUAACCUUUCACUCACUGCGAAAAUAGCAAAAGCGCUCUCAUCUCAACUUUUACCACCACCGCCACUUCGAAAACCUACGACGCACCAUUGAAAGCACAAAGAAUGAAAAUCAGAGACAAUGAGAUGAGAAGGAUAGUGAAAUGAGAGCAAAAUUUUCUUACGAUUUGCAAUGGCACCAACUGAAAUGCAAGAGUGAAAUACGAGAUUGAUAGGGAUUUAGGAAAAAAAAUGAGAGAGUGAAAUCAGAUAGUGAAAUGAGAGAGGGAAAACUUUUGGUAAAGUUAGUUUCAAAACCUGAUCAUUACGAUGACUGUGCGCGUACCACACGCAACCAGUGACAAUAAAGCAAGGGCUCAGACGUACCUGCCACCUAAGCUUAGAGACGGUAAAGCCCACUCCCAAUGUUGGCUACUCCAUUGUCAUCGACGACCAAGCCCUUACUCCCUUUCUCAAGCUUCAUGUGCACACCGUUGACACGAUGGGUGCAGCUACGGUUGUAGAGUCCAAUCCACUGUAGAGUCCGUCCAGCACUAGCAAAAACCUCUAGACGUUGGUUGUGCGUGCGUCAACUCCUUCAAUUUUUUCUUCUUUGCAUCUACUUUUGUCUGAUUUGCUUCUCCAUGGCCCACUCUUUGAUGCAUGUCCUUCUCGCAUCCCUUUGUGGACGCCAUAGUGAAGUCUAAUAACGUUUAUCACCUAAGGGAGGGACGCUUAUAUUUGGUCUCUAUUUUAUUGUUUUCUUGUAGUGCAUGUUAGUCACUUAUGGCUGAACACAUUAUUAUUGACAUUAGUCACUCUUGGUUUAACACUGAGUAUUCUUGACACUAAUCACUUCUAGGACAACACAGAUAUAAAAUAUGAGUGAUCAAUAUAUCACAUGUUUUCGUUCACUAGAGAGGGUAACGAAUUUUGACGUACACAAAGUUUAAGCUCUCUAUUAGUAAGUAGGAAUGAACACGAGCCAUGUUCUUACAAAACUUUAGGGUACACAAAAUUAUAAGAUUUCAACACUUGCAAAAGUAUGACUCACUUUCUUAGACGUAGAAGACAUUCUAUGUUUCUUCAGGAUUAAGCUUUGGAAUAUUUUCCAUGUGUGUGUCAACAUGAAGUCUUGGUGUGUAGUUAUUAUCUAAGUGAUCUUCAAUUAACUUAUCAGACGGAGUGGAACUUGGUUUUCACUUCACGUAUUGCAAACACUAGGCUUAUUAUUCUUCAUAUAUUAUAAGCAUUAGUGAUGGAGGACCAUCCGGAAUUACACAUAUUGGACCUUUAACUAGGGCCAUGACUAGAAGCAGAAUGGAAGAAGAAGAAGAAGUUUAGAAAAUUCUAUUUUUGUCGAGAAUUAAUUUUUAACUUUUCUUCCAAAUUUCCUAGUCUGAUAAAAUUGUAAAGAAUAGUAUAUGAUUUUAUUUGGGCUUUUAUUUGGGCCAUGUAUUGGGCCUAUUAGAAUAGGAAGUAGAGAGUCUAGCUAUGGUUAUAGUUGGACCUCUUUAAGCUCAUUUGCAACCCUAGACCUUUUGGAGAGGGUUCUAAAGAGGCAUGAAAGGCAACUACAUAGCAAGGGAAGUGUGAAGGGCCAGCUAGACAACCAACAUGGGAACCAUAACUGCAACAUGGUUGCACCUCAAUGGAGAGAAUCCUCUCCACUCACAAGCCACCACUUGUCACUCCAUGAAUGGAGAAUAUUUGCUCCAAUUAGAGAGUGCCAUUUGUCAAGCUAGGAGUGAAGAGUAUUUUUAGAUUUUUGGCACCAUUUAGGCUAUAAAUAGAGGUGCUCAACCCAUGUCUUUUCUAGCUUUGAUUGACUAAUGAAUUGCUGCAUGAAUUCAACCUUAAUUGUCUCUUAGCUCUCUCCUAGUUAGCACUUUUGUAACAAGGAUUCUCUUAGAAGUUUGCCUCACAUCUUCUAAGCAUAUUUUCCCUAUUUGAUUUCACCUUCAUCCAUGGUUCAACUUCAACCAUAGAACUCAUAAAUCUGCCCCACCUUCUACAACAAAGAACUAAACUAAAAGAAACAAUACAAAUCAAGCUAGAAUUGCAUCAACUAGAUUUGUUUUAUUUAGCACAUAGUCAUAAUUACAAUUAGGUAGACUAUUUCCCUCUGGAAGCAUAUCCUUACACAACUGAAACAAUUCCGUGAAGCUUUUGUCAGCCCAUCCAUUUAUUGCCUUCAAAUUCAUCAAUCUUAACACCGUCGACAACCGUGUGAAGUUAGUUGAUCCAGGAUACAAUGGAGUUUCUGCAUCACUUGACAUACUUGCAUAUCCACGCGUUUCUACAAAAGACUCAACUCCCACAUCACGAAUAAUGUCCUCUAAUCGAUCAUCAUCUACAUCAUCAUGUACUGCAUCAUCCAUGGUGGACCUCGCAUAUUCUUCAGUUACGGAAACACGUGGUAAAUUUAAUAAUUCACCAUGCCAUGUCCAAGUUGUAUAAUAUCGAAGAAAUCCAUCACAUAGAAGGUGCUCCCUGAUUAUCUUAACAUCCAAUAUCCUUCCAUUCAAAUAGUUAACACACGAACACCUGAUCUUUGCUCCAUCAUGACCACUAUUAUUCGCGUUAUGUUGCGCAAAUUGUAUAAAUUCUUCUACUCCUCUUUUGUGCUCAUCACUUAUGCGAACAAAAUUAAUCCAAUUUUGAUCCAUUAUAUUCUGUAAUAGUCAUUCAUGUGUUUUCUAAUAAGUGUUCUAUCUCACACGUUUGUGGAGGGUCGAACACCCCCAGACUCAGUACCAGCACGUGUCAAUUACCGAGGGUCGAACACCCUCGAACUCAAUACCAACACGAUAAUUCUAUUCUAAACUAACAACUAACAUAAUAUAAAUUAAUAAUAAAUAGAAAUUAUAAUAAAUACUAAAUAAUAUAAAUUAAAAAACCUUAAAUUAAUUAUAAAUAUUAAAUAAUAUAAAUCUAUCUACCAUCUAAUGAUUUAAUAAUUCUAUUCUAACCUAAAAACCUAAAUAAUAUAAGAUUUAAAAAAUACAAAUUAUAAUAAAUAAAUAAAAAAAAAUUAAUAACAUUAAAAAAUGUAAAAAAUUUAAAACACACAAACCUUGUGCGUGAAGUCAACGGUAGUAGUGAAGAGCGGCGCGGGACAGGCGCAACGACAGAGUAAGACGACAACAACGACGAACAAGGCACAGUAAAACCCAAAUAAAAGCUUGCCAUUGAAACAAUGACCUUUUAGCAAUGGUAGCAAACAUACAAAAACCAAUGGUGAAGAAGAAGACAGGAAGACAAUGCUUACCAAUGACACAAAGACAAUGCACAGAAGAGAUGAAGCACAAAAUAGAAACGAAGCGCCAGAGAAAGUAAAUUAUGAAAAUGUAAGUGGCGCACUUAAGAGUUAGGGUAAAAAAUGUUUUACGAAUGAGACUAUUUGUAAUAGCCGCAUUCUUAAAUCAAACACUUUGAUUUAAGAAUGCGGCUAUUACAAAUAGUCACAUUCUUAAAUAAAGUUAAUUUAAAAAAUAUCACCGUAUUUUGAAUGACGGUGUCUGACUGUAAAAAUGCAUUAAAUAAAUAGUCAUUAUUUUUAUAUUUUGCACUAGUGUGUAUUUAAGACAUCAUAUUUUUGUUCUAACAAACUUUAUUUAUAUUGUCAUUAUUGGUUAUGAUUCAUGAUAAAAUUUGAGAGGUUGUUUGAUUCGAUUACAAAAUUAUUUUAAUAAUUAUAUUGUAAAUUUUGAGAUGUUAUGAAAAAAAUUUAGAGGUAAAUGAAAGACUCACCAUACUUUUUUUUUAGAUGAAUAAAAUGAGGACACAAACUGUAAUGAUGACAUUAAUCCACUUACACUUUUUGUGUGGAGUAUAACCUUUUGAUUUUGUUGAAUGAGAAUUUGUGACUCAUAGAGCUUAACUUAUUUUUGUGAUGUAUUUUAAAAUUUAUUCCUAUUUUCACUCUGUUGUAAAUUUGCCAGCAAAAUUUUCUUGACGUGGGAGAUUAAUUAGUAUUAUAAUUAUGUAAAUAUGAUGUAUGUUUUAUAGAUAAAGAGUAGAUCAGUAACAAACUUCAAUUUGCUUAGUGAGGAUAAGUUAUGAGCUUGUGCCUGAUAGUCCGACAAAUUUAUAACAUUAUAUGCUUUCGUCUCUGAUGAAGUUUUGUGUUUAAUUAACGUAAUCUAACGUAUAUCUUCUUACUACCAUAGUACGUAUAUCUUUUUACUACCAUAGUUAAUUAAGUUAUUUCAAUUACUUGUUUAAAAUAAAUAAAAAAUGGAAAUUAUGAUAUUAAAUACAUUAAUGACCUAUUUUACAUUAGUAUAAAUAAAUAAAUGUUUAACUCCUCAAAUGAAGAAUAUUUCAUGAAAGAAAAUAAAAUAAAAAACAAAGUUUAUGUUUAGAUACUAUAAGAAAUUUUUUAUUUAUCGACAAAAAGUACUGAUAAUUUUUUUAACAAAUUUAUGUUGGAUGAUAAUUCUUUUAUUACUGAUAGAUUUUUGUCCGUCACUAAUUACAAAUGGAUUCUACCAACUGAUAUAAGAAUUAAGAAAAAUAAAUAUAAAUUAAUAUUUAUCAAUAAAAUCCGUUGACAAUUGAGUGCGAACACAAUUUGUAAUAUUAACAAUAUUAAUAAAAUUAACAAUAAUAUUAAUAAUUACAAUAAUAAUAUUAAUUUUAAAAAAUAUUAAUAAUAAUUAUAAAUAAUAAAGUAAUAAUAAUAAAAGUGAUGACAAUAACAAUAGUAAUAUUAUUAAUAAUAUUAAUAAUAAAAUAAUAUUAAUAUUAGUAAUAAUAACAUUAAUAAUUAAAAUAAUAAUAUUAAUAGUAAUAUUAUUAUAAAGAAUAUUAAGAAUAAUAAUAUUAUUAUAAAUAAUUAUAUUAAUAAUAAUAAUAAAAUAAUAAUAAUAAUAAUUAUUAUUAUUAUUAUUGUAGUAAGUGGACUGAGUUAAAUUUUUAUUAUUUUUUAAUAAAAAAUUAUAAUAUUAAAAUUAUAAUAUUAAAUUAUUUUUUAAGAAAAUAAUAUAUUAAAAGUAAAUCUACCACUACGAAAUACAAUUGAAUACUCUUUGAUUAAUUUAUUUUUGGUUAAAUAUUUAGUAUUAUUGAUAUUAGUCAUUCUUAACUUAACACAAAUACAAAAAUUGAAUCACAAGUUUUUACUUGUUUGAUAGGGUAGCGACUUUUGACAUAUACACACUAGUUCAAAAUAACAAUACCAUGACCCAUACAAAGACGAUUAAAAGAAAACCAUCGUUAAUAAAAAAAGUGGUGGCAAAAUUGUAAUUAUGCAACAUUUUUAACGACAGUUAUGUUUGGAAUCGUUGUUAAAAACUAGUCAGGCUGAAAAAUAACGGUGUUGUGCUUGAAAUCGUCAUUAAUAAGCAAACAGAUAGACAAUUAACGACAAUUAUGCCCAUAACCAUCAUUAAUUAUUUGUUUUUAAAAUCCCGCCCACGCUUUUUCGUCCUCACUUCUUCAUUCUCGGUUUCCUCUUCACUUGUUCACUUCAACUCACUUUUCACUCGCGAUUCCGCUGCUAUUCACCGCACCACCUCUGUUCUCCUUCAGCACCACUUCGUCACGCUCUCGCUUUGGGUUGCUGUGUUGUUGCACCCACAAAAAACCUACUCCUCCAUUGUUGCCCUCGUGCCACUGCUCCUCUCGCACCGCUGCUGCUAUUGCGCCAUAGAUCCAACACCACUCCUCCGCAUGCCUCCACGCUUCUCUCACAGACUUCGUGUGCUCCCUGUUUCCCCGCAGCUCCAGCGGCCAACUCUUUUGUGCCUUGGAGCCCUGCACAGUUGCUCCACUAACGACCCAAGUAGUUUGAUUUUUUGUUGUUGUUGUUGUUGUUUAUUUGCGUUAAUGAUAACAAUUUUUUUAUAUGUCGUUAUAAACAGUUAACUUAUAACGUUAUCCCAAAUAACGACAAUUCCCAAACCGUCUUUAUAUGACCUUUUUGAUCGUCGUUAAAUCACUUUUCUGUAGUAGUGACAAGGUUUAAGCUCUCUACUAGUAAGCAAUAAUGAAUAUGAACAAUGUUCUUACAACACUACAAAAAAACGUGUAUGUGGUGACAGUUAUUUUCGUAUAUCGUGACAUUUAUAACCGCCACAUUAUACAUGUGUGGUGGUACCGCGUACCGUCACAGAUCUAGCCGUCAUAAAGUUUAAUGUAGUGGUCAAUUGAGAACCAUCUUAGAGUUAAGCAGUGUCUAAGAUCAAGAGGGGAGGGGUGAAUUGAGAUUAUCAAAUUUUUGCAAAACAAUCUAGUUUACUGUGUAACAGAGGUGAAAAGAACAGAUUGAUAUUAAAUUGAACAAAUUGUUUUUACAGAUGAAUCUAGCACAAUUAAAACAAGAUCAGCACAAUUUAGAUCAACCAACAGCAAUACCAGAACCAAAUUGAUUAACUUUCACUGUUUAUAAAGUUGCAGUUUAAGGUACAUAAUUUAUCAAUUUUUACUUAACAUAAGCCAUCUAGAGUAAUGAACCAAAUGUCACAGUUUAGUUAAAGGAACCAGUUCACCCUUCUUAUCCUAUUACAGAUUCACACAGCAGCUUGAUUUAUGAUUAGAGGAUUGAUUAACAAGUUAGAACAGCAGAUCUAUCCAGGUCCAGAAUUAACAGAUUUAGUUUCAAUAUAACAGAUUCCUUUCUUGACAGAUUAUGUGAAAUUACAGAAUUAAGUGCAGGAUGAGAAAAGAAUCACACAAGAAUUUUUAUACUGGUUCACUCAUCAAGAGCUACGUCCAGUUCACCUCACUCCAAGGUGUAAUCCACUAAAAACUGAUACAAUCAAUUACAAACACACAACAGUUCUUGAACCCUGCAAGAACAUCAACUAUCAAGGCUGAAAAACACUAUUCCAGCAUACCUUGCACUCCAAGAAACCCUAUCUAGAGUGACUAACACUUAAAACCAAUACAAGAAUGAAUAAGGAAAAGAUUACACCUGAAACAAUGUUGCAAGAACAUAAACCAGUUGUUCUAUUUGCUCCAAGACAGUACCAACACCUUCAUCCAGCACAAGGUUCUUCAAGAACAAGCUCACAUGUAUUUCACUUUUGAAAAACCUUUGCAAAACCUUUCCAAUUCACUUUCUCACACACAAAAUGUUGUAUCUCUGUUAAAACUGUGAUUGUUCAGCAUCCAUUUACGUGAGAAGGGCAUUUUAUUUUAUAGAGAACAGUUUCUAACUUCUUUUCAAAAAACAGUUGAAAAACUGUUACGAAAAUAACAGAUUCAUUUUAAACUGAACAGAUUUAUUUUAUGAAAACUGCCAACUCAGCUAACUGAAAUAACUGUCUGAGUUGUACCUUUGGUGCCCUAACUAACUUUCGAAAAUCCUUUCAGCAAACCAAAGAAUAAACCUGUUCUUUUAUAGAGAAACAGAUUUAUUUUUUGUGCAUAGUUCUGAUUUUUGAAGAAACCUCCAAAAGGCUUUUGGAAAAACUUUUAACCACUUCAAGUGCUUGAUCUAAGCUUGGUUAGGCAACUGGGAUAGGUCAUGCAGCAAAAGGCAACCUUAUACAUACACAAGCCUAAAUACAAAGAUCAUCUAAGCCUAUUACAAACUUCAAAGCAAGCUAGUUAUUUUCUACAUCAAACACACACUAAAACUAGGUAGAGAUGAGCUUCAUCCAUCUUCAACAAACCAUUGUAGUAAACACUAUAUAAUACAUUGUAUAAAGUGAUGAUUUUUUUGAGUGUGUAAUUUAUGUCAGUUAUAAAUGUUGUAAUUUUGAAACUGGGUAAACCAAUUUCAAUGUAAAUAACAACAGUUUUUAACGUCACUUAAUACGGUAUAGAAUGACGUUUAUAAUAACCAUUACAACUGUCAUAAUUCGAGUAUUAAAUAUUUAAUUUUAUUUUUAAUAUUUGUAAUAAUUUAUUUAAUUCUGUUUUAUGAGCUCUUCCCGACUUACAAGAAACUCCUUUGUUAGCUAGUUGAAAAACUGAUUAAUAGAAAAGUUGGAUGAUUGGUUCUACUUAAUUUUGGAAAGUAAUGAAUUAUCUCUUAAUCCAAUUUUAUUUCAAUAACCUAGAUUACAAAUGUUAAGUAUUUAAGCUAAUUCUAUAUAUUGUUUUUGUUAGAAUCGUUGUUGUGGUUGCAAAAUGUUGAUUGUCAAACAUACAUGUAAAAUCAUUUGAGUGUUUAAAGUAUUAAUUUAUGUUAUUUUUUAUGAUGCUGAACUCUUUCUUUUCAUUCUAUUUAUGUUGCUUUUUAUUCUGUUUUAUGUUUAUGUAUCCAUCCAUUCUCUUAGUUUUUUUGUGAAGACAAAUAGGGGAGAAAUUUGUGGUUUCUUGGUUGUAAUUUUGGCUAAACUAUGGUGUGUUUAAUUCUGUUUAAAACUGUUGCUGCCACACUCUAAUAUACCAUGAUUCUCCUACAAAUGCCGCCACACUGUUUUGGACUGGUUUUUCUACUUAUGGGUUAUGCAAAAAACUUAUUUUAUGUGCCUUGUAAAACUUUUAAAUCCUGGUGCUAUACUUCCUUUGUAUGUGUACAAAUUCUAUUGUGCAGGACCUCUCAAUUUCAAAAACUACAACACAAACAAAUCAGGGAUUUGUCUUCAUCAAAUAGGGGGAGAUUGUUGAACAAGAUGCUUUGAUGUCUCCAAAUCUAUGUGGAAAGCUUGAAGUCCCUGUUGAUGUGUGUGUGUUGUGUAGUAGUUUUUAACUUGUUAAUUCACUUCCUAAAAUGAUCCAAGUGCAUUUGAUCUUUAUCUCUUUUGAAAGAAGUGUUUUAUUAAAAGUUGAUAAAUUUUUAUUCAGUUGUUUUUCAAAUCAACCAGUUGAAAAAGCUGUUACUCAAGGGUUUGAGGCUAAAACAAGUUUUUCAACCUGUUAAAUUGUCGAAACAUAGUGGUUUUCAAAAUGAUUUGGAAAAACUUUGUUUACUUUGUCUUUGUUGUCAAAUAAAAAUAAUCGGUUAUUUCGAUAAAACAACUGGUUGUUUUAUGAAAACUUUAACAAAAAAAUUAUUUCAAUCGAGUGUUUUGGAAAACAACUUGUUGUUUUUAUAACAAAAUUCUGUUAAGUGGUUUGAAUUGGUUUUAAAUGAUUCCAACUACUUUUCGUUUUUGUUCUAACAGUUUUGACCACUUGAUUAAGUUUAUAUAAAGGCUUUUUGAUAUUCUUUUUAAGACUCUAAGAAAUAGAGAUUAUUAAAAACAUUUUUCAAGAAAUCAAGAGCUUUGGAUCAUUUCAAGUGUAUGGAAUAGGAUUGAGUUUUGUAUACUUCUGAACUAUAGCUUUGUAAUACCCUGGUGUAUUCUAUUCUCUUAUUCUUAAACAUUGUAUUUAUGUGUGUUCUUGUAUAGGGCAGUUUCAGAAAAGUGUUUCUAAAAACCGUGGUGUCACUACAAGAAAAUCAUGAAAUAGAAACCAAUUUUUAGAUACCAAAAUAAUUAGUUGUAAUAGUAACUAAAUUAGAGACCAUUUUAGAAUCUAAAAAAAAUUGGUUUCUAAAUUAGUUUCUAUUAUUGUUAAAUAGUUUCUAAAUUGGUAUAUAAUUAGCAACCACGGUUUUAGAGAUCAAAUUUAGAAACUAAAUAAUUGGUAGUUAAAAUCUUGGUUGCUAAUUAGAUACUAAUUUUGAAACUAUUUAACAAUAAUAGAAACUAAUUUAGAAACCAAUUUUUUUUUUUAGUUUCUAAAUUGGUCUCUAAUUUAGUUACUAUUGCAACUAAUUAUUUUGGUCUCUAAAAAUUGGUUUCUAUUUCAUGAUUUUCUUGUAGUGUGUUGCCUGUGUGUUUUUGAGGGGUUCAAGGUCAUCACUCUUGGUGUGUGUUUUGUAAUCUAUAUUUGAUUACAUAGUGAAUUCUCAAUGGUUAGUUGAGGACUGGAUGUAGCUCUUGGUUAAGAGUGAACUAGUAUAAACUUCUUGUGUGAUUCUCUCUAUCUCUACUCUUAUAAACUGUUUUAACUUGGUUUCAUAUUCUGCUAGUAUAAACAACCGAUUGUUUCGUGAAAACAACAGGUUGAUUUUCUGUAAAUAACCUUAAAACAAAAAUUUUAUUAAGUUAAAUAGAAAAUCAAUUGGUUGAUUUUUCAGAGCUUUUCACUCUAUUUCUAAACUUUGCGAAAAUAUUGUGAAAACAAUUCAUCCCCCUCUCGUUUAGGCCACUAAUUCUAACACUUGUAAGUAUUGAAAGUUUGUCAGCUAUGCCAAAUACUUACAAGGAUAAUGUGUGGGAGAGUGCACUAAAGGUAAUUGAACCAAUUCUAGACAUCUCCAGUCUUAUUUGAUUUAUUCAAUAGAUCUGGACUAAUUUUGUAUUAUUUGAAGUCUUAAUUUUGUUUCAAGGUAAAAGAAUACUUGGAAAAAAUAGAUAUUAUGUUAAGAAUUGGAAAAUCGUGGAAGGAUUACAAAUGCAAGCUUUGGAAUGAAUUUUAUGAUCCACUUAUGAGCAUAAAUGACCUUAUCAAGAAUGCUUCGUAAGGUUUUAAGAUGGAUUAAUGGACUGUAUUUGUUGAUUAUCACCUCAAGCUUUCCACAAUGGUACACACUUUUCGUUAGAAUAUUUGCAACAAGCUUGACUUUAAAUUUGCAAAAACUAGUUUCAUUUUCACUUUAUAGAACUUGUAUUAUAGAAAUAGAGAUAUAAAGAAAAGAGAAAUUAUUCUCCACACUGGUGGUGCUAUGUCUUUGUCAAGACGAAGGAUAAUUUGAUACUUUUUACUUAUAUUUUGUUAUCAAUUAUAAUAUAUUCUAAAUUUUUACUUAUAUUAUUUUUCUUGAAACAUAUAGAAUAUUGAGACUGGUUGAAAUAUUGAGGGUUUUAAAAUGUGAAAGAUUACACAUAAGAAAAAAAAUGACACUUAUGUGAAUGACGUGGCUAUGGAGAUUGAGAUAACUUUAUUCCUUCCAUUCAUUUGUUCAAUAUAUAUGGUGUGUUGGUGGUGCUAUGUCGAUUUAAUGCAUAUUGAACUUUUCAUUGUUUGCUUAUAAUGAUUGUCAUUAUAAUUUGAAAUUAAUAUAUGUGUUUGUUUUCUAUAGUGGUAAUUAGAGUGGUGUGUAAAUAUAAAUAAGAAAAAAAUGUUAGUUAGUUGGAAAACUAUUGUUUGCUAAGAUUUUAUAAUGGUACGCUGAUUGAUAACUACCAAUGAUUAAAGAAUGGAGACUAUACAUUUUAGACAAUAAAUUGUCACUGCCAAUUAUUAAAGCAUGGCGACCAUACAUUUAGACAAUAAAUUGACAAUGAAGUGCAGUUUAUAGUUUCUAGGAUAUUAUACUUCCCACCUAAAAUAUUUUUUUUAUAUACUAUUUGUUUUUAUCAGCAAGAAAAAAUAAAAUAAAUUUGAAUCAUUUCAGGGUAGUCCAACCCGUAUACAAAACACUAACACAACCCCCUAAGAAUAACCCUAACAAGAAAACCAGAACCUCCUACCAACUGCGGAGAGCACACAAACCAACACCCAACCAAGGAAAAUAAAACUCAAGAACAACUCUAAAUCUGAAACAUACAAGCCAAAAGAUCUAAAGACCAAUUAGAAUAAGAAAAACCAACUGAAGGUACCUUGGAUACAACCCAAGACCAAACCUUUGGUUGAAUAAGGGCAAACACUUACGAAGCAUCCACCACUCCUCCUUUAAAUAAUACCUUAUUCCUGAGCCUCCAAAUCUCACUUAUUAUAGCAGUCCAGAUAGUUCCCCAUAUCGCAUUAACAAAUUCAUAUGCAUUACACAUCCUAAACUGUAGGAAAUGAAAGAAAGCAUCAGAGUGGUCCACAGACGCCAAACAUAACCAAGCGUAACACUAACUCCAGACAAACCAAGCGAUUUUGCACUCAUGACUCCUCUUCCACCCCGCACAUACUACAUAAACCAUUCUCGAGCUUUUCCCCUUUCCUUACGAAAUUUUCUUUGGUGGCUAACUUAUUAACCAAGACCUUCCAAGCAGUAACUUGGGCCGAAGGCAAAGCCUUAGUCUUCCAAAACUUAACAAACCUAGUAUUGAUCCCCCCUACAGGCUUUCCCCUUAAGAGAACAUAAGUAGAAUUAACCGUGUACGUAGAGAACUCAUUGUCCUUCCAGACCCAGCCAUCAUCCAUAUCCAAAUCCAACCUCAGUCCUUGGAGCACCUCAAGAAGUUGUCUUUCCAAAUGCUUUUCCCACUGCUGUGAAGGUGUUGUCUGGCCUUGACUGGGUUUUGCUGUAGGUUAGUGUGGUAUGGGUUGUUGUUGGAACAAUAUAAGCUACUGCCUGAUCUGGCGCUGUGAUUCAGAUGGUCGAGUGUAUAGUGGCAUAGGGUGAAUGUGUCUUGCUAUAGCUUUGAAGCAACAUGCGACUUAAGCUAAGCACAUCAGAAACUAAACUCUAGCCUGCAGCAGCUAAUUAGACAGCUUUGAGGUAGUUGGUUUGUUGCUGCAGGAGCUUGUUUUUUGAAUUUAUGUGUGCAGAUUUUUCCUACGUCGGAAUUUUGAAGAGUGGAUGCUUGUCCAGCACAUCUAGGAUUGGCGUGCUGCUGCUAUCACAUUGCCAAUAGGCACUCGUGGGGAAUCUUGGAAUUUGGAUGGGAUGAAUUGUCCUUUUGACCCCAUCAAGCUUUGAAGCUAUUACCAGCUUUUUUGGUCUUUUAGCUUAAUGGCACUUUGCUGGAAAGUGUGCUUUUGUUCUCAAAAAUUUUAUAGGAAGUGUAUCUGGUUUAUUUAGCAGGUUUGUGUGAGCCUUGUAUGUGCUAUCUGGUGACUGAUUUUAUGUAUACGGGUUGGGAUACCCUUGAAGUGUCCAUUUUUUUAAUUUUAUUAAUUAUUUGCUGAUAAAAAAAAAUGUUUUUCCCACUCAAACAAGUUCCUUCUCCAAACUAAAUUUCAUUUCUAGACAACAUCAACCCAAUUUCCACACUCAACCACUUUAGACUCAGUUUAUACUAAAGUUAGAACAAGAGUAAUGAGAUUCCAUACCUACACCUUCCAUUUUUCUUAAAUAUGGAGGGAUUCUAAACAAGAAUUUUGUGUUGAAGAUUGUCUUUUAUUUGAAAAAAAGAAGACCAAUGAUAAAAAAAAUGCAAUAUAUAUUCAAUUACAAACUGUUCAUACUAAUUAAUAUUUAGAUACCCAUCUUGUAAUAUUUGCUAAUAAUGGAAAGAACUGGUAACAUUACAAACAGAUAAAGGACAAAAAUAGUAUUUCAACCUUUUCCGAAUUAAAUUAUUUUCUUUUAUUUUUAACCAAAUAUCUCUUUUUACUAUAAUUUCUACUUAUUUCUUUCACCCAUUUACUUUCAUUGUUUCUAUUUCUCCCUCAAUCAACAAAGAUGGAGAAGGUUAGGACGAUAGAAUCAGUGACUAGAUUACAUGUUAUAAAGUUGUUGGGUAAUUCUAGAAUUUCUUACCUACCAGUUCCAAUAUAUAUUUAGGAACUGUUGUUUGUAAAACAUGAAAAAUGAUUGCAACUCAUUGAAUGUUUCUUACCUCAAUAAACUUGUGGAAUCUGACGUUGGAUUCCCUUUUCUGUAAUAUUUGUGAGAUCAAACACCUAAAUCUCCUUUCUUCUUCCCAUCUGCUCAAAACCUAAUCGCUUGUACCAAACAAUAGGUCGAUUCAAUUUGGAAUUUAAUGGCCGAAUCUACACGCCAUGCGGUGGUCAUGAAAGAAUUGGAGGAAUAUCUUUCUCCACACUUGAGGCUUGUUUAGCCAAAUUAGUUGGAUCCAUUCAAUACACCUUUACUAAUUCCUUGAAAGAAAUUUUGUAAGAACUUAUUAGCGAGUCUUCUUUCGUGAUUUUUUUAUAUCAACAAGAAAAAAUUAACAAAUGUGUACUAUUUUUUGGUGUUCCAACCCUUUUAGGUACUCUUAGACCAGACGCUGUUGUGAACAAUAAUGUAGUGAAAACCUGCUGUAAAUUACACUCAGUCCCAACUAACAAUCGAAAACCAGCAGGCUUACAUAAAAUGUAGCUCCCAUCCUAACCCAUCUAGCACAAACAACUAUAACAUUUGUUCCACAUUAGAUUUGCUAUUCUACACCAACAAAUAAAUGUUGGACUUUCUUCCUUUUCUAGACACAUAGGGCAUAAGCUGGUGUUCACAAUGACUCUUCUUCUUACUAAGUUGACUCUUGUAGGGAUCUUGCAUAGAAGGACCCUCCAAACAAGGGUUAAAACUCUUGGAAGCGUUUAAACCGACCACAAGUUCUCCUGGUUAUCUUAUUAAUUAUUGCAUAUGCAGACCUAAUAGUGAAUUCCUCUGGCCAAGGUGUUCAUAAAACAACACCUUAUCAAGAUUAACAAGAAUUGAUUUUCCAAGGUUCAAUGGUGAUAAUAUGACGUGGUUAUAUCAGUGUGUGAAAUUUUUGAUAAUUGAACAUCCACUUGAUGAUAUUUAAUGAGCAUAAUUCUAUUUAAAUUUAAUAACUUUUAGAAGUUUAGAUUAUAAUCAUAAAUAAAUUCACUAUUUUAAUUAAUAUUUUAAUGUUGUCGGAGGCUUGGUCAUUGGAAAAGGAGCCACAACGGUGGGAGGAGAUGUCGCCGCCAACGAUGCGGGGGUUACAGCCUUAGGAGACACUACUACUUGACACCUCAUAUCUCUCAAUCUCACCUCUCUCUGUCACGUAAGUAGCACUUGACGCUGUAAGGUGUGACUUAACGGAAAGAACCAAUUUGGAUACAUUUUAAAAAACAUAGAGACCGAAUUGAGUUUUUUAAAAACCAUUGUACUAAAUUGAAUAUUGACCUUAAAUGUAAGGACAAAAAAAGUAAUUAUACCUUUAAUAUAUUUUACCAGUUGUUUGGACCGACUCCUUAACACAUAAUUGGGUCGACUUCUUAACACAUCAUGGGACCUAUUAUCAUUUUGUGCCGAGUUAAGUAUUUGUCUUCUUAAACUAAUCAGGUCAGGUCAAAAUAACGUGCUUAAGUGCUUGGAUCGAGUCUCAAGUACGUUCGACCAAUACACCCUAAUUUGAGUAUUUUUCAUAUUUUAAAUUGCAACAUUCUUAAAACGCUAUAAAUUUAUUCAUUCUUUUGUUAAUAAAAAAAAUUUAAAACUAUUUCUUGAGUCUUGAGUCUAGAGCCAGCCAUUUUCUCACAUCUUGUAACUUAUAAUGCUAUCUACUUUUAGUAGUUUAUGUUGCUAAGUGCUGGUUUUGAUUCAACAUUUGAUUGAUGACAAGUCUUGUAAAGUAAAAGUAGAUCUUAGAAACCAUAACUUAUAUAUGGAUCCCCUUUGUCCAACAUCCACUAAGAUCAUAGCCACCGUUGUAUAAAAGUAAAGUCAAAAUACAAUAAUAAUAUUAUCUAGUCGUAUAUUAUACUUAUAGCAUGUACUCAUUGAUGAAAUAUGUGAAAGUUCAGGAAGGAAUAUUGCAAUACACAGCUUUGGAAAUAAACUAUUAGCAUUGUUGCAGCAUGUCACUUUUUGCAACAUACUCUAUAAUACUUUACUCUGCCACUUUAAUUUUCUCUCUUUCAUCCUAUUUUAAUACGCCUGCUUCACUUACACACAUGAUUUAGAUAUAGUUAACUUAUUUAUCCAUAUUUUAUUUUUUUAUAAACAAAAAAAUAAUUAAAUAAAAAAACAAGAGCAUGUUAAGGAUGUUCUGAGUCUAAGUCCUUCAUACAUAAAGCUGCUGAAAGUCAUCCAAAAACAAAAAAACAUAGAUAUCAUACCCAUUAAACCUUACCUUGCAUUCCCUAACCCUAUUUACAAUACAUUGUUAAUAAUUAAUUAAUCCUUAUUUGGUUUAUAUUAAUUAAUUUUUUUUGGUAGUCUCAAAUCCAAACUCAAACUUGAUCAUUUCUCUCUUUCCCACACACAAAAGAGUAAAGCACUAAUUUUCAAAUUAAGUAAUGUUCUUUUUAUAAUUAUUUUUUCCAUCUAUUGAUGUGGGCUACAUAAUUAGAGGUUACCCUGGCCUCUGCUUUAAAUUUUGUAUUCUUUCGUAAAGGCAAAGUGCAAUCAAAGUUUAUAUUAGUGCAAAAAUAAAUACUAAUUAAUACUGUAUUAAGACAUGUGUUUAAUUCACGAACGGAUAUUUGAGUUCGAGUGUCACAAUUAAACUUGGAUUUAGUCAUUUAAAUAUAUUACACAUAGAUGUGGGAGACACUUAAGACUCAAAAAAAUCCACAUGGCCUAAUAUGUUUUUUAUAUAUCUAUACAUUGAUGUCGGACUCAUUAAGAACUAAAAGUACUCUUAGAUAAUAAUUCUAUAAUCAUUUGAGCUUUUCUAGUUUAUCAUCUAAUCACUUUGGUUUAGAUAAUCUAAUAUAAAAUUAUUUGAAUUGAAUUGAUUUGAUUUCUUAUUUAGUAUUGUUUUGUUUACUUUUAAAUAAAAUGUUAAAUAAAUAACAAGAUAUGUAAUAGAAAAAUCAAAUCUCAUAUCAAUUAAUAUUUCUUUUAUCGAUAAAAAAUAAAUAAAAUAAAAUAAAAAUAAAAUGUUUUAAAAAUAUUUUAACCCUUAUCCAAGAUAUUAAUGUAAUUAACAUACUUAGUAAAUUUAAGUAUUUUUAAUUAAUUUUUUUAUUUAUUAAAUAUUUAAAAAAUUUAUUAUUUCUGGUUGUAUUUCUGUCAUUUAAUUUUUUCACCAUAAUAUAAUUGUUAUAUUAUCCUAUCAUUUUACUUAUUUAUUUAUAUAUAUUAAAAAAUAUAUAAUUUUAUAAUUAAUAUAAAAUGAUAUUUUCAUUAAUAUAAAACAAAAUAAAUAUUUUAAAUAUAUUAGACAUAAUAAUUAUAACAUUUUUUUUUAUUAUCUAACAUAUUUUCAAUAAAAAUGUCAGAAUAAAAUAAUAAUCAUAAUAUGUUGAUAAAUGUCAUAGUAAGAUAGUAAUCAUAACAAUUUCAAUAAAAUAGUAUCAUUAUUUUUAUAAAUAAAUAAUUUUGAAUAAAAAAACAAAAUAAUUGAUUUGAUGAUAGGAAAAAAGUAAUCAUUUAUUAAAAUAUGAAAAUAUUAGCCAAUUUAAAAUUUUUUAUAUAACUAAAAUCACAAUAUUAUUUUUUAUAUAAAAAUAGUAACACAUAAAUUCUCAAUAUUUUGUGAGAGAAACGCACAUGGAAGACAACUAUAUAUAACUAAAGGUAUAUAUAUAACAUUCUGACAACAUAGAAUAUAGAAAUGAAUAAUAAAUCAGAAGUAGUGUGAACACAAACAAAAUGACAGCGCAUUAAAGAAAGGUAAAAGUGUAAAACGAUUAAGGGGCAAAAAUGUAAAAGUGUAAAAAUUCUGAAAAUCAAAAUAAAGAUGCCGAGAGAAGAAACGCUGUAUCUUCCACAAACACACGAAGAGAAAAGCUUGAUUGGCGUUGAUGGAGAUUGAAAAGCUGCAAUCGGAGAAGAAGAGUGAAAGAGGCAUGUACCAGGUACCAACAACUGAACUCAACAUUUUUAUUAUUAUGAAAAAAAGACAACAAUUUACAACUCAAAACCUAUUUCUAUAGGUUUCGGAAAAAUCCAAAACAAAGAGAUACUGGUGAUAACCGGUAUGUCAACAGAAACCCACCCACCCAAAACUUAAGAAAGCCAAUCUUCAUAAAUACGCAGUCAUUGAUGUUAGGACAAGAAUCCAAGGUUUUUUUUUUUCCUUCAUUCCUUCUUGCAUUGUAAAAUUUUAAAAUCUUUUAAAUUCAACCAUUCAAAAUAGUAAUUUAAAGUUUAGUAUUAUUAUAAAUUAUAUUCUUUUGAAAUGUUACACAGUCCAUUUUCAGAAGGAAAUGGAUGCUAAAUUGUACACAAUCCAUUUAUUAUCUUCUCUAUCCUCAUAAAUAUGAGUUUGGAAGAUCAGAUCUGUUGGUAUAUGCAUUAUAGUUUAAGUUUUCAGUGUGUUGAUAUAUUAAAAAUUAUACUUUGAGAAUCUGGAGUUGUAACGUGAUAGUUUUAAAAAAUAUAUAUGAUACAAAAAAAAUUAUAAUUAAAUAAUGUGAAAAAUUAUUAAAAUAAUAAUAUUGAUAAUUGUAUGGUUGAUGUAGAAAAAAAGAAUUUUCGAUAUAUCAUAGUCGUUUAUAUAUAAUAUGAUUUAAGAUGGCGGCAGAGGAGAAUAGAGAAUUGUGAUUUGGAUGGUUCGGAUUAGUUUAAUAGAAGGAUAAGAAUAAUGGUGUUCAUUUAACUAUUUUUUUUUUAUAAAAGAUUGAAAAUAUCCAUGAAAUACUUUUCUUUAAUUUAAUUAUUUUUUGACGAUAAAAAAAGUCUACACUUUGAAUAAAUAAUUUAUAUAAUUUAAAACAGUAUUUUUUUAAAUAUGAGAAAAUCCAUAAACUAUUUUUAAAAUAUUUAAUAUGAAAAAUGUAAUUAUCAAUUUAUGAUGUAAGAAUCCGUUUUCUUCCAAUAUGAAAGUUUGUGUUUUAAGUUUUGAAGAAUAAAUUGAAUUUGUCUGAAUAAAAAUGACAAUGCGGAAUGAGCUAUGUAGAACGGACUCACGGACUCACUAAUUUUGAUUAUUUCAAAUUUCAAAUUAUAUAAUCCAAUUUUUUUUUUUAAAUUAUGGGAUAAAAUAUAAACCAUAAAGGUGUUUGUUUGUAAGACAAAAUUUGUUUUAUAAACAACAAAUUAUAUAAGGCAUGAGUGUUUAAUCAGGAAGACAAUAUAAUCACUUAUGUUUUACCUAAUAAGUGAAAUCUUCAUCAAAUGAUAAGCACACAAUCUUAAAACUUACAUUGCACGUAACAAAAAUAUUUUUCAAGCUGAUUAUAUGUUGCAACAAAAAUAUGAGAGUUGUUUUAUUUUAAUAAACAUCCCAACACAAGCAUAUGUCAAGUCAGUCUAGCUAUCUACUACAUGCACUCUUCACUUUUACUCUAGUUUGAGUAAAAAUUUCCAUGACCUAGGACUAAUAAGUACUAUCAUCUACCAGAAUGUUGCUUGAAGAGGAUAUUAACAUUUAACUUUUCAUGUAGCACUAGUAAUGCAUCUCUACGAUGCUAUGAGAUGUGAUACCUGAAUUUGAAGCUCUCAAAUAUCAUAAAAGGAUUUACAACGACUAUUUCUUUCUAAGCCACAUAUAAAGCUAGAUUUAAAAAAAAAAGGAAAAUAAGAAUGAACUUGAAGCGUUGAAAUGUUGAUAAAAUCUAAGCUCAAAACCAAACCUUGUGGUUAUUUAGAUAAUCCUGUUUUACAAAUCCUAUUUAUUCAACCGAAAGUGCUUGUUGUCCGAAAAAUACUAUGGGUUGUUUAGCUGGGAGUGGUUGCUUUUCACAAAUACUUAGGUUAUUAACUAGGUGUUUCUAAGUUCCAAAUAGUAUUUGGUUAAUUUUAACCAAGAGUGGUUGAGUUUCAAAUAUACUCAUGUUAUAACUUGCAACGAUAAUCUAUGUAAUUAAACUUAAUCAAUUGAUUGAGAAUUGAAUGCAUAGUAAGUUAUCAGAUAAAUUAGUAUAAAAUUCUCAACAUAACCUUUUGUUUUGAAGGCUUCAAAAGUAAACCAAAUAAAAAAAAGAAAAUUUCUCUUAAAAAAUAAAAUAAAAUUUUAGAUAUUUUGACGGAAUCAAGAUUAUAGUUUAUAAAACCAAUUCAUCCAGGUAUCAGAUGAAGCAAAGACUAAAAUAUGUUUUUAUUUGUGUUAUAUAGAAUUUUUUAUUUGUAUAAAACUCUAAUGAAUUGUUAGUCGCAUCUAGUUUUCAAAAUAAAACUAUGUUUUUUCCUAAUGUAGUAUAUGAUCAACCUAUGUCAAUCGAGAGACAACAUGUCAUACGGGAAGCAUUGUAUGUAUUUUUUCUUUCAAAUUAACAAGGCAAACAAAUUUGAAUUGAAAUCAAAAUGUAAAACCAACUAAAAGGUAAAGCAGAUGACAAAUAGUCUAACAAAUUGUCUAACAACACUCAUAAUGUAAAUACUAAAAUGCAAAUGACAAAAUAGUAAAAACAUGAAAGUAAUGUAAACUAAAGAUAAAAAGUAAAAUGUUGUUGUCAAACUCGUCGAACUUUGGAGCUUGAUUAUUCUCCUUGAGACUUGUGUCUUUUUAUAGGUUUUUUUGCACUAAGGAUUUUGGAAAAAUAUUCUAAUUUGGAUUUUGUUAAUAGUUUCUUAGUUUCCAACUUUUCAAAAUUCUUAGAUCUUGUUUCUAGUUUUAUCACAAUUUUGUUUCUUUAUAGAAGAUUUGUUUCCAAUUCUUUUUUUGAUAUAUUGUAGAUUUCAUUCUCUUAUUCUUCUUCUCAAAUUUCUUUUUUCGUUCUGAUUCAAAGAAGUAUCUUGAGAUAAAUGCACACCAUUAAUAGUUAAGGCAAAAAUAAACCUAAUUAGAUAAAUCUCAAUUAAAACAGUGUAUUUCUUCAUGAUUACAAUCCAAGAAUAUAUCAUUAAAGCUAUUAAGUGUGAAUAAAAUUGUUCAAUAUUGUCCUAUUCAAAAUACACUUUUUGGGUCUUUAACAAUUCUAACAUGUCCAACUUAAUUUUAAAAGAGACAAAUACAAUAAUUUUCUACAAUUCAUAAACUUUAUUGUAUAAGUUUCUAUUAUAAUAAUCAAAACAAGGAACAAAUUCUAUAUAUAAUUAGGAAUAUUUAGAUUAUAUAUGUAUUAUUGAAAAUAUUUUUAUUAAUUUCCUAUCAAAUCUUCAUAUAGUGUGAAAUUGUCUUUAAAUGAAUUUCAACUAAAGGUUUUUUUUUUAAUGAUGAUGAUCUCCUAUCAUAUAAUUCAUAAUGAUGUAAUAUAUAGAUUUAUGUCCUAUAUUUUAGAGAUUAUACAUGUUGAAGUAUCCUGUCCAUGUAGUAUUCGAUAUCCAUAUCGAUAUUUGUGCUACAUAAGUAAUAAUACAAUUUUGGUUACUAUCCCAAGCUUUCUUUUGUACUUUGUGACAACUUCUCUCAUGGUGGAUUCCAUAUAUAGAAGUUGUUAGUUUAUGUUACGUUAGAAUUGAGUCCUUUAAACUUUGGAAGGGUGGGGAACUUCUAGUCUAAUGGAAAUUGAAGAGUUAAAGGUACUUGAAGUUGAGGGUUUUGUCUCUUGUGUAUAUUAUGAUAUGUUUAUUUUAGGUAUAAUUACCUUAUUUAUUCCUAUAUUUAAAGCCAAUAUUCAAUUUAGUACAAUGGUUUUAAAAAAAAUCAAUUUGGUCCUUAUGUUUUUUAAAAUGUAUACAAAUUGGUCCUUUCUGUUAAGUCGCAUCUUACGGCGUCAAAGGUUGCUUAUGUGCCAGACAGAGGUGGCAUUGAGAGAUAUAAUGUGUCAAGGGGCGGUGUACCCUAGGCCUUAACACCGCAUCGUCGCCGACAUCAAGAUCGGUUUCUUCAGUGGUGACGACGGCGACGGGGAGCCGUUCGACGACAGUUUGGGGACGCUGGCACACUCAUUCCACUGCCACUGCAGCCACAAUCGCAACCUUUAAUUCCUCCAUUUCUUCUUCCGCUUCUUCUUCUCCUUCAUCCACCGCCUCUUCCACCUCUGCUUUCAAUGCUGAUGAAACCAAUACAAAUUUUAACAACCAAGAAACUAUGGAUGAAUUUCCACCAAUAAAAAGAGGGGGAAAAUUCUUGAAAAUUUAGGCCUGGCAAUAAUGGCUUUCCAUUGGAGUAAAUAUCAUCAAAUCCUAAUAUUACAAGUUUAACGAGGGCAACGUUUUCCAAUAAAAAUUGUAAAUAUUCAAUAUACCACUUCCAUAAGAUAGACAUAAUUGCUUAAAGUGAAAUGGUUGAUAUUGUUGAUUCAGAUGUCUCAAUUUUGAACCUUUGAUGGUUAAAUUACCAUACACUCAACACCUACCAAGAAUAUAUAGGGAGGGGGAAUGUUCUUUGACAGUGACACCAACAUACCUCCAUUUCAAUGACCAUUGACCUCGGUUCCUAGAAACUUGAGAAAUUGGGAGGAGGAUGAGGUGGGAGAGGUGAUGGGUGAAGGUGGCGAAGCGACGGGGUGUUGAAGGGGCGGUGGUCGGGCGGCGGGGAGGAGAUAUUGGAGAGGGAGAAGCAUAUGUGUUAGAAUGUAUGGCGUUAAACGAGAGGGUCGGGGGGGGGGGGGGGUUUGAAUUGUUUAAAGGGGGUUUUCAAAAACUUUUUCAGCUAGAAUGAAAUUCUUUGCAAGAAACUAGAUUAAGAAUUCAGUUAGCCAAGAAACAAAGCACAAUUCAACAAUGCACCAGAAAAACAAUCGGUUGUUUAUACCAGUAAAAAGAGAUGCACAAACAGUUUAUAUUGGUUCGCUCUUAAACCAAGAGCUACAUCCAGUCCCUAGAAUCCACUAGGUAAUCCACUAAGCAAUCAAUUACAGAUUACACACAAAACCUCCAAAGAAGUGACCUUGAUCCCCUUAAGAAACACACUUCCUUUGGCUCAACACACACCAAUAAUGUUGAUCUUGACAACCUCAAGAGCACACAACCCUUCUUGGCUUUACAACACCAGAAUUUACAAAGUAUUCAGAACGAAUUACACUUCUUACAGAAUGAACUGAAAUCAAUACAGAUGUAAUCCUAUUCCACUCUCUCUUGAGAAAACCAAAGUUGAAUAGUGAAAUAUCAAAUCUUGAAAGCAAUUUCUGAAAAACUCAAAUAUGUUUUUCUCUUUUCUUGUUUGUUAUAAAACAUUAACAAACUAUUUAUAGCUUUCAAAUAUUGGUCAAAGAAUUUAAAACAGGAGCGCAUUCAGUUUGAAAAACAUUUAAAGCACACUCAACUAACAAAACUGAUUUUGUUAGGAUUUUCAAACAAACAAUCGAUUGAUUGCACGAAACAAUCAAUUGUUUUGGUUUGGCAGCAAGUCAACCAACCAAAACAGUUUUCAACCUUUUCAAAAACACCUAAGAGUAAAACAAUCGAUUGUUUUGACAAAAUAACAGGUUGUUUUUCACUUAGUUUGAAAAACACUUUAAACUUAAAAGAUUUGAAAACACUUUAGCUUUAGAUUCAACAAAGAGUGGAUUACACAGAUAAACUACCCAGAUCCUACUCUAAAACACAGCAGCAACUUCAAGCAACUUCAGCCUUCCAUCAAACACUAGGAUUUAGAUUCUUCAAAGCUUUUGAUCACACUUGAUUCAACAGGAUGGACUGGAGAGAGCGCGACGAGGGCAGGGAAUAGUUGAUGGACAUUGUACAAUGGUGUCGUGCAUGUGGAAGGAGAAAUGGAACCGUCUAUCAACAGUGGAGCAGGCGCGGCUGAUGGCGAGGUAGGGAGUGAGGAUGGUAGGGAUAACACAAAUUGACCGGACAGUGGUGGAGGUUGCGGUGGUAGCGCGACCGCACGAGUAUUGGGGAGAGACAUCGUGUGUGUUCGUGAGCUUGAAGACAGGGUUGAAAGAGAAAGAGAAACCCAUCUCUCUCUGCCACAUAAGCAACACUUGACGUAGUAAGCUGGAACUUAAUGGAAAAUACCGAUUUGGAUACAUUUUGAAAAACAUAGGGACCAAAUUGAUUUUUUUAAAACCCACUAUACUAAAUUGGAUAUUGACCCUAAAUGUAGGGACGAAUAAGGUAAUUAUACCUUUAUUUUAAUUAUUCUUUAAAAUUGAUAGAUUGAUAUUUAUGUGUAGUUUUUGUAGUUUUAGACAUAGAAAAAGAAGAAGGUGGUCUAAAUUCAAAUUCACAUCAUAAGGAACCUACAAUUAUGAUUUUCAUGUAUCGUACAUUCAAUUAUAAUAGAGGUGGGUACUUACCAUGAUCCAUGAGAGUCCCUAUGUGAAUAACCUUGGGUCCGCGCCCCGCCUCCGAUUCAUAGAAUAAGUAAAAUAACAUUAAAAGUAGUGGUAUUUCACUUUCGCUGUUUCCAGCUCCCACUUAUCCUACACCUCUCAAGUCAUUUCACAAAGUCGGACUAGAGUCAAGCUCAACAGGAUCUUCUUUCCUCGUUGAUUCCGCCAAGCCCGUUCCCUUGGCUAUGGUUUCGCUACAUAGUAGACAUGGGCAGUGGGAAUCUCGUUAAUCCAUUAAUGUGUUUCUUCAGUUAUAUUUUCUCAAUAUUCUUUACAAUUUUUUUCUUGUCACAUUCCUUUUCGAUGACCAAUAAUGAACAACCUUCUUCGUAGAGAUAGAACCCUAUUUUCUUAAUGUUUCCCAAUUUUCAUCGGAUUAAGUUUUCAUCAUUUUUCAAAAGAUAUAUAUACAAUGGGCCAUUUUAUAUUAUUAAAUCAUAUUUAGGCCCAAAGCCCAAAAUCUCUAUCACAUGAAUUACAUUAUCUAAUUAAUUUAUGUAAUUUUCUAACAUGCUCUCACUUGACUCAUGCGAUGCUAUAAUACUUCAUAAUUCAAUAAUUACAUAAAUCAUAAUAUGCAUUAAAAGACCAAUCAUAAAUUGGUUCCAUCAUUAAUCAUAAUUAGAGAUAAAAAAAUAAUAAGGGUCACGGUUGUUAUAUGUCAUUUAAUCAACAAUCCUUUCAUGUACUAUUAUAUUAUCCUUCUCCUUAAUAUGAAUUUACAAUGAGAAAUUCAUAAUGGGUUAAAAAAUAAUGUUAUUUUCAUCAACAAUAAUAUAAUUUAUUCACAUCAUAAUUUACAUACAUAUACAUAAAGUAGAAAACAUAAAUUUCAUAAACUUAUAUAUCAAUUAGCUCAGGGUGUCAAAUAAGCAUUAAUAACAACAUUCAACAUUCACUAAUAGACAUAAUGUCCAUAUUUUCAAUAUGAUCUAUAAAUGUUUUGGGCGACAACUCUUUUGUUAAAUGGUUAACAAUCAUAAGAUCAAUGGUAAUAUAUUCUAUUGACAUUCUAUGUUUCCAAAGUUCUUCCAUAAUGACAAAAUAUUUUAAUUUUAUAUGCUUAACACCUUUGGAAUACUUGACGUUUUUAGGAAAAAAAUACUACAAAAUUAUCAUAACAAAUUCUCAGUAGGUUAACAAUACUGACAACUAGUCCAAGUCCUGAAAUAAAAUUCUACAACCAAUUUUCCUAAACGAUAGCCUCAAAGCAUGCCAUAGAUUUAAUCUUCGUGGUGGAUGCAACAAUGACAGACUACUUUGCAAUUUUUCCAUGAAAUUGCUCAUUCGGCUAAAAGAUACAAAUAAAAAAUGUAGACUUUCUUGUAUCCAUACAACUAGAAAAAUCUAAAUUUGUAUAUCUAAUGACCUCAAGAUGAUCAAAUCUACUAUAAGUAAGCAUGUGAUUCUUUGUUGCUUGGAAGUGUCUUAAAACUUUCUUUGCAGCUUUCCAAUGAUCAAAUUUUAGAUUACUCUGGUAUCUACCAACCAUACCAACUGCAAAGUUAAUAUCUGGCCUUGUACAUAUUUAAGCAAAUAUCAAACUCUCAAUAACAAAUGCAUAAGGGAUAUUCUCCAUUUGUUUUCGUUUCAAAUAAUUGUUUGGACAUUGCAUGAGAAUAAAUUUGUCCCCUUUAUAUAUUGGAAUGGGAGAUACUGAACAUUUAUUCAUUCUGAAUCUCUCUAAAACUUUAUUAAUACGUGCUUUCUUAGACAAGCCUAACAGUCCUUGUGAUCUAUCACGAAAUAUUUCUAUUCCUAUGAUACAGUACGCCUUACCCAUAUCUUUCAUUUCAAAGUUGUUAAAGAGAAAUUUCUUAGUUUCACUUAAUAGACCAAGAUCAUUAGUUGCAAACAAGAUUUCAUCAAUAUAUAGAAUAAAAAAAUAUAAACUUGCUUCCACUGACCUUCAAAUAUAUGCACUAAUCAACAAUGUUUUCCUUAAAUCCAAAGGACAUAAUAAUAUCAUUGAACUUAAGAUACCAUGCCUGGAAGCUUGUUUAAGUCCGUAUAUUGAUUUCUUAAGUUUAUACACCAUGUUCGUUUCCUUCUUCAAAUGACCCGACUGGUUGGACCAUAAAAACAUCUUGUUCUAUAUUUCCAUUCAAAAAGGCGAUUUUAACAUCCAUCUGAUGCAACUCAAGAUCAUAAUAAGCUACUAAUACCAUGAUAAUUAUAAAAGAAUAUUUCUUAGAAACAGGCGAACAUAUUUCCUUAUAGUUUAUGCCAUCCUUUUGAGUAAAACAUUUGGCAACAAGUCGAUCCUUGUAACGUUCGAUAUGUUAGAAUAUAUGACUUUAAACUAGAGGGGGGGUGAAUUGUUUAAAGAGAGUUUUCGCAAUCUAUUGAGCCUUGAAUGAAAAUACUUCACAAAUACCUUGAUUAAGAAAUCAGUUUUUCAAAACACAAAGCCAAAAGCACAACACUGGGAAAACAAUCGGUUGUUUAUACCAGUAAACAAAUAUCAAAGCUGAAUUCUAAAGAGUUAGGGAUAGAGAAAAUGUACACAAAUGUUUAUACUGGUUCACUCCAAACCCAGAGCUACAUCCAGUCUUCUCAGAAACCCUGAGGAAAUCCACUAAGCAAUCACACCUUGAUCACUUACACAACAACCAAGAGAAUGACCUUGAACACCUCAAGAAACACACUUUCCUUGGCCAACACACCAACACCAAGAUUGCUGAUCUUGAUCCCCUCAAGAACACACAACCAAUCUUAGCAAACACAGAAACGAAACUUGUUUCACAGAGUACAAGGAUUAGACUUGUUACAGAAGUUAAUCUGAAAUCAAUACAAGCAGAAUCGUAUUCCACAAACUUUGAUCAAUCACAAACUCUUAGCAAUCUCAGCUCUUUGAAAAACUCAAAAACUCUUGGCAAAAACUUGUCAAAAGAUUAAUUCUGAAAUUUGUUUUUCUGAAUAUAUUCAAAGAUGUAGUUUUUUUUAUCAAAUCUUAACAAACUCUUAAAUUGCAUUAAAAGAUUGGUCAAAGCAUUUAAUGACUGGAGCGUAAGCAGUUAAAUCAUUUAAAGCUCAGUCAACGAUAAAACAAUUUUUCUGUUAUGGUCCCAAAACAAACAAUCGGUUGUUUCUUCGAAUCAAUCGGUUGUUUUGGUUCUUAACAGUUCAACCAUUUGAAAAACAGUUUUCAAUCUUUUUCUCAAAACACCUAAGUAUAAACAAUCGGUUGUUUCAACAAAACAAUCUGUUGUUUUAACUUAGUUUGAAAACAUUUUACUUUCACAAAGAUUGAGAAUGCCUAUGCUUUAGAUUUAAUCAAAGGGUGGAUUACAACACUCAAACUACCCCAUAACUAAACUAAACCAGCACAGCAACACCAAGCACAGCCAAGGCUUCAACAUCCUUCAAAGGGUUUGGAUUCUUCAAAGCUUGAACACCACUUGGUUCAACAAUCUCCCCCUAUUUGAUGAAGACAAAUCUCUGGUGCUUGUGUUUGAUCUGAUUGAAUCUGAAGCAGUACCUGCAAAAAAAAAACAUUUAUACUGUCCAAAGCUUCUUACAGCAGCAGGUUAGUUUAUUACACAUUCAAAGCAUAAAACAUGAUAAACAAUCGGUUGUUUACACGAAACAAUCGGUUGUUUCUAUCAGCAGCAGCAGAAAACACUUUUAUAUCAGAGAUUUAUACAGUAUCAGAUAAAGAUAUACAAGAACCAAUUAAUUCUCCCCCUAUUUGUGUUCACAAAUAGACUUUAGCAUGUAUUAAAAAAGAUUUAGGAGAGAUUAUUAAGGUCAAGAAUACUUAACUCAUUUCUUAAGAAGAAAAACCUCUCUUUUGGUAAAGGUUUUGUGAAGAUGUCAGCUAACUGCAGUUUGGUCUCCACAAACUUCACUUCAUAGUUCCCAUUGUUUACAUGAUCUCUGAUGAAAUGAUGCCUUAUCUCAAUAUGUUUGGUCUUUGAGUGCUGAAUCUGAUUUUUGGUAAGAUUGAUGGAACUUGUGUUAUCACACAUCAAAGGAACCUUGCUGAUUUGUAAUCCAAAGUCUGCAAGUUGUUAUUUGAGCCACAAAAUUUGUGCACAGCAGCUACCAACAACUAUAUAUUCAGCCUCAGCAGUAAAGAGAGCAACACAUGCUUGCUUCUUGCUAUGUCAUGAGAUUAGGCUUGAGCCAAGAAGGUGGCAAGUGCCACUUGUGCUCUUUCUAUCUAGCUUGCAACCUGUAAAGUCAGAAUCUGAAUAACCAAUUAAAUGAAUUGGAGAGUGAGAAGGAUACCAUAAUCCAACAGAUGAUGUUCCUUUGAGAUAUUUCAGAAUUCUUUUUGCAGCUUUGAAGUGUGACUCUUUAGGAUUUGCUUGAUAUCUUGCACAUAGAUGCACUGCAAACAUGAUGUCCGGCCUACUAGCUGUUAGAUAAAGCAAAGAUCCAAUCAAUCCUCUGUAUUUUUUUUGAUCUACACUCUUUCCAAUAGCAUCAGCAUCCAUGUAACAGCUUGAUGGCAUUGGAGCGCUGCUUCUUUGCAACUCUCCAUUUCAAAUUUCUUGAGAAUCUCCUUGCAAUACUUUGAUUGACUUAAGAAGAUCCCAUUCUUUGUUUGCUUAACCUGCAAUCCAAGAAAGAAAGACAUUUCUCCCAUCAUAGACAUUUCAAACUCACCUUUCAUUGCAGCCACAAAUUCUUCACACAAACUAUCUUGUGUAGCACCAAAGAUGAUAUCAUCAACAUAGAUUUGCACAAGAAUUAUUUCUGCAUUUGACUUUUUGAUGAAAAGAGUCUUGUCUACCAUUCCCCUUUCAUAUCCAUGAGAUAGCAGGAAGUUGCUAAGCCUCUCAUACCACUGCCUUGGAGCUNNNNNNNNNNNNNNNNNNNNNNNNNNNNNNNNNNNNNNNNNNNNNNNNNNNNNNNNNNNNNNNNNNNNNNNNNNNNNNNNNNNNNNNNNNNNNNNNNNNNAUACUUAUGAUCUUCAAAGCCCGGUGGUUGAUCUACAUAGACUUCCUCAUUGAUGUAGCCAUUCAAGAAGGCACUCUUGACAUCCAUUUGGAAGAGCUUGAAACCACUCAUACAAGCAAAAUCCAGCAGCAGCCUCACAGCCUCCAAUCUAGCAACAGGAGCAAAAGUUUCACCAUAGUCUAUACCCUCCUCUUGAUUGUAGCCCUUGGCAACUAGCCUUGCUUUGUUUCUUGUGAUCACACCAUCUUCAUCUAGCUUGUUCCUGAAAACCCAUUUUGAACCAAUAAUAUUCAUUUCAUUAGUGUUAGGGACAAGAAACCAUACCUCAUUCCUGGCAAACUGAUUCAACUCUUCAUGCAUAGCUUCAACCCACUUCUCAUCCUUGAGAGCUUCCUCAAUUGAUUUUGGUUCAAUUUUAGAGACAAAAGUUGUGUGUCUGCAGAAGUUUGAGAUGGAGCUACGUGUGGAAACACCUUCCUUUAUCUGCCCUAUGAUGUUAUCCACUGACAGAUCUCUAGGAAUCCUCCACUCCUUGGGCAGCUCACUCUGUUGCAGAAUUUCAAUCGGUUGUUUCUGCGAAUCAACCAGUUGUUUUUCUGCACAGAUUUCCAGCUUCUCCAAACUGAUGCUCUGUUCGUCUUCUUCAGCAUUGGUCUUUGUGAUUUGAUUGACUCUGCGAUCUACCUCAUCAAAGACAACGUGAACUGAUUCUUCUACAGUCAUCAACCUCUUGUUGUAGACUCUAUAUGCAUGACUUGUGAGUGAAUACCCUAUGAAGAUACCAAGGUCCGCUUUCUCAUCAAACUUUCCCAAGUUUUCCUUUCCAUUGUUGAGAACGAAACAGCUGCAGCCAAAGACUUUGAGAUGACUGAUGUUAGGCUUCCUUCCAUUGAAGAGUUCAUAUGGAGUUUUCUUCAAAAUAGGCCUUAUAAGCACCCUAUUCAUCACAUAACAUGAGGUGCUCACUGCAUCUGCCCAAAAGUACUUAGGAAGUGAUGAUCCACUAAGCAUUGUCCUUGCUAGCUCUUCAAGAGACAUGUUCUUCCCCUCUACCACUCCAUUCUGCUGUGGUGUUCUUGGAGCAAAGAAAUUAUGCAGAAUUCCCAAUUUCUCACAAAAUUUGCUAAAAUUCUCAUUCUGAAAUUCUCCUCCAUGAUCACUCCUAAUAGAACCUAUGUUGUAGUUCUUUGUAUUUUGUAGCCUUCUUGCUAGCUUUUUGAAUGCAGAAAAGGCAUCACUCUUUGAUUCCAAGAAAAGAGUCCAAGUGUACCUAGAAAAGUCAUCAACAAUAACAAGAGCAUAAUAAUUUCCACCAAGACUCAUAGUUUUUGAGGGUCCAAAGAGAUCCAUGUGAAGAAGUUCAAGGGGUCUCAAAGAUGAAACAACAUUUUUAAUUUUGAAAGGACUUUUCACUUGUUUCCCUUUUUGGCAUGCUUCACAAAUGUGAUCCCUCUCAAACUUGAGUUUUGGCAGCCCAAUCAGAAGAUCCUUUGAAAUUAGCUUGUUCAAAUGAUUCAUGUGAAUAUGAGAAAUUCUUCUAUGCCAAAGCCAAGAUUCAUCUUGCUUGGAUAGUAGACAUCUAAUUGAACAUGGUGAAGAGAUAUCUAGAAGAUAAACAUUAUUAACUCUCUUACCUACCAACAUUACCUCUUUGGUGUUGGGUAGACAGAUUUCACAUGUGUUUGACUUGAACAUCACUUGAUAUCCCCUGUCACAUAGUUGGCUAAUGCUCAGCAGAUUAUGCUUUAGGCCUUCUACAUAAAGCACAUCAUGGAUUACCAAGAUGUCUUUGUCUCCUAUGGAUCCUCUCCCAAGAAUCCUUCCUUUGUUGUUGUCUCCAUAGGUGACAUGACCCUCUUGCUUAAAGGAGAUACACAGGAACUUUGUUUUGUCCCCUGUCAUGUGCUUGGAGCAUCCACUAUCCAAGUACCAUAGUUGCUUGCUCUCCUCCAAGAUUUCCUACAAAAGAGAUUUUCAAGUACAAAGAUUUGGUCCCCUUAUGAAUGUGGGUCCACUUGGUUUACACUCAUCAAUCAAAGCUUUAUUACUCUUAGGAAUCCACUUCAUAAGACCUUUAGGAACAACAAAUUUUUUGAUUUUACAGAACCUCACAGAAUGGCCUCUUUUCAUGCAAUAGAAGCAUGUAACAAUCGGUUGUUUCGAUGGUCCAAUCGAUUAUUUUUCUGGCAUUUUUGAAAAUGAUUUUGAAAAUCUAUCUUGUUUGUUUUGUGGAUUAAAACCCAAUCCAGCUUUUCCAAAAACACAGUUUUGAGAUGCUAGAACACUCUCAAAGUUGGAUUGGCCUUUAGAAAGCUUAUCCACAGUUUUAACAAGAUAGUGAACCUUCUUUUCAAGAUUUUCACAAUUUUCACAAACUAGAGUAUCACACUUGCACGAGGAGUUUUUGUAAAUGAUUUCAAGAUUUUCACAAUCUGUUUUUGAAUUUUCUAAUUCCUCUUCCAGUGUCUUUACUCUGUUUUCAAACCAGCUAUUCUUUUCUUUUAACCGAUUGUUCAAGAGAGCCAAUCGAUUGGCUUCAUCAUGUGUUUCUUGAAAGGCUUGAAGCAAUUGACCAUAAUUUUCAGAGUUUGAGGAGUUUGAUGAACUUACACUACUUGAGUCAUCCUCCUUUCUGGCCAUGAAGCAGAGGUUGAGGCUUUUCUUAUUUUGCCUUCUUUUCCUUCUUGCUUGAUUAUUUGUCAUUGCCUACUUUGGUUCAUUGUGACCAUGAGCAGCCUUGAGAGUGUCCCACAUAUCCUUAGCAGUUUUGCAUUUUGAUAUCCUGAAAAACUCAUCAGUAUCUAAUGCAGAGGCUAUUAUGUUUUGAGCAGCACAAUCAAGCUUGGCCAACUUACAUUCAUCAUUGGUCCAUUGAGACCAAGGUUUUGUAAUGAAAGAACCAUUCUUUUUAAACUUUGGAAUGUAAGAACCAUUCUCAAUUGAAUCCCAAAUUCCUUGAUCAAUAGAUUCCAUAAAGAUUUUCAUUCUUGCUUCCCAAUAUUUGUAAUUCAAUCCACAUAAUAAAGGUGGUUUGUAGAUUGAGGCACCUUCCUCAAAAGAUAGUUUUCCAGCCAUAGAAAAAGAUUUUUGGAUCAACUUGAAUAACUUUCAAGAACUUAGCUCUUGAUGCCAAUUGUUAGAAUGGAAGGCUUUAAACUAGAGGGGGUGUGAAUUGUUUAAAGAGAGUUUUCGCAAUCUAUUGAGCCUUGAAUGAAAAUACUUCACAAAUACCUUGAUUAAGAAAUCAGUUUUUCAAAACACAAAGCCAAAAGCACAACACUGGGAAAACAAUCGGUUGUUUCGCAGAAACAAUCGGUUGUUUAUACCAGUAAACAAAUAUCAAAGCUAAAUUCUAAAGAAUUAGGGAUAGAGAAAAUGUACACAGAUGUUUAUACUGGUUCACUCCAAACCCAGAGCUACAUCCAGUCUUCUCAGAAAUCCUGAGGAAAUCCACUAAGCAAUCACACCUUGAUCACUUACACAACAACCAAGAGAAUGACCUUGAACACCUCAAGAAACACACUCUCUUUGGCCAACACACCAACACCAAGAUUGCUGAUCUUGAUCCCCUCAAGAACACACAACCAAUCUUAGCAAACACAGAAACGAAACUUGUUUCACAAAGUACAAGGAUUACACUUGUUACAGAAGAUAAUCUGAACUCAAUACAAGCAGAAUCCUUUUCCACAAACUUUGAUCAAUCACAAACUCUUAGCAAUCUCAGCUCUUUGAAAAACUCAAAAACUCUUAGCAAAAACUUGUAAAAAGAUUAAUUCUCAAAUUUUUUUUUUCUGAAUAUAUUCAAAGAUGUAGUUUUUUUAUCAAAUCUUAACAAACUUUUAAAUUGCAUUAAAAGAUUGGUCAAAACAUUUAAUGACUAGAGCGUAAGCAGUUAAAUCAUUUAAAGCUCAGUCAAAGAUAAAACAGUUUUUCUGUUAUGGUCCCAAAACAAACAAUCGGUUGUUUCCUCGAAUCAAUCAGUUGUUUUGGUUCUUAACAGUUCAACCAUUUGAAAAACAGUUUUCAAUCUUUUUCUCAAAACACCUAAGUAUAAACAAUCGGUUGUUUCGACAAAACAAUCGUUUGUUUUAAUUUAGUUUGAGAACAUUUUACUUUCACAAAGAUUGAGAAUGCCUAUGCUUUAUAUUUAAUCAAAGGGUGGAUUACAACACUCAAACUACCCCAGAACUAAACUAAACCAGCACAGCAACACCAAGCACAACCAAGGCUUCAACAUCCUUCAAAGGGUUUGGAUUCUUCAAAGCUUGAACACCACUUAGUUCAACACGAUAUUGCCAUGAGAGUUACAUUUACUCUUAAAGACCUAUUUAUACCCAACUCUAUUACAUCCUUCUUGCAAUUCCAUAAGGUCCUACACAUAAUUUCGUGUCAUUGAUUUAAGUUCAUCUUUCGUAGCAUAUAAUCUCUUAUUAGAAUUAUCAACAUUGAUUGCUUCUGAAAAUGAAACUGGAUCAUUAUCAAUGUCUAAGUCAUUUUCUAACUCUUGUAGAUAAAUCACUUAAAUCAUUUAAAAUAGUAGAUUUCCUUUCUCUUUGAGAUAUUCUUAAUAAUAUUUCUUGUGGUUGUUCUACUACAAAUUCAUUUUUAAUCUCGAGAUCAUUAAUUUGUUCUUCUUCUUCACCAUUAUGUGAUUCAACGUGAGGAAAACAAAUUCUUGAAGUAGGGGUACUAGUUAAAGGAACUUGUACUCGAACUUCCUUAAUCUUCACAUUUCAUGAAGUUUCACUCCCACUGGUUUCACUAUUCUAAAUGAACCAGACAUUUCUAGUUUCAACAAUUCUUGUACUAUGGGUAGGACGGUAAAUUAUAUACCCUUUUGACUUUGUUGGAUAAUCAAUGAAAUAUCCACUAAUUAUUCUCGCAUCUAGUUUCUUUUCUUGCAGAUUUUAUAUUCUAAUUCUUUCUUCACAAUCCCAAACAUACAAGUGCCUCAAAUUGGGUUUCCAACCUGUCUAUAAUUCAAAAGGUGUCUUUUGAACUGCCUUAAUAGGAACUCUGUUCAACAAAUACGUGACAAUUUUUAAAGCAUACAUCCAUAAUGAUAUAGGCAAAGAUGAAUUACUUAACAUGCUCCUAAACAUAUCCAUCAAGGUUUGAUUAUGCCUUUUUGACACACCAUUUUGUUAUGGUGUACCUAACAUUGUGGCUUGAGCACAAAUACCAUGUUUCGCAAGGAACUUAGCAAAUGGUCCAAGGUGUUGUUCACUUUCAUCAUAUUUUCCAUAAUUUCCACCACCUUUAUCUGAACUAAUGAUGACUUUCUACGACAAGUGCACCGCGUUGUCAGAAGUAAUAAUUUAUCCCGAAGGACGGAUAUCUAUCCCACAAGGAACAGUGAAUUAUCAACUACAAUACUCGCUAAUAUAAAACAAAACAAUAAAAAGUGUGUUGAAAGUGAUUGUAUUGGCGAUGAUCAAUAAGAAAACAGACAAAUAAUUAGUUGUUUCAAGUUGAAAAAAUAGGGAUUAGGUUUCAUUUGUCUUACUUUUAUGUAUUUUGAUUAGCAUGUUAACAUUAUGUUCUUUGAUUGAAAUUGAUGUCCGUAUAAAAGUCAUUUAUAUCGACUCCUCGCAUAUAAAAUUCUUAAGAAUAUUCCCUAAAUAUCGAUCCCUCACAUAUUUAUAAGAACAACUUAGAAUCAAGCUCAGACGUUAAUAGCAAUUAACAUUUCAAGUCUAUUCCUAGCACUCAAAUAUGUUAAGUAUUAUUGUUUAGGUCAACACCCUAAAAACACUUUUCAGUUAGAUUUAAGAUUCUCAAACAUGUCACAAAUAUUUAGAAGCAAAACAACAAUACCACUAAUCAAUCAAUAACAGAAUAUUAUAUCAUAAUUAAAUAUCACCUCAAUAUAUAAGAGUUUGAACAAAUUACUCCCAAUCCCAAAGGGUAAACUUAGCCACACAUACUUUUAGCUUCUUCCAUUCUCCCAAUUGGUUACAAUUCACUCAAUGGUAUUUUCCUCUCAAUCUAGCACACUAGGUUUGUGCAUCUAGCCCUCUAUUUAAGCUAAUUUGCUAGGGUUAGGUGACUUCCUACGAUGCGCUUUGGGCUUGUUCAUAAAAAUAUAAAAUUAGUCCAAUUAAUCUGACGCAUUAUCGCUGUUGAGUUGGACUUUUUUCUCUCUUUUGUGUGUUUUGGACCUACCAGCUUUCUCCUUUUAGCAUAUAUCAUUUUUCUUUAGUCUAAAUCUCUAUUCUUCCCUAGAAACCUACAAUUAACACCAAAUUUGGGAAUAAAAUGUUCUUAUUCAAUUAAAGUCAUAAAAAAUAUAAAAAUGUAUAAAUUCAUAAAUUAGGGAUUAUUUUAUAUGUAAAUUAGCAAUUAAUACUAAUAAGUUUCUAUAUUUUAAUAUGAAAUAUUACUGAAAUUAGGCACUUAUCAACUAACAAUUUUCACUUUUCUGUUUAAUUGUCUUUUCACUUGUUUUAUAUAAAUUUCCAAGGCAUUCACUGCUUGAAAUUUUUCUCAUGCAAUAAAUAAACAUAACGAUAACAUGAAAAAUCAUUAAAAGAUGUGAUAAAAUACCUUUCUUUAAUGAAAGAAAUUACAUGAAAAAGUCCACGUAUAUUAGUGUGUAUAAUUUCAAGAAUCUAAGUGCUUAUUGUGGCUUCUUUCUUUGUGUGUUUUGUUUGUUUGUCUUUAGUACAAUCCACACAUACAUUCAUAUUAAUAAAAUCUAAAUUCUGAAGUAUUUCAUUCUUUACUAAUCUUUGCAUCCUUUCUUUUGAAAUGUGUCCCAAACAUUUAUGCCACAAGUAAACAAAACAAUCAUUCACUAAACUAUGUUUAAAGCUAACAUUAUGAUGCAAUGUCAUAAGAGUUUCAACAUAUAAAUUAUCAAUAUUCAAUUUAUAUAAACCAUCAUAAAGUGUACUACAUUCAAUCAUACAAGUAUGCUUAUACAAACUGAAAAAGCCAUUCUCAAACAGAAAAGAAUAUCCAACAACAUUAAGUUUAGACAAGGAAACUAAAUUUCUAGAAAUACUAGGUACAUAAAAAGUUUCAAACAAGUUUGAAUGAAAUCUAGUGUUAAAGAUUAAACAAUAAGUCACGAUAGUGAUGACUUUCUUUCGGCAAGUUUAUCGAGUCAAAAGUAAUAAAUUGUCCCUAAGGACGAAUAUCGAACCCACAAGGAACAAUCCUUUUAAAAUCACAAGGUAUAGUGUUCACUAAAUAUCAAAAGAUGUGCAAAAGUUUGAUUGAAAAGGUAUUAGUAUCAUAAAUUUGUGUUAGAAGUUAAAUGAAAGCAAAGUAAAUGAAUAAGAUAAUUCAAUUGAGAAAAUUGGGACUAGGAUUAAUCCUUCUCACUCGUCUAUAUUUUUGAUGAAUAAAAACAUAUAACAUUUUAGGUUGAUUGACAUUGAUGUACAUAUAAAAAUCAUUCAUAUCAAUUUUUAGCAUAUAAAAUUAUUAAGAGUGUUUAAUAAGUAUUGAUUCCUCACAUAUUUAUAAAAACAUUAUUAUCAUUACGAAUAGUUGUUAUAAAGCAAUUAACGUUUCAAAUUUAUUCAUAGCGUUCAAAUAUGUUAAGCAUUAUCAUUUAAGUCAGACACUAAUAAGUAUUUUUCAGUUAGAUCUAAGGAUCAACAUUAUGAAUAAAGAUUCAAGCUUUAAGAAUAAAAUGAUAAUAUCAAUAUAAAUCAAGAAAAAAAUAUUAUAAAUAAAUAUCACCUCAAUACAUCAGAGUUUGAACAAAUUACUCCCAAUCUCAAAGGGAAGACUUAGUCACUCAUAUUGGUUUACAAGCAUUGAAAGCAAAAAAAGAAGAUCUAAAAUGUUUUGUCUUAACGGCUGCCUCCUUUAGGGUUUCCUACCACAUAGAAAAAUUUUCUCCCUGUCUUUACGUCUUCAUUUAACUUAAUUGGGUUUGAGCUAAGUGUCAUCUUUAUUCUUAAUAUGAAUAUGCUUCAUCUCUACUUAAAUUCCUAAAAAUAACACAAAAUUGUGAAUAAAUAAUUCUAUUAAUCUCAUAACUCUAAAAUAUAUUAUUAAAUUCUAAUUUUUCAAAUUAGGUUUGAGUCAUAGCUUAAUCAAAAAUUAAAAUGAGUAAAUGUAUAACUUUUUGCAUGGAAUUUCACUAAAUAACGGCACUUAUUAGACAACUUCCACUGGAACUUUCACUCUAUUCCCCAUGAAGACAAAAUUCUCAUUUGAAUUUAUGGUUCAAUUUGAAAGGAGUCCCUACAUCAUAUUAGAAACAUGAGUUGUACAUCCAAAAUCAUUCCACCAAGUAUUAUGUGGAACUUUAGUUAAGUUUGAAUCAAAACAUAUAUAAGCAUUAUGCUCACUUUUCUUUUCGAACCAAGUUUAAUGUUUAGGGUAGUCCUUCUGAAAAUGUCCAAAUUUCCUUCAUAAAUGACAUUUGUCAUUUUCUUCUGGAUUUUAGUAGAGGACUCAUUAAUCUCUGAUGGUCCUCUAGCCUUUCCAUGUUUCUUAUGAACUUUCUUUCCAACUCCCUGAUUAUUCACAUGAUGAAUGGAGUGAUUUCUUGAUUCUUAAGUUUGAUCUCUUCUUGCACUAACAUGUGCAAUUCAUGCACAUUUCAUUUUUCUUUCAUGGUAUUAUAGUUCAUUUGGAAAGGCCAUACUCAGAUGGUAAUGAUUUCAAGAUGAACUGCACAAGAAAAUUCUCAUUCACUGUCAUUCCAAGAUACUUAAGUCUUACUGCAACAUUUGUUAUCUCAAUAACAUGUUCAUGUAUAGUACAAGAACCAUCAAACUCCAUGGUGGUUAAUGUACUCAUUAAUGUCCCGACAAAAGACUUAUCAGCAGUUGGGGAGCACUCUUCCACAAAUCUCAAAUUCUUUUGCACUUUCAGUUUUGGGAAGAGUAGACUUAAUGUUACUUUGUUAUGCUCAUUUGCAUAAACAUUAGGUUAGGCCUAUUUGACUUUUCCUAAGCCCUAUAAUGGAUUUUUUCUUCAUUGUUGCUAGCAUCAAUAAUAAUAGUAGGUUUAUCAACUUGAAAAGUCAAAUGAAGAUCCAAUACACCUAACUGAACUUGGACUUGUUCACUCCAAUCAGAAAAAUUUAAUUCAUUAAAAACUGAAACAAACAUAGCAAGCAGAUAUAAAGAUACAGGGAUCGAUACUACAAUUAGCAUAUGCUUAACAUUAAUACUUAUAAUCAUAAAUUAAACAUACAAUACAAAUUCAGAUAACAAACAAACAUUUUAUACAUACUAGUGUUCUCUUUCUCCUUUGGGUGAUACAUUAAUACACAAAACAUAAUGAUACUAAUAAUAUUAACAUUCUUUAAGAAGAUAUAUGCAUAACUAAAUAUUUAUUAUCUUUUGAUAUAUAAAUAAAACUAAUAACAUACUCACUACCAACUUCCAUAUCCAUUAAUUAUAAGAACAAUUAAUUAACCUUUAGUUAGUCCAUAAAUACCUUAUAAUAAUGAAUUUCAAUUAAACCAUAAACCAAUAAUUUAUCAUUCAACAUUCAUUAUAUAAAUAAUUAAAAUAAAAUUCAUCAUUAUAUAAAUAAAUAAAAAUAAAAAUUUGAUCAUUUUAACAAUUACCAAUCUACCAUAAAAUCAAUUCCAAGAGAGAAAAAAAGCGUCAUCACUUUUCAUUCAAUUAUUUGACAUACCAUAUAUUUAACUAUAAUAAAGAUAAUCAAUUACUUUCAUCCAUCUAUAUAAGUUUUUAUGUAAAUAAUUUUUAAUCUUCUUUUGUCGGUCUAUCUUUCACAAUUUUUUUCUUGUCACACUUUUUUUUACUAUAAUAAUCUUAUCUUUUCUUUUUUUUUCAAUUUUGUACAAAGACAAAAUUCUAUGUUUUUAAUUUUCAUCAUAUUAUAUUUUUAUCAGUUUUCAAAAUAUAUAUAUAACCUCCUUAAUUUAUUAAUGAACUUUUUUAUAUUAUUAAUUAUAUAAUCAUAUUUAAGUUUAAAAUAAAAAAUUCAAUUAUUUAAUUAAUUUAUAUAAUUUUAUAAUAGGUAAAAGAAGAGUAGAAAGACUAGGAACAUAUCUUAAUAUUUUUAAAGAAGAGCAUGAUGGAUUUUCCUAAUGGAGGGGAGAUAAGUAUGCAGGACGUGGAGAAUAACUACAUCGGAGGAGAAAACAAUGAUGAAGAAAACAGAAUUGAAAGCUCAGAAGAACGCAGUGAUGAAGUUCAGGCACAUGGUUGGAGUUUGCUGCCAAAAAGAACAUACGAUGCAAUAAAACAAAAUAAGGCUGAGUCAUGGAGAGAAAUAGAUUAUCAGAGUUUACAGCAAGAGAGCCCUAAGGGGAACACGGUGCUGCAUGUAGCAGCUCUCUAUGGAAAUGAUAGGUGUGUGGAAAGAAUAGUUGAAAUUGGUGGAGCAGAGCUUUUGACAGCAAAAAAUAGAAAUGGUGACACCCCUCUGCAUGUUGCUGCAAGAGCUGGCCACAUCUAUACUCUUCACAAGUUGUUGACUGCAGUUCUUCGUAAUCCAAAUUCUGAACAAGCCAAAGAGGCAAUCCUAGUAACCAACAACCAAGGAAAUACUUUGUUUCAUGAAGCCUUCUUGAAUGGUCACAAAGAUGUAAUGGAGAUUCUAGAUUCUUCACCAGGCUUCAGGGAAUUGGUUGAGAAAACUGUGUUUACUUUUACAAACAAAGAAGGCAAAUCAGUUUUGCACUUAGCAUUUGAGAAAGGCUACGAGGACAUUGUUGAUGAUGUGUUGACCAGAACAAUUCCUGGUAUGGAAGGUACAUAGUUGCCACAACCUUUUAAACUUCCUCCUAUUAUUUUUGCUAAUGCUCUAUUUUCCUUAGUAUGGAGGAACAUAUAUUAAUAAUAAGUCAAGAUAACAACAUCUACCACUACUUUGGAAUUCCAUUUCUGUUAGCUUUUUUUUUUUUCUUAUUAAGGGAAAUUUAUCCUUCCUAAAUUAAGAAAUUUUUGGUCAAUUUAUUAAUAAAUAAAACAUAUAUUAGUAAAAUUUAAAAAAUGAUUAUUUUAUGAAACUUAACUGAAUAGUUAAUUACAAAGUACUAAUAAGUUAGGUUAGGCCUUUUCAAUUUUGAGAUUAAUAUUUUAUUUCGAAGUUGUAUUUUAAAUUAAAAUUUCUCAAAUGUCCAACCUUUUUAUUCUUAUUAAUACACAAAUGUCUUUAAAGCAUCUCCAAAAAUUGUUCAGGGGAGUUUUCCUAAGAUGUAAAAAAUUGAAAUGUAAAUUAAUUUUUUAAUAACUUUAACUGAUACGGCAUUUUAACAGAUGGCAUACAUUUCAAUGGAAUUAUACAGAUUUAAUUUUUUAAAUUUUUUUUAUAAAUUGAAAAAAUUGCUUAGUAAAUAAUUCCAAUUCUCUAUAUUUUAUAAGUAUUUUUUUUAGUUUUAAACAACUAUAUAUUAGUAAUUUACAUUAAAAUAAUAUUUUUAUUCACAUAUAUCUCACUGUGAGAAAACUAAAAAUCAUAAUUGUUGCUUCAUAAUUCUGCAGUUAUGAUAUGUUCGGAUAUAAAAGAAUAGUUUAUAUAAUAACAUUUUUAUCAAAACAAAAAUCAUCUAAACUUAUAUUUAUAUUUAUUAUGUCCUAUCUAUAUAUUAUUUUUUAAAAUAUCUUAUUGAGUUGAUCGUUGUCGAUGCAGGACCAGUAUCUUCCCGCUCUUAUUCAGAUUCUAAUAAUGAAGAUGAAGAUGAUGAUGAUAAAGAAAAUGAUGAAGAUGAAGGUUAGAACACUGUAGAAAUAAUAACUGUUUCUAAACGGUAGUUCAAAAUUGGCCACAUUUUUUUUUUUUGAGUACAUGCAUUUAUAGACAAAUUUUCUAAUAAGUUUUUUUUUAAUAAAUAAUUUAAAAUUAAUUAAUUACAAGUUAGAAGUUUUUCUCUUAUUAUUUUUUACUGCACUCUAUUUUCUCAAAAGUUUCUAAUCAGAGUGAGUUAGUAGGAGAAGGAGCACUAUAAUAAAAUUAUUAAAUAAAAGUUAAUUUAGAUCUUAAUAACUUUUUUAAUUUUUAAAAUAGUAUUUAAUUUAAUUAAUAUAAUAAUUAAUUUUUUAAUUUUUAGAAUUUAUUUUUAUUUAAUGAUUAUUUGGUUUUUUUUUAAAAAAAUAGAAUGAAUACAAAGGAAUAUUUGAGGUAUCCCAACCCAAUAUACCAUUAUUUGGUAGUGGAAGAAUAUAUUAGUCAGAAUGAAGAUAUGAAAAUAUUUACACCUAGAAUGUUAUAGUUUUCAAUUGUUAUCUGCAAUAGUAAUUGCGGCUAUUGCUAUUGCAAAGUUUCCCUAAUUAAGCACUCUUCAAUUGAUGCAUUCGCAAUGAAGAUGGACAUAACUGCAACAUAGUUUUUAUUUUCCUUCUUCUUCAUAAUAAUCCUCCUACUUUAUAUAGAUGUCAUAGUUGUUUUUAUUAUUUUAUUGUGGAGAUAUUUUUAGAAUUUUCUCAUGAGAAUUGUGCAAAGAUAAUUUUAUUUUGAUCUUUAAAUCUUAACUAAAUAAUAUAUAGUCACUAAUAAUGUAAAAAUUAAAGUUACGAAAGUUUUAUCUAAGCAUAAAAUGUUAUGUAUAGUAAGUUUUUUAUUGUUAUAAUACUUACUUAAGUUAAUUAUGAUAAGAUGAUUUUUUUAAUUGGCUAUUAGUGUAAAAGCUUCUACACUCUUGAAAUGUUAAUGGGCAUUGAAAUCGUAAACACCCCUUUUGUUAAUACAAUUUCAGAGGUGGUACAGGCGAAAAUGAAUCUGGAUAUUCGAAUGAGAAGAAGGAGAAACAUGUACAGGUUCAUAAAAAAGGACCGAGCUCGAUCACCACUCAUUGUGACAAUCUUAAAACAGAAUAAAGGUAAUUUUUGUUCUAUAAUUGUAAUUUUUCUCUUAUCAUUCACUAAUCAAUUUAUUUACAGGAUACUAACUAUUGGAGAUCUGAACACUAUCUCUCCACUGCAUUUUCUUUCUGUGUAGAUGGAGUAAUUAAAUUUUAAUAAAACUUAAAUAUUUGAUGCAUUCGAUAUUUCUCAACCACAUUCUACUUGUAAUUGGUUAUUUAUAAAAUAUUACAGGUAUUCUAGAGAAAAUAGUAAAGAGAAAGAAAGAAUGGAUUCAUGUUAAGGAUGACAUAGGAAGAAAUGCUCUUCACUAUGCAGCAUCUAUAGGCUACCUACAUGGUGUUGACUACUUGCUUCAAAAUUGUCAUACCUGCAAUAUGGAAAGAGACAACAAUGGUUUUUUUCCACUUCAUCUGGCUUCUACAUUUGGUCAUAUAGAAGUGCUAAAGAAAUUGCUUGAAAAUUGUCCAAAUCCCAGAGAAAUAGUUGAUAACAAAGGUCGAAAUAUUGUUCACAUUGCAGCUAUAAUGGGACAAUUUAAUGUUGUAAGGUACGUCUUGCGAGAUGCAAAUGAUGGAGUUAAAGAUAUGAUAAAUGAUAAGGAUUACGAUGGAAACACUCCGUUGCAUUUGGCUGCCUCACACUCUCGUCCAAAAAUUGUGCAAGCCUUGACAUGGGACACAAGAGUGGAUCUCCAUUGCCUUAACAACAACAACCAAACAGCUCUUGAUGCUUUUGAGCAAUUUAAACAAGAAAAUAAUCCGCCCUACCCCCAGGCAAGUAUAUAUAGAAUAAUGUAUUUGCUCACAAAUUCAAUAUUUAAAUAUGUUUUUUUUUUAUUUAUAGUGAUUGCUACAAGAAUAUAAGUUCAAUUGGGUUCUUAAUUGAUAAAAUUUCAUCUAGGAUCAUUAUGUUGAGGGAAUGAAUUUUGUUUUAUUUCUCAUUAGUCCUCACUUUUUCUUUCUUUCUUUCUUAAUUUGUGGUAAAUUCCAUGCACCUAAAUUGUCUAAAUUGUCUAAAAGAUUAAGUAACAUCAUCAAUGCUCUCCUUAAACACAUGGAUACUUAUUUUUCUAUUUGUUGAAUUUGUAACACAAACUUGUAUAUGCAGCGACUGACAUGGUGCCAACUAAAAUCUGUUGGUGUACAAAAUGCUAAAAGAGGGUUACACUCUAUCGAGAUCCCUUCCCCUUGGAAACCAGAACCUGAAAACACAGAUUUUUAUAAAGACAGAAUCAACACCCUUAUGGUGGUUUCAACCCUUAUAACUACAGUAGCAUUUGCUGGAGGUUUUACUUUGCCUGGUGGAAAUAAUAGUUGUACUCCAGGACAAGGCAUGGCUGUUAUGCUGAAUCACAUGUGGUUUAAACCAUUUAUUUUUUGCAUCACAGCAUCCAUGUAUGGUGGCAUUAGUGUUACUAUUAUACUCAUUUGGGCUCAAUUGGGAGAUAUAACUUUGACUCUUUUGGCCCUUAAUGUGGCAAUGCCCCUUUUAGGAGUCACUCUCGCAACCCUAUCAAUGGCAUUCUUGGCUGGUGUCCAUCUUGUUAUAAGCGAUCUCAGUUGGCUGGCCACUACUGUUCUAAUUUUGUGUGUGGUCUUCAUUCUCCUACUUUUGUUACUGUACACUCUUCUUUGGUUCCCCUCAAAAUCAAGCAACCUAAUAAUGCGAUACAUUUAUUUCUAUCCUUUUCGGUUUCUGACAUGGUUAUUUGAAGAUUCAAUUGAAGGUAGGCAAUUUUGGAUACACUACUGAAGUUUGUGCAUCUUUGUUGACUUGUUUUCUUCUUUAAUCCUCUUUGAGAUGGAGAUUGAACUUCAUUUUGUGCAUCUUAUUUGGAGUUUUGCAUCUUAUAAAAUUGCAUGCUACUAGCUAAUCAUCGUUUUCAUAUACAAAAUCAUUUAGCUUUAUGAGCUCUAAAAUCCUUUAUCAAUGUUUUAUAAUCCAGAAUGUGAGAAUAGUGCUCUUUGAAAGGAAUUUUAUAUGUACAUACAUCAUUAAAAUAAAAAUAAAAAAAUUAUUGUGUCUAAGUAUUAAUAAAUAAGUCUUGUAUAGUGACUAUGUACAUUUUUUGCAAAUUAAAAAGGAUUUUUUUUUAUCUUUUAAUUCUUGUAUUCUUAUCCUUGUAGCAAGAAUGUUCUUGUUCUAUAAAAAGUAUACUAGUAGCAUGCUUAUGCUGCAAUGCCAUUUUUUUUUUCAUAUAAUGACUUUAAUUAUUUAUUGAGUUUCAAAAAUGAAUAUGAGAUUCCUUAAUUUGAAUUCAAAUGGACGAAGUUGUCAAUGAUGCUACAUUAUCAAUUUCAUAAGUUUACAAUGAAUUGUUAAGUGUCAUGAAAUUAUGUUGGUGUGAUGAAACUCAAUUAUUCAUCUUUUAUGAAUGAUUUGCUUUAUGUUUUCAAAAAAAGACAUGAAUGAUUAUAUUAGUUAUUAUAGUUGGAUUUUGCUUUUAUUGAUUAAGAGAGCUAUAUCUCGCUUGAGCGAGAUAGCACCAGUGAAGUUGGGUUGGACAUCGUUUUGUUCAAUCAAGUGAGCCCAUUCUCGCUUGAGUGAGAAUCCACUUAAGCCCAUGAAAAUUAGGUUAAAUAGGGGGCUUGAGGAACAACCCUAAUGUGCGAAAUUGAGAGGAAGACACCAUUGAGUGACUUGUAACCCAACUGGGAGAAUAGAAGGUGUUAGAAGAUGUGUGGCUAAUUCUACCCUUUGGGAUUGAGAGUAAUUUGUUCAAACUCUUAUGUAUUGAGGUUAUAUUUAAAUAUAAAUAUUCUUUUCUUGAUUGAUUAUUGGUACUAUUGUUUUGCUUCUAAUUCUUGAUCUAGAAUCUUGAAUAUGACUAGAAAGUAUUUUUAGGGUUCUAACCUAAACAAUAAUACAUAACAUAUUUGAGUGCUAGAAAUAGACUUGAAAUGUUAAUUCUUAUCAAGGUUUGAUCUUAAAAGAUAAGUUUUUUUUUUAUAUAAUUAUGUGAGGAAUCGAUAUUUAGAAAGCAUCUUAAUAAUUUUAUAUGCGAGACAUUGAUAUAAAUGAUUUUUGAACGGGCAUUAAUAUCAAUCAAAGGGCACAAUAUUACUAUGCUAAUCAAAAUACAAAAGAGUGAGAAAGAUGAAAUCCAAUCCCUAUUUUUCCAAUCGAAGCAAAAAAUCUUUACUUUUAUUAUUUUGUUUUAUAUGUAGUGAAUAUUUUACUUGAUUAUUCAACUGUUCUUUGUGGGUUCGAUAUUCGUCCUUAGGGACACAUUAUUAUUUUUGACAAUGCGGUGCAUUUUCCGUAAAAAGUCAUCAAACGCCUUAAAUACACCCAAGAGAGACAAGUCAGGGAAAGCAGAUGGGAGCCUAGAAGAGCUACUAGACAUUAUAUGCACUAUGGAAGUCAGGAAGAAGAAGAAGAUUGGAGAGUGCAAAAUUUUGAAGCUAGGCGCCAUCAACCCCAACAUCAACAAAAGAAGUCUAUUCCUUUUGUAAAAUUACCUAGUUUUAAUGGGAUAGUGACCCAAACAUUUAUCUAGGAUGGAAAGCUAAAGUAGAACAAAGGUUUAAUGUGUAUGAGGUCGUAGAUGACCAAAAGUUUAAGUUAGUUCCCUAGAAUUUAAGAAUUAUGUCAUGCAAUGGUGGCAUCAACUUGUAAUGGAAAUUGGGUUAAACAAGAAGUCAGUCGUGGUCUCUUGGCACAAUCUAAAGUUAUGCAUGCACGUGGUUUGUUCCUCCUCUUUAUAGGAAGGAACUCUUGUUGAAGUUCCCACAACUUCAUCAAGGAUCUAAGAGUGUAGACGAGUAUUUCAAAGAUUUAGAAGUAACCUUGACUAAAAUUAAUAUGCAUGAAAGUGGAAAGUCAAAGAUUGCUAGAUUUGUGAGUGGAUAACGGCGAAAAAUACAAGAUGUUGUAGAAUUAUAUGAGUAUACUUCUUUGGAAAAAUUUGUUCACCUAGCCAAGGUUGAAUCACAAGUUUUGAAGAGAAAUUCUUUUAAAAAUACUCAUAAUGAUGGCUUUUACAAAUCAUCUUGGAAGGACAAACUUAAAUUUCAAAACCAAGACUCUCCUUCCAAUUUCUCAAAAGAAACUACCCCACAUCAUAAAAAUUAUAAAGAUAAACCUUUAAAUCCUAAAUCACCCACCAAAACCUCAAGCAAAAAAUGCUUUAAAUGUCUAGGUUUUGGGCACAUUGCUGCUAAUUACCCAAGUAAAAGAACAAUGAUGGUUAAAGGGGGGAUAGUCGUGAGUGACCAUAGUUCCUAAUUAUCUAGAGCUAGCUCUCCUUCCUCUUCAAAAACCCCAAGUGAGGACGAAUGUGAAAUACCGAGUGAAGGUGAUUUGUUAGUAGUAAGGCGCAUCUUAGAACAACUUCAAAAACCUUUUGAUGAAAGUCAAAGAGAAAAUAUUUUCCACACCCGAUACCUUAUUAAUGACAGAUUAUGUUCCUUGAUAAUUGAAGGGGGUAGUUGUACAAAUGUGGCAAGUACAAUAGUGGUGAAGAAACAUGGAUUACCCACCAUUUCUUAAGGGUGGUCAUGGAUUGAAUUUUUCAAAAUCCAAUCUAGAUCCAAUAAAAUGGAUUGGAUUUAAAAUUCAUAUCCAUUUUAACUAGAUCAAAUUUAUUUGGAUUUUUUCAAUUAGAUUAUAUUAACUAGAUCCACUUUGUAAAUUAGAUUAAAUCAACUUUCUCAAUUAGAUUAAAUCCACUUUGUUAAUUAGAUUCAAUCCACCUUGAACUAAGCCUUGGCCGACUCAACUUGAGACGGUCACGGGCACACUCAAAUCGACGUGGACUUAGGCCCACUCGACUCGACAACAACCUGGAUCGACUAGGCUCGACAUCGGACGGGGCCGACUCAUCUCAAAAUCGAUCCAGGAAGACUCGACUCAACAUUGAUGUGGGCGGACUCGGCUUGACCUCAACCUGAGCCAACGUGGCUCGACAUUGGCCUGGGUGGACUCGGCUCUACAUCAUCCAGGGUCGAAUCAGCUCGACAUCGACCCGGGUAAACUAAGCUCGUAAUCAGCCUAGGCCGACUCGUCUCGACAUCAGCCUGGGCCGACUCGGCUUGAGAUCGAUUCGGGCCGACUCGGCUUGUUAUCAUCCCCGGUCGACUCUACUCGAUAUCAUCCCGGGCCGACUCGACUCGACAUCGGCUUGACAUGGGUCCAAGUUGACUUUGCUCGAAAUCGACCUGGGUCGAAACGGAUCGACAUCGGCCUUGGCAGACUCAGCUCACCAUCAUUCCGGCCUGACUCGGCCCGACAUCAGCUCGAACGAAGUCGGUUCAACAUCAACCCGAAUUGACUCGGCUUGACAUCGGUCGGGCUGACUCCGCUCGACAUGGGUUCGGGUCGGUCCGGGUGGACUCUGCUUAACACCGGCCUGGGUCAACUCAGAUCGACAUGGGUUCGGACCGACUCGGCUCGACUUGGGCCUGCUCUGACUCGACUCAACAUGGGUUCUUCUCUGACUUGACUUGGUUAAACCUGGUCUUGGGGCAAGUCAAAAUCCAACCCAAAAUCCAAUUUGGAUAAGCAAAAAAUUUAUCCAAUCUAUAUCUAAUCCAUAUCCAAUUAAAUGGAUUGGACUUAAAAUAAAAUAAAAAAUAUGGAUUUGGAUUUGAGAUAAAUCCAUUUAAAUGGAUUAAAAGUUAUAAGGAUUUUGAUCAUUAUGGAUUGGAUUUGACAAUUUGUAUUUUUUGCCCACCCUUACCAUUUCUCAUACACAACCCUACAAAUGGCAAUGGUUAAGUGAAGAGGGUGAAAUAAUUGUUAAUAAACAAGUCCUCAUAUAUAUGUCAAUUGGCAAAUAUAAAGAUGAGGUGUUAUGUGAUGUUGUGCUCAUGGAAGCAACCCAUAUUCUUUUAGGAAGUCCAUGGCAAUAUGAUAGGAAAACUUUACAUGAUGGCCUAACUAACAAGAUUUUUGUUCACUUGCAAGGCCAUAAGAUCAUAUUGAAACCUCUAUCUCCAAAAGAGGUAAAUAAAGACCAAAUAAAAAUGAAACAAAAAAGAAAAUUUGAAAAAGAUGACGAAAAAAAAAAGGCGGCUCAUCACCUCACCAAAUGUGGUGAAAACCAUAAUGUUGAUUCGUCCAAAAGUAAAUAUUGUCGGCUCACUUUGGUACUUUCCUUUUUUCUCUUGUUUAUCUAUUCAUAACUCUAUUUACAUACAACAUUUGUUAGAGAAAUGUGGGAAUAUUUUUCAAAAUCCUUCUAAAGGUUUACACCGUAUAGGAAGCUUUUCAUACCAAACUCCUAAAAUUCAAUAAACAUAAGUUUUCUUCACAACUCACAUAGAAAUCAAGUGAACAAAUUAACUACGUUAUUUGCAGGAGUUCUAAAUUCGAGGUCAAAUUCUUUCCAACCUGGGGGAUACAACUCAAUUCGAAAAGCAGAUGACUAAGGACACCACAAACACUUCACAAUUAGGUCAAUCAUCUCAGUAUCCAAGACAAGACCCUACCAAACAUCAGAAGGACCUCAACAAAAGAAGAAUUGGACAUAGUGUUGGGUUUAAUAGUGCCAAAGUUCAAGAGGGGGGGUGAAUUGACCUUUUAAAACUUUCACGCAGAAACAGUGUUUAACACAGUUUUACAGAAAAUAAAUCGAUUUAUGUGAAAAUGAAUAGAUUUAUUUCAGCACUGUUUUUUUUUUUGAAAAAUGUUUAUAUAGCAAGGUUAAUCACAAGAUUAUGCAGAUAGAUUUUCCAGAUGCACACACACAGAUAUCAAAUUGAAAAGCAGUGAAACACAGAAAACAGCAAACCUUAAUUCCAAUUAAUGUGAUUUAGGUUCAGUUAAGGGCUUGACAAUUAGUGAGACAAUCUAUCACACUCAACCUGUUUUAUUAGCCUUUAACAGAUUAUCAGUGUUCUUAUUGAAACCAGACAGUUUUCCAGAAAUUAAGAACUGUAUGCACAGCGCCCAGAAAGAACAGAUUUAUUUUCAAUUGAACAGAUUUAUUUCUUUGCUGUUUUAUCAAUUAUGCAGAAACGAAAUUGCAGAGAGUGAGAGAGAAUGAACACAAGCAGUUAUACUGGUUCACUCAACUGAGCUACAUCCAGUCUUCACCAAAACCAGGUGGAAAUCACUAAAACACAGUACAACCAAGUACAAUUCCCACUGUUCUUGAAACCUACAAGAACUUAGGUACUCUUGCUGAAAAAACCUAUUUCAGCACACACACACUCUCCAAGAAAACCUAUCAAGAAUAGUGUUCAACCAAACUAUUACAAAAAAUGAGAAGUGAAACGACUACACCUGAUUGAGGAUACAAAGAUCUGCCUUAAACCAGUAGGCAAGAUUGCUAGAACAGUAGCUGCACCUCACACCAAGCUUUUGGAACCAAAUCAAGAACAAGCACUUUGUGAUUUUUGAAAUCUUUGAAGAACAAAUGCUAAUCCUUUGUAAACACUUAAUUCUCUGCUGUCAAAACUUGUUUUUGCAAAUGUAUGAAUGAAUAUUAAACUCAGAAACAAGUUUUCAUUUUAUAGAAAACCAACUUAUAACAAAAUUUUGAAAAACAGUUAAAGCUGUUAUAAAAUGAACAGAUUUAUUUUCAAAAGCAGUUAGAGAAUUUGUUAAGUGAGGAGACUUAGUCAACCCUUCUGGUGCUGAGAUAAAACUGAAAAACGUUUAAGCUUGACAUGGCACCAAAGACAAAAGGAAUCUAUUCAUUUACAGAUGAACAGAUUUAUUUUUCAAAAUGAAAACAGAGAAAGUUUAACUAUUUAAAACUCAGUCGUUUUGAAAGAUAGAAGACUUAGUCAAAAUACAUGAUGCACAAAAUCUAAUUUUUACAAGACUUAGCCAAGGCAUCAGUGUAAAAAUGAAUCUGUUUAUUUAGAAAAGAACAGAUUUAUUUUUAUGCAGUAAACGUGUUUUUUUUUUUUAAACAUGUGAAAAACAGUUUAAGAAAACUUAUGCUUGUUCUUAUCACAUGGUCAGUGGUUAUGAGGUGAGUUACUCAGCAAAAAGCCCACUCUUAGACAACCUCUAAGCACUACCUAAGACACACUUAAAGCAAAGCAAAAUACAAAUGAAAUGUACAUAGAAGUCUUCAUCAAACACAAUCUUGAAGGGGCAGCAACCAUCUUCAACACAUAGGUCAGAGCAUAAAAUGUUCUUUCUUCUAGUCUUUUUACAAGACAAGUUUAUGUAAAUAAUUUUGUCUCUUUCUGGAGGUCCAAAUAGAAGAAUAAGCUAGAGUAUGGUGUACUUAGUAAAUUGGGAUUGUGCCAAGUCCACCUAUCAUGACAUGCACACUUAGGUUUAGGGUUUAUUUGACCUACGUUCUAGAAGGUGUCUCACAAAUUAUGUCCCUACUCGUCUCACUCUUGCUCCCCGAGUCACUCUCUCCUUUAUAAUGUCUUGUCUCAUGUAUUUUAACACAUUGAAUUUUGAGUAGAAAAGAAACUUUGUCAGAGUGUUUAGUGAGUAGAGUCUCCUAUUAUCUUUGCGCCUUAUCUUGAGAGCACAACACCUCAAGUGGCGGCUCUUCACUCAUCGUGGAGUUUUCUCCCCCUCCAAGUGGCGCGACACACCUUCAUCAACCUAAACUUCUCUUUCCUUUCAUCUUUUUUUUCCAUUCCUUUAUGUUCUUGUGUUCAUCUUUGCCUAUUCAGUUUCCAUUUUCUUUGUUUCCCCCAUAUGCUCUUUGAUUUCGCACUUCUAUCAUCAUCACUAUAUAAUUGUGUUUUUUCUUUGCCAUCUAAAAGUGAACUUUCACACUUAACCACUUGAUUAAGUUCGAGUGCAGUUGGAAUCUUCCUUGGGUUUCUCACGAUAAUUAUCAUAAAAUGUGCAAUCUUAAAAUCAAAUCACACCAUAACCCAAGUUACUUCUUUUGAAUUAAAACAGGAAACAAAAUAUAAGAUAAAGAAUUAGAUAAUUAAAUAUGCAAAUAUAUCUCAAAAAAACAAUUGAAAGCAAAUCUUCUAAAUUGAUAUUCUCUCAAAAUCAUGCAAUUAAAAUUCUUCUGCAAAAUCCUUAAAAAAAUAAAAAAAAAAUAUAGUUUGAAGAUAUUAUUAAAAAAAUCUUCCGUGAGUGUUUAAAUCAAUUACAAUAAAUGCGGAAAUUUGAGAAAAAUAUUUAGAAACGUUUUAAUUUUUUAAUCUCUUUAAAAAGUGACUUUUAUGAGAGAUUGUACUUAGCAUGAUUAUUUAUUAUUUAUAUUUUUACUAAUGUUUAUUACUAUUUAUUAUUUCUAUUUUAUUAUCAUUAUAUUAUUAUUAUAACAUUAUUAAAGUUAAUAUUAUGAUUUUUUUGCAGGGGAGGAGUUGGACCCAAGUCCACUAACUAUAAAAGCUUGUAAUUGCUAUACCAGAUACAUUUAACUAGCAACUGAUGAUUAUUAUUAUUAAUAUUAAUAUUAUAUUUAUUAAUAUUAUUAAUGAUAAUAUUAUUAUUAUAUUUAUUAAUAUUAUUAAUGAUAAUAUUAUUAUUAUAUUUAUUAAUAUUAUUAUUGUUAAUAUUAUUAUUUUUAUAUUUAUUAAUAUAACAAAUAGUUGAUAGACACAUCACAAAGAGAAUUUAUGAAGUAGGAGAUUAAGUUUACGUUAAACUACAUCCCUCUAGACAAAUUUAUAUGGCUCAAAGGGUGAAUUUGAAACUUGUUAUUUGGACAUUUUAAAUUGUUGAGAGAGAGAGAGCAAUGACUUAUGAAUUGUACUUUCAAGUAACUCUCAUAUCCAUAACAUCUUUCACAUAUCACAACUUACAAAACAUGUUGGAAUAGUUGUAGUGGUCAUUAACCGAAUCGCUUGUACCUUGCAUUAUAUAUUUUUUUUUAAUCAGCAAUAAAAUAAUAUAUACAAGUGAAUCACUUCGGAGGUGAUCCAACCCAUUUACAAUAAACAAUGAUAAUCUAACAACAAAACACCUCCCAGACAAAUGCUCAAAAAACUAACCUUGUCAGAAAAAAAAAACUCCAACACCAAUCUAAAACGAAUAAAGAAUGUUAAAGGAUCAAUACACCAGUCAGAAAAAGAAAAACAAGCAGAGGAAUAUUUAGAAGAGAGUCAAGACCAAACCUUCAGUUGAGCCAAAGAGAAGAUCUCUUAAUAAUCCAAAACUCCACCUUUAAAAAUAAUCUUAUUCCUAUGACUCCAUAUCUCAAUCCAAAUGUUCCCCAUCUCUAAUAAGACCAACUUUGGAGCAUUUCACAAUCAGAACUGUAGAAAAUGAGAGUGAGCAUGGAUGGGGGGGGGGGGGGGGCGUACCGGAUGAAAUGCCUAACCAACUAUAACAAAGAUUCCAUACCAGCCAGGAUAUUUUGCAUUCGAAAAACAAAUGAUUUACCUCCUCCUCUUUAACCCCACAAAAGCAGCAACACAAAACACUUUUGACCGCAAUACCUCAUCUAUGUAAUUCGACCUUAGUGCCAAUCCUGUUUUUUUGCACCCUCCAAGUCGUAACCUGACCAGAGGGCAAAGCCUUAAUCCUCCAAGAUGAAUUAAACAUCCUCGAAUCGUCCCCCUCAUAAAGGCCUCUAAGAAGCCUAUAAAUCGAGUUAACUGAGAAUUCUUGAAACUUAUUGGCUUUCCAUACCCACCUAUCAACUUUCUCCAAGACCGGGCACGAGUCGUGCACUACCUUGAGAAGUUGACAAACCUGGGCCUUCUCCAAAUCAAAAAGACUUCUUCUCCACACCAGACACCACUCCUAACCAUUAUUUGCCCAAAACCCACUACAAGCCAAUGACAUAUCUUUCUCGACACUCAAUGAAAACAAUCUUGGGAACUUAGUCUUCAAUGGAUCGUUACCAACCCAUCGGUCUUCCCAUAACUUGAUAUCCCUUCCCAUUUCCAAUUUCCCAAUUUAAACAGUCUCCAAAAUUACUACCCCACAUCUCCAACUUCCAAAUCUUCUUCAAAUCUUUCCACCAAAGGGAAGCACGGUAAAUACACUUGUCCUCCUUCAGAUUUCUCCAGUCUCCAUAUUUAGAUUCUAAAACCUCCUUCCAAAGACCUCUCUCAAAAGACCCCAACCGCCAAAUCCACUUAUCCAUCAAAGCCAGAUUGAAAUCCUUAAUGUUAACAACUCUAAGUUCGCCCUUCUCCCGAGGCUGGCAUACCUUUUUCUAUGCGACCCAAGCGAUCCUUCUCCCUUCGGAGCCCAACCCCCAAAGGAAGUUCCUCUUAAUGCUCACUAACUUUUUUUUAUCACUAUAGCAAGCAUAAAAAACAUCGACAUGUAAAAAGAGGGAUAGACGACAGAAUUGACUUGAUGAGACAAAUCCUUCCAGCCAUAGACAAAUUUUUACCUUCCCACCUUCCCAAUCUGGAUUUGAUUUUAGCCACCACACCAUCCUAGAACACUUCCCUCUUAUGGCACCCUCUGAUUGGCAACCCUAGGUAUUUGAAAGGUACUUUCAUUCCCUCCCAGUUAAGAAUAGCAGCAUAACCCUGGAUAGAGAACGCAUCAGUCCCUACUCCGCCAAUGCUGUUUUUUCAAAAAAUUUACCUUCAGACCCGAAGCCAGCUCAAAACAAUUUAACAUUGCCUUGAUAUUGAAUACACCUUUUGAAUUCGCUUGGCAAAAAAAGUAUCAUCUGCAUAUUGAAACAUAUUAAUUCUAACCUUCUUACUUCCGAUCUCCAUACUAUCAAUCAUUCCAAGUUCAUCCGCGUUCCUAGAGACUUCUGCCAGACCUUCAGCCGACAUAGCAUUAUAUUUUAUCAUUAAUUUGAAUUUAUAAAAGUUUCUAAAUGAGAAUCUUAUCUAGAGUGGAGGUUUUUAAUAGAAAAGACUUCACUAAAAAGUCACAUAAUUGUGAAAAAUCAUCGAAAUCCAAAAAAAUUCUGACUGUCCACAUCAUGGUCAAAUUUUAUUAAAAAACGACUAUGAGAAACUUCUUCAAUUGUUAAAAUGAAUGUCGUCAACAAUAUUAUAAAUUAUCCAUAUAGGACUUUUCAUAUUUGUUGGGUUUAGAGAAAUCUGAUUGAACUUAUGUAAGGAAUGAAAUGAGUGUAUUUUUUUUAAAAGGUGUGUUUUCCAUCUUUGGCUUAGUGUUGGACCUAAUUUCACACACACUAUUUCUUUUUUAAAAGGGUUGAAACACCCUAAUGUUUCAAUUUAUUUAUUGAUUUUUCAUUACCAAUAAUAAAAAAAAAUUACACUCUUUCAUAUUAUAAAUCAUAAUGGAUAAUAUUGAUAAUUUAGUGGCUAAAUAAUUUAUUCACUAAAGCAAGUAUUCACAUAUUCUAUUUUUAGUAUAAUAAGAAAAAAACUAUAGAUAAUAGCUUUAAUUUUGUUAGCUUUAUUUUAAUUUCGUUAAUGGUUAACAUAAUUGAGCAUGUAUUUGGUCUUUAGUAAUUAUUACAUGUAUUCAUUAAACAAUGUCUGAGAGUGGUCUUUGGCGUGGCAGAGAAGUCUUUUUGAUUGGGAGAAGGAUCAAGUUAGACAACUUCUUGAGGUCGUACACGACUCAUGCCCUGCCUUGGAAAAAGCUGAUAGGUGGGUUUGGAAAGACGUUAAGGUCAAAGAGUUCUCAGUUAAAUCGGGUUAUGAGAUUCUAAGAGGGGUUUCUGAGGGGGACUGUUCGAGGAUGUUUAAAAUGUUUUGGAGGAUUAAGGCUUUGCCUUUAGCUCAUGUUACUGCUUGGAUGGUGCUGGAAAAUAAGGUUAAUUUAUUUAGACGAGGGAUAGCGAUCAGAAGCGUUCUUUAUUGCUUUUGCGGGUUAAAAGAGAAGGAGUUAAAUCAUCUAUUUUUUCUGUAAAAUAGCCUGGUUGGUAUGGAAUCUUUGCUACGCGUGGUUAGGCAUUUCUUCGGUUGCCCCCCUUAACUCUUACUCUCAUUUUUUGUAGUUUAGGUUGUGUAAUGCUCUUGAAUUGGUCAACUUAGGGUCGGGGAACAUUUGGAUUGUGGUAAUUAGUGAGAUUUGAUGUCACAUAAGAUUACUUUUACAGGUUGAGUGUUGGAUUAGUCUGAGAUUUUUUCUUUAGAUCAAUUGAAGGGUUGGUCUUGGAUUACUUCUAAAUUUCCCUCUGCUUCUCUUAUUUUGAUCGGUGUCUUGAUCCUCUAGCUUGUCUUUUUUUGUUUUAGGUUGUAUGUAGUUGAUGUUUGGCAAGGUUAGGUGUGUAGUUUUCUAGAAGGUGUUGCGUUGUAUGGUUGUGUUUGUAUAAGGUUAUAUCACUCUUGAAGUGGUUCAUGUGUAUAUAUUAUUUCUUGCUGAUAAAAAAAAUUAUGUUCCUUAAAACAAAUUAACAUUAAUAUAUAAUUAACCUUGAAAGAACCACUAAGAACUUUAAAUUUACAAAAUAAAUAAAUAAAUAAAUAAAAGACUCUCUUCAAGUUAAUUGCAUAUUAAUAAAUUUUCUUCUUAUGACAAUUAUUAAAUAUAGCAAAAAUGUAUGUUCAACUUCCUUAAUUAAUUAUUAAUGGAAUGUAAACAAAAUUAACGGAAUUAAAAUUUAUAUACUAAGUCAAUAAUUUUGUUUCUUAUUAUACUUAAAACAAUUUUAAACGAAAUUUAUUGAAUCGACUAUUUACCCUAAUUUAUUCUAUAAACGAAAUUACAAUUAACUUGUUUUAUUUAUUCUAUUUAACAAACAAUAAACUUCCAAUUUUCUUAACGUUAAACUUUAAUUCAACGAGUAUACGAAUUGGAAUAUUUAUAAUAAUUUUAAAUAAACUUAUGUCUUGUAAAAGAAUAAAAUAUAAUCAGAUAGAGAAAGUUUAUUAGGAUUAAGUUAAGAUUAAUCAUAAAUUUAAAAUUAGGUGUUGCCCAAUUAUUUAUUAAAGGUGGUUGGAAUGAGAUUAAUUACGUAUCUGAUAAAGAAAAAAAAAUCAAUUUUAAAAGAGAAUUAAAUAUAUAUAUAAAACAUUUGUGAGCCUCGAUAUUUUAUUUUCCAAUUUUAAUUCUCAUAACAAAAUUAUUGGCUUUCAUUUUUAUUAUUGAUAUUAUAUAUCCUAGUGUUAUUUUAAAAAAAAAUACCAACCUGGUUAGAAGGCAAAAUUUGCAACAUUAUAAACAUAAUAAAAAUAUAUAAUUCUAUAUUAUAAAAAAUAAAAGGUCAUUUAAUUCUAUAAAACUAUAGUGACUAGUUUGUUAUUUGUUUUGCUGACCAUAGUUUUGGGUUAAUCUAUCCUUGCAAUUCAUUGCUUAAUUUAUAUAUUAUAUAAAACGACUGAAAACACUUAUACAUAAGUAGAUAAAGAAAAUGUGAGGCCAUAAUGAUGGGCAUUCUGUGUGACCACUUUUUAUCUGAAAAGGAAAGUAUGAUGUGAGCACUUGGUUAGGUUCCAAACUUCAGGUGAAAUAUGGUCCAAAUUCCCGUCUUUCUCAUCAUAAGUUUCAGAAAAGGCUUCAAAACUCAUUCUCUGCAACUUAUCCUAAUCACUUUUCUUCUGCUGCAUGCCUCAAGUAAAUAACAAUCCAGCACUGUGGCACUGCAGAGAUAAAAGCCCAAAAACCCUUGUUUCCAUGGGAGAAGAGGGAGGGGGAGGAGGGAGGGGGUGUUUUUUGUGUUUGUUUCAAGGGUUUUGAGGGUGGGGGAGUGGAUGGGGGAGAGGGUGAGUGCUUUUUUUCAUUCUUCACAAAAUGAAGAGAUUUGUGGGAAUUAAGUAGGAUAGUUGUAUUUUACCAAAAUACCCUUAGACAUGCAUUUUAUUAAAAUAUCAAAAAUUAAAUAUUACAUAAAUUUAUUUAUAAUUUCAAAAAUAUUUAAUUAUACUAUUAAUAACAACAUACAAUUAUAAAUAAUAAAAAUACAAAAAAUUAUAAUAUUAACAAAAUAUAUAUAGUUAUAUAAAAUAAUAAAUGAAUAUAAUAAUAAAUAUUAUUUUCAUAAAUUUUAAUAUAUUUAAUAAUUUUAUUUCAAUUUAACACAAAAAUAAUUUCUAUUAUAUUUAUUAUAAAAUAUAAGUAAUUAUGAAUAUUAUAUAUUAAAAAAUUAAUUAAUUCAAACCUACACACAAAAAGAAUCAUAAUUCAUUAUUUUAAUAACAAGGACAAAUUUGUAAACUUACAAUAAACUAUCCUCACAAAUCCACUCUAUCAUCCCUCAAUCCAAACAACUUCACAUAUCCUCACUCAUCCUCUCUAAUUCUCACAAAUCCACUUCCUCCCCUCCUCACAAAUCCCCUCCUCAAUCCAAACAGAGCCUAAAGUUUUCUAACAUACAUGGAGAAAGACACAAGAAUCUGUCCAAUUUUGUUGUCUUUUGUGCACAAACUAAUAUCAUCAGUACCACACCGACCCAACUUUUAGGAAUCUUAUACUCCCUCAAAUAUUUAUGCUCAUAUAUCCAAAGCACACCACCGCUAUACACAACUACACUUCAUUCUUUAUAUGUUGUGUUCUUUGAUAAAAAAAAAAAUCAUACAAGAGAAGAAAUUCAUAUAUGGAUAAAUAAAAAUGAAGGGUUGUUAAUAACUUUAUCAAAAUAUGGAAGAAAAGAUAAUUUGGAUAAAGGAAUUGUUUAUCAAAUGUACCGAAAAAGAACUUGUCCAAAUGAAUAUAACCGAAAACAAGUGCUCAAAUAAUUUCUAUAUAUAUAAAAUUUAUUUUUGUACAUGAGGAUAUUAUAAUGAAGUUUUGUAAAUGGAAUGGGAAAAAAUCAUUGUUGUUGUUCUUGGUCACCAACUUUUACAUCCUUUACAAAUUCUUAUUUUACCCAUGAUUUGUUCUCUUUUGUUUCUUGACUUUUUACUUAUUCUUUGUAUUUACAUUUCUUGCUUGUUAAUUUUAAUUAAAUUUAUANNNNNNNNNNNNNNNNNNNNNNNNNNNNNNNNNNNNNNNNNNNNNNNNNNNNNNNNNNNNNNNNNNNNNNNNNNNNNNNNNNNNNNNNNNNNNNNNNNNNAUCUUCCAAAUAGCACUCUUUUAUUGACUUGCUCCUUCUAAUUUCUUCAAAGAAUUUAUGGCUUAGAAUUUGUUUUUCAUAAUCUAUAAAAUAUUUUUAAAAUUAUAGAAUCGUUCCUUCUCCAAUUUUCUUUUCUAGAAAUACUUUAAACUAGCAUUAACUAUUUAUUAAUUAUAUGUUUUAGAUUAUUAAUAGGUUAUCACAAUAAAUGACUACAAUUUUAAAUCCUUUAGUCCAAACUACGAAUGAAUGCUUUAGAUUAUUAGUUGAUCAAGUGGCACAAAUAUGAGGAAAGUGUUAGCAAACCAUCUAAAUGAGGUUUCUCAUAACGAGUCACUGAAUAAUAAUGCUCAAUGAUAAAAAUUAUUUCCAUAACAAUUAUUCAAAAUUUCCUUAUUAAUCAAAAAAAGGUAAGAUGCAAAUGAAAGGUUGCAUCAAAUGUAAAACCAGUGAGGAAAGGUUUAGUAGGCAGUGGUGUAGGUCGAUGGAACAACCAAAAUCAUUUGAAUCUAAAUUUUUUUACAAAGGAAUCAAGUGAUGAAAGAUGUGAAGAAUCAAUAAGGAUAAAAAUGGGAUACUUACCAAGAAGGGAAUAAAGUUCCAAAGUUUACAAAGUUCUCUAUUGAAAUGGGAGAAUCAACAAUCGAACACAUAACUCAAUAUCAGAUAGAAUGUGCAGAUAUCACAACAAAUUAAAAUUUAAGAAUGAAGUAUUUCCGUAGUUUAUUAAGAAAAGAAUGUUUUAAGUUGGUUCACAACAUUACCUCCAAACUUAAUUAAUAAUUAGGCUAAAUUGGAAAGGAAUUUCCAUAAACAUUUUUUAGUGUAGAAACUCAAUUAGUUAAGUCAAAUUGACUUAAUGAAUAUUAAGAGUAUAGUAGUGAAAUAUCAAUUUAGAUAAUUAAAAGCAAAGAUGUUAAAUUCAAAUUCUUGAGCAUGAAUUGGUCUGUAUGGCAACAAGUGAGUUACAAUUUUCAACAAGAAAAAAGUUAGUAAACUUAUUAUUAAGAAACAUGGCUCGAAUGGACAAUAAAGUUGGAAGAAUUGAGCAAAUAAGGUUUAAAAAAAGAAAGAUAUGAAACAUUUGAAAGACCAUUUAGCAUAUAUAAAAGUAUCAAUUGAACACAGAAUAAAGUAAAAUGGACUAGAAUGAAGAUGCGUUAUCGAAAAUAAAUAUGUAAAUAAUGCAAAAAUAAAAAUUAGGGUUUUCUUAACUAUGCACAUUGUUGGAAUAAUGAAAAAUUAAAGAUAUAUAGAAUGGCUAAUCAAAUAUAUAGUUUUAAUGUAACAAAAACUAAUAAGAUUUUUAACAUUUUGUUAAAAGAUAAGGAAAUUAAAUCGACUCAAUCAUAAGUUUGACUCCUUGGAAAAAACAAUGGAGAAAAAAUAUUGUACAUAUUAUUUUUUAUAUAAGCAAUAAACAAUAAAUUAAUGAGAACCACUUCAGGGGUGGUUCAACCCUUAUACAAAACAUAUAAACCCAACUUCUAAACUAAGACUGCUAACCUAACCAACAAAAGCAUAACCUAAAACACAAUCCUGAAACAAUAAAGAGACCAUCCUCAUGCACGCUAGAGGUUCCAAACACCAAUCAAAAUAGGAAAACGAAGCAGAACGAGAUUUCACAGAAAACCAAGAUCAAACCUUUACUUGCACCAACACAAACACUUCCGACACAUCAGCCACACCCCUUUUGAAAAUGAUAAAAUUCCUGUGGUUCUAGAUUUCACUCACAACCCCCGCCCAAAUUGUACUCCACACACCGUUAACCGAAUCAAAGCCUGACUCAUCCUGAAUUGAGCAAAGUUGGACUUGGGAUCAAUGUGAAAUACAAACGACACACCAAGCCACUUAAAACACAAACACCAAACACGCCAAGAAAAACUGCAAUCGAAGAACAAAUGGCGGUGAGACUCUUCCUCCUUCCCACACAGACAACACAAAUCAUUUUCAACCAUCAUCCCUCGCCUUUCCAGUUUGACCCUAGUAGCGAUCUUAUUCUCCAGAACCCUCCAAGCAAUAACCAAAACAGAAGGCACGACUUUACACCUCUAUAGCUUACUAAAAACCGGAGAACCUUCCACCUCGUUAUCCCUCAUAAUUUGGGUAUAAGCAUAACUAACUGAAAAAGUCUGAAAACCCCCGACCUUCCAAACCCAAAUGUCUUCCUCCCCCUGAACCAACCUAACCUUUUGCAGAGCCGGCCAAAACUGAUCCACCAAAGGCUUAUCCAAUUCGAAAAAAGGUCUUCCCCAGACUAAAUUCCAUACCCACUCACCCUUAGACCAAGACCACAGCUCUGCCACCUUUGCAUCAUUGGCCAAACACAGAGAGAACGGUCCAUCUCCAACCCCAUAAGGAAAUAUCCCUACCAUCUCCAACUUUUCAUUCAAUCCCAUCUUCAAAACUUUUUCCCCAACCCUCAGAGGCUCACACCUCUUUCAAGUCUUUCCACCAAAGAGAGCUCCUACGACUUUUUCCUUCCUCUCUCAAGCUUCUCCAACCUCCAUAUUUAGAGACAAGAAUUUCCUUCCAAAGACCACCCUUAUCUGAAUCCAACCUCCAGGUCCACUUACCUAACAAAACCAAGUUAAAAAUCUUUAAAUCAAUAAUACCAAGUCCCCAAAUUGUAAAUAUCAUAAUGUUUAUGAUCAUUGGACCAAUAAUUGUAUUCAUUUUAGGAACAAAUAUAAAAGGGCUAUUAUAGAUGCAAUCCAUACUUAAGUGUUGUAUGUUGAGACAAUCUCGAUAGUUAAUAUCACUAGAAGUAUCGAAAUUAUGAUUGCAAUGAUAGUCAACGUUACUAAACACAUCAAGGUAUGCCAGGUCUGAUUUUUCUAAAGAAAAUUUGGAUCAAGAGAUAGAGAAAUUUGAAUAAGUGGAAAGCGAGAUCUUUCCAAAGGUAAGUGAAAUAAUGAUUAUCUAAAUCAUAAAAAGAAAGGCGAUGAAGAUAUUUUGUUAUGCCCAAGGUGCAAUAUUGUGUUUGAUUGAUCGACAUAUAACUUUCAAGUUAUUGAAGAAUUAAAAGUUGAAAUGCACCCAAAAAAAAUAAUGACUUCAAGGUCAAAUAAAUAGUGCAUAUGUUGAUUAGGAGUAAUAAAAAGUUUCCAAAAACAUUUUUGAACUAUGCAAAGGCACCAAUAGGUGAGGAAUGAUGACUAUCAUCUGUCAUAAAAAAAUGAAAAAUCAAGGUGUAUUUGAUCAAUUAUUCUAUGGUGGAAAUGAAAGAUAUGCUAUGGCAACUUGAUUGAGAAAGUUAGAUGACAAAAACUCAAUAUUGAAGGGUGCAGAGAGAAGGAAUUAUUUAGUCAUGGAACAACAAGGAGAACUUGUCAACUAUGACAAAUAAAUGGGAAAUGAAGCAAUGGUGAUUAUGAUAUUAAGAUCUUUUUAUGAUAAAUAAAUGAGCAUUAAGAAAAUGAUUGUGAAACAUGAGAAGCCUUAAUCUAGAAGGUGGGUAAUGGGAAGAAAGUUCGGUUCUGGGAAGACAAUUGGGUGGGUAGGGGAGCGUUGAAAAGUAUUUUUCCGAAGAUGUUUACUUUAAGUGUCUUAAAAGCAUCCUUGAUAGCAGAAUUUGGGUUUUGGAACAACAAUCUCUGGGAGUGGAAGGUUGGUUGGAGAAGAAAUCUUUUUGAGUGGGAAAAGAGUUUAGAGUGUCUCCUGUCUCAGAAAAUUCAGGGAGUGAGCUUGAGGACGGGGGUGGAAGAUAGUUGGAAGUGGAAGGAAGGGGAGGAGAAAGGGUAUACGGUCAAAUCAGGGUAUCUUCGUCUUCGGGGGGUCGGGUUGGGGAGAGAAACAAGGAGUUUUCGAAGUUUUCGAAGUGUAGAGCUGCCUCUACUGCACAAGUUACUGCUUGGAGGGUGUUGGAAGAUAGGUUGGCUACCAAGGUUAAUUUGGGAAAACGUGGGAUAAGGGUGGUAAGUUCAGUGUGCAUUUUUUGCGGGAUGGAGGAGGAGUCUUGUUCACAUCUAUUCUUUGAGUGUAGAUUUGCGUGACUCUUGUGGAACCUUUGCAGUGCUUGGUUGGGAGUGCAAAGCGUGUUCCAUAAUGUUCCUAUGUUAAAUUUUUUCCCAGUUUAUGAACUGUAAUGUGACCGCUUCGGUAAAUGGGGUUUGAGGGGCGAUCUGGAUCGCAGUUGUCAAUGAGAUUUGGAAGCAUAGAAACAGAGUAAUUUUUAUGGGGGUGUUAUAGAUGUUUUAGAAGUAUUUGCCUUGGUGCAACUAAAGGCUUGGUCUUGGGUUACUUCCAAGUCGAAGGAUGCGAUUUUUUCUUACUCUGCUUGGUGUAUUGAUCAUUUGACCUGUAUGGAGAUGAUGUCUUGAGUUUUUGUGGGGAGUAAGAGGGAGUGUUGUAGGCGUUUUUUUUGUUGGUCUUUAAGUAGUGGUUUUUUAGGCGGUGGUGGGGAUGUGUCGUGAGGAAUAGGUUAUUGGUUGUGAGCUUUGUAUAUGGAUUAGACCACCCUAUAAGUGGCCCACAUUUAUUAAUUGUUUAUUGUUGAUCAAAAAACAAAAAGUAGAUGGAACCUGAAAUUGUUUAGGUAACUUAAGUGACUGUUACAUCACCAAGUCGAGAUGUAACAUUACUAUAAGAAAAUCAUUAGAUAAAGACUAAUUUUAGAGACAAAAAAUAAUUAGUCAUAAUAUUAACUAAAUUAAAUAUUAUUUUAAAGACUAAAAAAUUUAUUGAUAUCUAAAUUAAUUUUUAUUAUUAAUAAAUAAUUUCUAAAUUAGUAUCUAAUUAGUUACCAAAAUUUGAGCUACCAACUUUAAAAUCUAAUUAGUAACUAGUUUUUUUUAUCUCCAAAAUUAGUCUCUACUUAAUGAUUUUCUUAUAAUGAUUCAUUGUUCUUUCACGAGAGAAAAUGUGUUUUCACCUUAAAUGACUCAUGUUCACAAUAGAAAUUGAAGGUUUAAAGUUGGUAAGAAUUUGAUCAAUGGUAAGAAACAUCAACAUAUAAAAAAAUGUCAAAAUGAAAUAAAUAGAUGAGGUUUAAAAUCCUUUUGACCUUCCAAUGUUCACUAUAGAUUUUUUCAACUCUAUCAAGUCACUUUCAAUAGUUUGUGCACUUAGUGUCUAGGCCUAUUCCAUAAAGCUUAAAGGUAAGUGAACACACAUUUUUUGCACACAUAUAGCUUUAUUGUACAUUAAAAAUAUUUUAAGAUUUAAUUUUAAUUUUUAAAUUAUUUUUUUAGUAGUAAUAGAUUGAACUCAAUGAACAUAGUUGUUUUACUUUUGUAUUUUCAUUUAAUGUGACAUUUGCUUACCCUUUAUCAUAACUAUUUUUUUUUAAAUAUUAUUUUUUAUUAAUCUUAGCUGCAUCGGAUUCUAAAUUUUCAGGGCUUCAAAAUAAACACAUGGUUAUCGAAUUUGAAGUCUUGUGUUAUUUUCUACAAUUAUCGAAAAUUGAAGUAAAUUUACUAGUCUUUUUAUAGAAAUACAUACAUAUUUGACUUUCUUAGUUUUAACCUACAAUUUUCUAAUUAUUACCUAAAUAGAGCCAACAAAUAAGUUUCAUACUAAAAGUUGAUUAGAGCUUAAUUUUAACGAUGGCAUGAAUUUCAAUGUGAAUUUUACAGAUAUAAUUUAUAUUUUUUUUAUAAAUUGAAAAAAUUACUUAGUAAAUAUUUCCAAUUCUCUAUAUUUUAAAGUACUUUUUUUAAAAAAAAUUUAAACAACUAUAUAUUAAUUAUUUACAUUAAAAUAAUAUUUUUAUUCACAUCUAUCUCAUUGUGAGAAAACUAAAAAUCAUAAUUGCUACUUCAUAAUUCUGCAGUUCUCAUAUCAAUUAUAGUUUGUCAGCAUCUUACAGUUUUAUGUGAUAAUAAUCAUAAUAUGUUCCGAUAAAAAAAAUAGUUGAUAUAAUGAAAAAUAUAUUGAUAUUUAUUAUGUCAUAACUAUAUAUUAUUUUUUUAAAUAUCUUAUUGAGUUACAGUAUCCUUCUGCUCUGAUUCUGAUUUAUUAUUGUUAUAAUACAUACUUAAAUUAAUUAUGAUAAGAUGAUUUUUUUAAUUGGUUGUUAGUGUAAAAGCUUCUACAUUCUUGAAAUGUUAAUGGGCAUUGAAAUCGUAAACACCCCUUAUCUUUUGUUAAUACAACUUCAGAGACAAAUAUGUUGGCUCUGGAUAUUGGAAUGGCAAGAAGGAGAAGGAGAAACAUGUGGAGGUUCAUACCAAACGAUCGAACUCGAUCACCACUUAUUAUGACAAUCUUAAAACUGAAUAAAGGUAAAUUUUUUCAGUAAUUGUAAAUUUUCUCUUAUCAUUCAUUAAUCAAUUUAUUAACAGGAAUCUGAACACUAUCUCUCCACUUUCUUUCUGUGUAAAUGGAGUAAUCAAAUUUUAAUAAAACUUAAAUAUUAAUAAGGAUCAUUUUGAAUUAUUUAAUAAUUUUAAAUUAGGUCCUUACAGUUUUCUAUAAUUAGAUGAUUCAACUUGUUCUAUCUAUUAAUUGAACAUUUUUUUAACCAUAGUUACGGUUGUAAACAUGUACUUUUGAUUGAGAAUUAAUAACAAGUUCAAAUAACCCUUAAAAAGUGAGAAUUCUCUUUACAUAUAUGCCAAAAUGUCAAUAUCAUAUUAAUAGACUAUUUACAUAUAUAUUUGUAGUUAGUUUUCAAUAAUGAAAAUUACACAUAAAUACUUAAUUAAAAAAAAUAUUUUACAGAAUAAUUAGAAAAAUGUUUUAGAGAAUAAAAAAUUCCGUAGUUUAAUUGAAAUUUAUUUUAGUUUUAAAAAUAAUAAUUAAAUUCUUUCAUUUUCAAAAUUUUGUACUUACAUCAAGUGAACAAAUUUAUUUAUUAUAAAGAAAAUAUUCAUUGCUAAAGUUUCAAAAAAUAUGGUGAAAGAAGAGAGAGAAAAUUUUGUAUGUUAUGUUAAUUAUUUUUUUCCCCUUUUAAAUAUUCAAAUUUUUUUUAAAAAAAAUCCCUUUUCAAUUAGGAAAUUUCUUUUAGGAAACUAUGAAAGGGAUGACAUUUUUUUCAGCAAUAUUUAUUUAAUGGACAUUUUUUUUCAUCAUUCCUUCUUUAUGAAAACAAAAAUCAUCUAAACUUGAUAUAAUAACAUUUUUAUGAAAAGAAAAAUCAUCUAAACUUAUAUUUAUAUUUAUUAUGUUCCAUCUAUAUAUUAUUUUUUUUAAAUAUCUUAUUAAGUUGAUCGUUCAAUAUCCUCCCGCUCUACUUUUUUUAGUUAUGGAGAUGGUUACAACAAUGUGGAAACAAUAAUUGUCUUUAAAUGAUAGUUCAAAUUUUUCCACAUCUUUUGAAUGCAUUUAUAGAUAAAUUUUCUUAUAAGUUCCUUUUGAAAAAAUAAUUUAAAAUUAAUUAAUUACAGGUUAGAAGUUUUUCUCUUAUUAUUAUGUACUGUAUUUCAUUUUCCUAUAAAUUUAAUUUACAACCAUUGGUUGGGAGAAGGAGAGCUACAAAAGCGAAUCAUUAAAUAGAAAUAAAGUAAGCUUAGAGGCAACAAAAUAAUUAGGUUGUUAUAUUGCUAAAUUAAAUAUUAUUUAAAAAUUAAAAAUUUUAUUGUUAUCUAAAUUAGUUUUUAUUAUUGAUAAAUAACUUUUAAAUUGAGAUCUAAUCAACUAUUAACUUUAGAAUUUAAAUAAUUGGUACUUAAAACCUUGGUAACUAAUUAAAUACUAAUUUAUAAACUAUUUAUCAAUAAUAUAAAUUAAUUUAGAUACUAAUAAUAUUUUUAGUCUUUAAAAUAAUAUUUAAUUUAAUAAAAAUAAUAGCUAAUUAUUUUUUAUCUUUAAUAUUGAUCUUUAAUUAUGUUCUAGUAAUGGAGACAUAUUAGUGAGUAAUGAAGAUAUGAAUGAUUGUGGUUAUUGCUAUUGUGAAGUUUCCCAAAUUACGAACUCUUGAAUUGAUGCAUUGACAAUGAAAAUGGACACAUCUGCAACAUAGUUUUCCUUCUCUUUCUUCUUCUUCAUAAUAACUUAUUUUCCUACUUUAUAUAGAUGCCAUAGUUAUUUUCAUUAUUUUGUUUCUGGACAAACAUCUGAAAUAUCAUUCUUAAUAUAAUUUUACUUUUUGUUGAUAAAAAAAGGAAGGACAAACAUCUCAAGGUUCAUACAAGAUGACCAAGCUCUAUCACCACUCAUUUUGACAAUCUUAAACCAGAAUAAAGAUAAUUUUUAUUCUAUAAUUGCUAAUUUUUUCUUAUCAUCGACUAAUAAAUUUAUUAACAGGAUACUAACUACACUAUCUCUCCACUUUCUUUCUACAUUUUUACCAUUGUAAACUUGUACUUUUGAUUGAGAAUUAAUAACAACUUCAAAACGAUGACGCUUAAAAAGUGAAAAUCUUCAUUACAUAUAUACCAAAAUGUCAAUAUGAUAUUUAUAGACUAUUUAUAUAUAUAUAUAUAUAUAUAUAUAUAUAUAUAUAUAUUUGUAAUUAGUUUUCUGUAAUGAAAAGUACAGAUAAAUACUUCAUUAAAAAAAAUACAAGUUUAAAGAUUCAAUUAGAAAAAUGUUUCACAGAAUAAAAAAUUCCAUAGCUUAAUUGAAAUUUAUUUUAAUUUUAAAAUAAUAAUUAAAUUCUUUCAUUUUCAAAUUUAUUUAUUAUAAAAAAAAUAUUCAUUACUGAAGUUUCAAAAAUAUGAAAGAAGAGAGAGAAAAUUUUGUAUACUGUUACUUUUUUUUCUCUUUCAAAUAUUCAAUUUAAAAAAAAAAUCCUUUAGAGAUUUAUUUAAGGAAACUAUGAAAUGGAUAAACUGAGGAUAAGAUGUAAUGUAACUAGUUUAUUUUCUCAGAAAUGUUUAUUCAAUGGACAUUUUUUUCAUCAUUCUUUCUUUCCUCUAAAUAAUUCAUGCAUUUUAUAUUUGUCAACGACAUUCUACUUCUAAUUGGUUAUUCAUAAAAUAUGGCAGGUAUUCUAAAGAAAAUAGUAAAGAAAAAGAAAGAAUGGAUUCAUGUUAAGGGUGACAUAGGAAGAAAUGCUCUUCAUUAUGCAGCAUGUACAAGUUACCUACAUAGUGUUGAGUACUUGCUUCAACAUUGUCAUACCUGCAAUAUGGAAAGAGACAACAAUGGCUUUUUUCCUCUUCAUUUGGCUUCUGCAUUUGGACAUAUAGAAGUGCUAAAGAAAUUGCUUGAAAAUUGUCCAGAUCCCAGAGAAAUAGUUGAUAACAAAGGUAGAAAUAUUGUUCACAUUGCAGCUAUAAUGAGAGAGUUUAAUGUGGUAAGGUACGUCUUGCAAGACGCAAAGGAUGGAGUUAAAGAUAUGAUAAAUGGUAAAGAUUACGCUGGAAACACUCCGUUGCAUUUGGCUGCCUCACACUCUCGUCCAAAAAUUGUGCAAGCCUUGACAUGGGACACAAAAGUGGAUUUGCAUUGCCUUAACAACAACAACCAAACAGCUCUCGAUGCCUUUGAGCAAUUUAAACAAGAAAAUAAUCUGCCCUUCCUCCAAGCAAGUAUAUAUAGAAUAUUGUGUUUGCUCAAACAUUCAAGAUUUAAAUAUGCGUUUUUAGUUUAUAGUAAAUGAUAUGAGAAUAUAUGUUCAAUUGGGCUCUUAAUUGAUCAAAAUUCAUCUAGGAUAAUUAUGUUGAGGAAUGAAUUUUUGUUUUAUUUCUCAUUAAUCCUCACUUUUUCUUUCUUUCUUAAUCUGUGGUAAAUUUCAUGCACAUAAAUUGUCUAAAUUGUCCAAAAGAUUAAGUAGUAUCAUUAGUGCUCUCCUUACACACUUGGACUACUUAUUUUUCUAUUGCCUGUGUUGUUGAAUUUUUAACACAAACUUGUAUAUGCAGUGGCUAACAUGGUGCCAACUAAAAUCUGUUGGUGUACAAAAUGCUAAAAGAGGGUUACACUCUAUCGAGAUCCCUUCCCCUUGCAAACCAGAAGCCAAAAACACAGAUUUUUAUAAAGAUAGAAUCAACACCCUUAUGGUGGUUUCAACCCUUAUAACUACAGUAGCAUUUCCUGGAGGUUUUACUUUGCCUGGUGGAAAUAAUAGUUCUAGUCCAAGAAAACAAGGGAUGACUGUUAUGCUGAAUCACAUGUGGUUUAAACUAUUUAUUUUCUGCAUAACAGCAUCCAUGUAUGGUGGCAUUAGUGUUACUAUUAUACUCCUUUGGGCUCAAUUGGGAGAUAUAACUUUGGCUCUUUUGGCCCUUAAAGUGGCAACGCCCCUUUUAGGAGUCACUCUCGCAACCCUAUCAGUGGCAUUCUUGGCUGGUGUCCAUCUUGUUAUAAACGAUCUCAGUUGGCUGGCCACUACUGUUCUAAUUUUGUGUGUGGUUUUCAUUCUCCUGCUUUUGUUACUAUACACUCUUCUCUGGUUUCCCUCAGAAUCAAGCAACCUAAUAAUGCGAUACAUUUCUUUCUAUCCUUUUCGGUUUCUCACAUGGUUAUUUGAAGAUUCAAUUGAAGGUAGGUAGUUUCGGAAACAUUACUGAAGUUUGUGCAUCUUUGUUGAUUUGUUUUCUUCUUUAUCUUUUCCUUACACGAAAAUCAUUAAAUAGAAACUAAAUUUAAAGACCAAAAUAAUUAGUUACUAUAUUGAAUAAAGUAGAAACCAUUUUAUAACCUAAAAAAAAUGAUUGAUAUUUAAAGUAGUUUUUAUUUUUAAAAAAAUUUAUAAAGUAGUUUCUAAAUUUGUAUCUAACCAUUAACUACCAAUGUUUUACUUACUAACUACUUUAUAUUGUAAUUUAGUCUCUAUUAGUAUUUUAAAGACUAAUUUAGAAUCUAAAAUAUUAGUAGUUAAAACCUUGGUAACUCAUUUAGAUACCAAUUUAAGAACCAUUUUAUAAAUUUUUUAUUAAUAAUAUAAAUCACUGUAGAUCUUAUUAAUUUUUUAAUUUUUAAAAUAAUAUUUAAUUUAGUCGACAUAGUGACUAAUUAUUUUUACUCUCUAAAUUUAAUUGUUAUUUAAUAAUUUUUUUAUAGUGUCUUUAAGACGGAGAUUUAACUUCGUUUUCAUCGUGGGCAUCUUAAUUGGAGUUUUGCAUCUUAUAUAAUUGCAUGCUACUAUAAUCAUCAUUUUUAUGUGCAAAAUCAUUUGAAUUUAUAAAUGUUUUAUAAUCAAGUAUAUAAUAAUAAUAAUGCUCUCUGAAAAAUAAUUUUAUAUAUACAUGCAUCAUUAGAAUAGAAAUAAAAAAAUUAGCUGUGUCUAAACAAUAAAUAUUGAUAAAUAUUUUUUUUAUCAAGCAAUAAAUUAAUAAAUAUUUAAUUCUUGUAUGGUGAUUAUGUACUUUUUUUAAGAAUUAAAAGGAUUUUUCUGAUAUGUUAGUCCUAUACUGUUAUCUUGUAGCAUUCUUCCUGUUAUAAAUAUACUAAUAGCAUGCUUAUGCUGCAAUUCCAUGCUUAUUAUAAUGAGUUUAAUUAUUUAUUGAGUUUCAUAAAUGAAUAUGAGGUUCCUUAAUUGAAAUUCAAACGAACGAAGUUGUCAAUGAUCAAUUUCAUAAGUUUAUAAUGAAUUGUUAUAAUAAGGUGUCAUGAAAUUAUGUUGGUGUGAUGAAACUUAUUUUUAUUUUUUUUUAUGAAUGAUUUGCUUUAUGUUUUCAAAAGGAAGGAUAUGAUUGAUUGCAUUAUAGUUAUUAUAGUUUAAUUUUGUUUUUAUUGAUUACAUAACCUAACUUUCUUUCAGAUGAGAUGAAAGGCCCCUCAGAUCAUUAGAGAGUAUCCAUGAUCAAUAUCUGAAGUUAUGAACUGAGUUUGGUGCAUGUUAUUUAACGUGUUUGAGUUAUUAUUCGACAAAAUGGUAUUAUUAAAGGACCUAAUAAGACACUUCCUUGUGGUAUUUUAUCGAAGUUAUUUGAUGUCAUCUAGAUAUGAUUAUGUGUUUGUAAUAAGGACAACAUAUGUUGAAGGAAACAUGUAGUUUUACAUAAUCUGUUAAUCUUUAUACGUAAUUAACAUUCUAUAUUAAUUUGGUUAUGUAUGCAUUUAUUUGGGUAACUUCAAAAGAUGUAUACUUCUCUGAAGGGUGAACCUUUCCUACGUUUGUUUAGUCUAACUGCUACUAAGUGUUAUUUUAGAAUUUUCAAAGCAAAUUGAUUUGACAAUUUUUCACUGCUUUCACAGUUACUUGUCUUUGAUUUGAUGGGAAAUUUCAUUAUUUAAAAAUAAUAUUUAAAUUUAUUGAAUUUUGAAUCGAUGUUAUUUUAAAUUAUUAUUAUUUUUUAAAUAUUUUGUUUUAAUAAGAUAAACUAAAUUUUUUGAAUUAAUUUUCUCAUUUGUAUAAGUAUUUUAAAUAGUAAAUAAUUUAAUAAUUCAAAAAAUAUGAACAUUAAUAAAAAAAAAAUUCAGUUUUAAUUGAUGCUAUUCUUUUGUCAAAAAUUUAUUAAGAUUUUUUUAGUUGAAUUAACAUAUUUUUUUUGGGUCAAUGUUAAUUUAUGAAGCCAAACACUAAAUAAUGACUUUUAAUGAAUAUAACUAUAUAUAGUCUCUUAUACUCAUACUUUAAACAUUCUUACUAACUUAAAUAUCCAAGUCUUUUAUAGAUGAACUUCAUCAUUUUCCUUAUAUAUACACUACAAGAAAAUCAUUAAAUACAAAUUAAUUUUAGAGAUCAAAAUAAUUAGUUACUAUAUUGACCAAACUACAAACAAUUUUAGAGACUAAUUUUUUUGUUUUUAAAUUAGUUUCUAUUAUUGUUAAAUAGUUUCUAAAUUGGUAUCUAAUUAGCUACCAAGGUUUUAACUACCAAUUAUUUAGAUUCUAAAUUUAUAGCAAAAACCUUGGUAGCUAAUUGGAUACCAAUUUAAAAACUAUUUUACAAUAAUAGAAACUAAUUUAGAAACCAAUUUUUUUAGUUUCUAAAACGGUCUCUAAUUUAGUCAAUAUAACAAUUAAUUAAUUUUUAUCUCUAAAAUUGAUUUCUAUUUAAUGAUUUUCUUGUAGUCACACAAAGUUUGAUACAAAGAUAAAUGUUCUAAUUUUCAUUUCGAAACUCUCUAAAUCCAUUUUCGGUAAGAAUAUUAUUAAAAAAAAAAUCUACCAAAUGACAAUUUUUUACUACCUUGAUCGAGAUUAUUUUCUAUUAAAUUUUACACCAUAUUUAGGCUGAUAUCAAGUAAAGUUAAUGUUAGAAUGUAAUGUAGUUGAUUUAAGAUUUUCUCUUAACGUUCCGCUCUAUAUUAGCUUAAAAAAUGUCUUAUAAUUAAGUUGAGGACACUCAAAAUUAACUUAAUUAGAGAAUAGGAAGAGAAGACGAAAAGAAGAGACAUGAAUUUUAGAAUGUGGAGAUUUUUACAUUUUUAUUUUUUUAGUCAAAUUUAAAAUUAUCUAAUUUUAAGUCAUUCAUUUUAGUAAAAUUAUAGAAUUUCAUUUUUUAGAAUUCUAUGUCUAAAUAAUAUAUUUUGUUAUAAAAUAUUUUAAUUCUUUUUAUAAAAUUGACUUAUUUUAUUAAAAUUUCCUAUCAAGCAUGUCAUUGAAAUAACUACUUCUUUAAAUGGAGAAAAACAAAUAUAAGAUUUCCUUACUAAUUAUGACUCUCAUAGAUGUGUAUGCUCCUAUGCAUUUGUAUGUAAAAAUUGUCUAAAUCCUCAAUGAGGUAGAAAAGUUUGAGGUUAGCCUAAUAAAUAACAUUUACAAGAUAAAAAUGGAAAAAUAGUUCAAAUAAAAAAACCUAGAUGUAGACAUGACAAAAAAUUAACAUGCUCAUGAGUGCUAUAGACAUAUUAAUGAUGGAUCUGAAACUAGUUUGUAGAGGUAAAUGUUUGCUAAAUUCACUUCAUCUCCAUGGAUAGAGUAUGAUUGCAAUUUUAACGAAAUAGAGAGAAAAUUACUUGGAAUUAUAAAUGGGAGUAAAUCUCAUACAACGUGUUUUGAGUUUAAAUAUUUGGGUUCAAUAUUACAAAAUGAUGGAGAACGUAAUGAAGAUGUCACAGAUAAGAAACAGACAAAGAUGGUUAAAAGGGAAAAAAGUUAUCGGGAAAGUUGGUGAAAAAGAACGGGAUAUGGCGGAUACUUAGUCUUACCGGAAAAAACACUCCCUCACCGGAAAAAAACUCCCAGCCUCACCUGUUUCUCUCUUCAAUCAUGCUCACGAAUAGGUUUGGUAAGAGAUCUUUGUUUACAGGUUGAAUCAUAUGUCAAAGGCUUUGUGCGUUUUAGAGGACUUUAAUUCUAUUAGACGGCAGGAGGAGAGGAAGAGUCUGAUCUCUGUGUUAGAUUACUCUAGAGAAAUAAAAAGUUUUAUCGCUUUUAUUGAAAAAUCUGAAUUGGUGGAUAUAUCGCUGGUUGACAAGAAGUUUACUUGGUAUAAACCCAAUGGUAUGGUGAAGAGUAGGAUUGAUAGGUACUUGUGUCAAAUGAAUGACUCGAUUUGUGACCACACUGUCAACAAUUUGUUUUAAACAUAUCUGUAUCUGAUCAUUGUGCAAUUAUAUUAAAAGAUGUGAAUGUCGACUGGGGUCCGAAAUCUUUUAGGUGUUUGUUGGAUGUUUGGCAAAAAGAUGGUAGAUUUAAAGAGCUGGUGAGUUUGAAGUGGUCUAGCUACGAAGUUAAAGGAGGAGGGAUAUAUAUCUUCAAAGAAAAAUUGAAAAAGCUCAAAGCAGACUUAAAAGUCUGGAACAAAGAUGUUUUUGGGGAUGUAAAUCACAUUAGUGAGAACUUGCAAAAGAAGAUUAUUGAGUUAGAUGAUCGAGAUGAUGAAAGAGGCUUAGCCGAUUUAGAAAGAGAAGAAAAAAUGUCUAUGUUAGCUGACUUUAAUAAGUUUUGUUUAAAUAAGAGGCGAUUAUGCAUCAGAAAGCAAGGAAAAAGUGGUUGAAACAAGGUGACCUUAAUACAAAAGUUUUUCACUCGUCAAUUAAUUGGAGGAGGGCAAGGAACGCACUACAUGGGAUUUUCGUUAAUGGCAGUUGGUGCAAGGAUAAGGACGUGGUCAAGGACAAGGUUAGAGAAUUUUUUGAAGAUAGGUUUGCCAGGAAUGAUGUCUGUCAGGUUAGGUUGGACAAUGUUAUUUUCAAUACCAUCUCAGAGGCUGACAAUGAGAUGUUGAUAGGUGAAUUUUCUGAAGAAGAAAUUAGGGUAGCUUUUUGGAGUUGUGACAGUUCGAAGAGUCCUGUCCCCGAUGGUUUUAACUUUGGUUUCAUAAAAUUUAGCAUGGAUAUUAUUAAAAAGGACGUGGUGUUGGUGGUAAAUGAUUUUGCAACCAACGGUAAAUGGCCUAGGGGAUUUAAUGCGUCGUUUUUAUGCUUAAUCCUAAAAGUUGACAAUCCUUAGCAGCUCGGCGAGUUUAGACCCAUUUCGUUGGUUGGUUGCUUAUAUAAAAUUAUCUCAAAAGCGUUGUCUUUAUGUUUGAAGAAGGUGAUUAGCAAAAUUAUUGACCUCAGAUAGUCGGUUUUUCUUGAAGGAAUGGGUUUGCAGGAUAGUGAGUUAGUAGCUAAUGAGGUUUUGGAAGAAGUAAAAAGUAAGAAGAAGAGUUGUGUUUUCUUCAAAUUUGAUUAUGAGAAGGCUUACAACACAAUCAGUUGGGAGUUUAUUUAUUAUAUGUUAGCAAGGUUAGGUUUUUAUGGUAAAUGGAUCCUUUGGAUAAAUGGUUGCUUAGAAUCUGCUUCUGUGUUAGUGCUCGUGAAUGGAAGUCCUACUAAGGAAUUUUUUCCCAAGAAGAGGCUACGUCAAAGAGAUCAGUUAGCUCCGUUUUUGUUUCUUAUAGUGGCAGAGGGAAUGGUAGGGGUCUCAUGAUUGGCAGAAGAGAAAAAUCUAAUAGAUAGUGUGGAGAUUGGAAGGGUCAAAGUGAGGGUAAACAUGUUACAAUAUUCUGAUGACACAUUGUUUUAUUGUGAAGCCAACAAUAAAAGUGUAUUCAAUAUUAAGGCAAUUCUGCUUUGUUUCGAGCUUGCAUUUGGGCUUAGGGUUAAUUUUUUUAAGAGUAAAAUUGGUGGGACGGGGAUAGACUAGCUUUCGCUCCAGCGGUUUGCUGCAAUUUUGAACUGUGACAUGACGGUAACUCCUUUUAUCCAAAUAAAAAAUACUCAAAUCUGAACCUGAGUAGGAGACUAGGCAGGCGGAUGAAGCUACGCGGUGGUAGAGAGAGUUAAGUCUAGGCUGAGUAGGUAGAAGGGACGGUGUUUGUCGUUAGCUGGGAGAAUUUGCUUGAUCAAAUAUGUCCUUUCUUCUAUUCGGCUAUUUUUUAUGUCUUUGUUCAAAAUGCCCUUAGUAGUGGAGGAGAAGAUAGUAAGAAUUCAGAGGAAUUUUCUUUGGGGUUGGGGUUCAGAAGGAAUGAAGAUAGCUUGGGCCUCUUGGAAAAAGGUUUGUGAGCCUCUUGAGAUUGGGGGUCUUGGAAUUAUCAAUUUAGGGAUCUUUAACUUGGCUUUGUUGGGGAAAUGGAUUUGGAGAUUGAGGUCGGAUAAGGGUGGUUUGUGGAAGGAGAUUCUUGAAUCUAAAUAUGGUGGCUGGAGAAGUUUGAGAGAGAACAGGAAAAUUUGUAGGGACUCACUUUGGUAGAAAGAUUUAAAGGAGGUGUGGGCUUCAGAGGGCUGGGGAAGGAAUUUUGAAGACACUUUCAAGUGGAAAGUUGGCGAUGGAAGAGAGAUCUCUUUCUGGGAGGACAAUUGGCUGAUUUGUGGUGCGUUGAAGAGGGUUUUCCCGAGGUUGCUUUCUUUGAGUUCGGCCAAAGAUGCAAAGGUGGCACAACUUGGUCAUUGGAUUAAUGGUGUUUUUGGCGUUUAGACUAGCGAAGGUCUUUCUUCAGUCUUUAGAGUGUCAUCUUCUUCAGGAGUUGCAAGGGCGCGAGAUUGGAUUUGGAAGAGCAGGAUCGUUGAGUUUGAAAGGUUGGAGAGCUUCAAACUUAUUCGGUUAAUUCUGCCUAUGUUUUGUAAAGGCAGGAUCGCAAGGAGGAGAUGUCUUUUGUGUACAAUAAGUUGUGGAGGUGUAAAGCUUUGCCUUCUGCACUUUUCACUGCCUGGAGGGUGUUGGAGAAUAAGAUUGCUACCUUGGUCAACUUGGAAAGGCGAGGAAUUGUGGUCGACAACCUUUUGUGUUGUUUGUGCGAGAAGGAGGAGGAAUCUCACCGUCAUUUAUUUUUUAUUGCAGAUUUUCUUGGCUUGUUUGGUGUCAUUGCUUUGAGUGGCUUAGCGCGAAAUUCGUGAUUCACAUUGAGCCCGUGCCAAAAAAAUUUCAGUUCGGGUUGUGCAAUGCUUCAGGUUUGGUUAAUGACUUUUGGGGAGCAAUUUGGGUUGGAGUGGUGAGUGAAAUUUGGAAACACAUGAACAAUGUCAUUUUAAAAAAAAAGGAAAGCUUAAAGUGUUUGCAAUGGUUCAAGUCAAGGUUUGGUCUUGGAUUUAUUCAAAAACUCGAGGUAAGUCGUUCUCUUAUUCCAAUUGGUGUUUGGACCCCUUAGCUUGCAUGAGGUUGGUUUCUUAAUGCUCUUGUUGUCAUUUUGUUUUUCUUUGUAUCUUUGAUUUUAUCUGAUUGGUAAGUGUUUCUUGGAAAGUAGGAGGAGGUUAAAGUGCAAUUUGUAUAAUGGUUGGAUCAUUCCUGAAAUGAUUCUUAUUUAUUAAUUCCUUGUUGUUGAUAAAAAAAAAGGAAAAGUUAUCAAGGAUUAACUAUGAAUGCAAAGAACCAACCAAGCUUAAUAGUCUUGUUAUAAUGCCAUAUGUUCGGCUAUCUAUACUCUAAUAUUGAAUAGCAGGAUUAGAAAAAUUGAAAAUGUUAAAAGGGUUGCGUAGUCACAUAAUAAAGGACAGAAGUGAAAUAAUUGUAUACGAGUAAUUAGGAGACAUUGGUUAUACUGAUUAAAAAGAAUAAAAAAAUUAUUUGAGGUGGUUUGGAGUAUUUUUGUUCUCAGAUUCUAUUCAAUCCUUUUAAUCAAUCAAAUCAGUCUCUGGGUUUGUUUCUGAAAUAGAAACUAACACAAACCAGCAAUGGACAUUAAUAUUAAGUCACUACUUUGUUUCAAUCAAUCAAAUCAAUCCAAGAGACUUGGCCUUUGGGUGUGGGCACAUGGUGAGUUACUAAAUUAUUAGUCUCAUUCCUCUUAUUGUUAUUAUUAAUUUAUUAUUAUUAUUAUUAUUAUUAUUAUUAUUAAUUUAUUAUUAAUUACAAUAUUUUGGAAAAACAGACUUGCAGGGAGUGUGGAUACAAGAGGAUCAAUACUCGUCUUAGGGUGAACAGCGGGUGAAUGUAAUUAAUAAAAAUCAAGCACAUUAAUUUACACACUUUGCAUAACAUACCUUUCCAAUUAGGAUUCAUUGUGUGGUUAAGAGUCUAAAAUGAACAUGCUUUCUGGUUGUAUGAAGAGUACUGAAAAUGUGGAGAUAGAUUGGCCACUUUCUCUGUAUAUGUAUUAUUUUAAUUGUAUUUUUCUCUCGGGAUAAAUUUUUAAUUUUAUAGUUUUUAAUGAUUUGAUUUUUGGUUAAAAAUAUUUAAAAAUUAAGUAACUUUCAUAUUUAUAGUUUUAACAAUUAUGUGAUUCUGAUUUACACAUAAAAAAAAUUAGUUUACCUUUAAUUAAUGGUCCACUUUUUAAUAGCAUGCUAAUAUGAUAACUAUAAGGAAAUGCUUUUGAAAAUUAAGGCAACACUUUUCCAUAUAAUCAAAACUAGUUUACAGUGAUCAAAACAUGUUAUUGGAGCUCUCUUCUUCUUGUUUUUUCUUCAAAAUUUGAUGAAAGAUCAAGAUUGUAGCAUCUCUUUACUCAUUCCUUGACGUAUUAACUACGAUUUUCUCAACUUUCCUAAACUCAACAUUUAAGUCAUGGGUUAAUAAGUGAGUUUUUGCCCCAAAAGGAUAUUUGAUAGAGCUUUUAUAGUACAUCUUUGUAUGCAUUAUUUUAAACUUAUUCAACUUUUGAUAGUGUCAUAUAUUGAUAAAUUAACUAUGAUUUAUUUUAAUGAGUCUUAUUAAUCUUAAUUAUUAGUUUUCAUAUUUUAUUUCUCAUUUUAAGAAUCAAUCUUACAAAUUUUGUAUAUUCAAUUAUUACUAAAAAAAAUUAUUUUAUAUAAUGAUAAAAACCAUAAUUAUAUUACGUCACUACAUGUAUAGGAAAUUUAUAGGGGUUUCUCUCUCCCAAAUUACAAUCUAAUUAGGUAGGAUACUAAUAAUGAGAUUCUAUAAUUAUUAAAUUAAUUGCAUAUAAUUGGGUACAAUAUCAUACAAUAAUUGCAUAUAAUUUGAUAAUUAUUAUUUCCUUAAUACUCCCCAUCAAGUUGUUGGUAGGUGAAGAUCAAGAACCCCCAAUCUUGUGUCGUAGCGUAAAAAAUCAUUCCUUGCCUAGUGGCUUCGUAAAAAUAUCUGUGAGCUGAUAUUGUGUUGGUACAUAUGAAAGACUGAUUAUCCAGAUUGUAAUUUUUCUCGCACAAUGUGGCAGUCUAUCUCAAUGUGUUUUGUGCGUUCAUGAAAUACUGGGUUUGCUGCUAUAUGUAAUGCCGCUUGAUUGUCACAAAAGAGUUGAGCUGGCAAGUUACAUGGCACCUUUAAAUCCUGCCACAUAUAUCGCAACCAAACUAUCUCCAAACAAGUAUUGACCAUUGCGCGGUAUUCUGCCUCUGCUGAUUAUCUUGAUACGUUUGUCUGUUUUUUUUACUUCCAUGAGAUAAUAGAGGAACCAAGAAAAAUGCAAUACCCAGAUAUUGAUCUCCGAGUUGUCUGACAACCUCCCCAGUCUGAGUCGCAAUAAGCUGUCAAUGUCAGAUUGUUUUCGGAUGGCAAUAGCAAUCCUUGUCCUGGUGAUCCUUUUAUGUACUUUAGGACUCGAAUUGCGGCAUCCCAAUGAGGUUUCCGUGGAUCCUGUAUAUAUUGACUUAGGGUCCGAACCGAAAAUGCUAAGUCAGGCCGAGUAACCGUGAGGUAUAUCAGUCGUCCCACGAGUCGACUGUAUUUGAUUGGAUCCUUUAAUAACUCUCCAUCGUCUGGUGUGAGUUUUAGGUAUUGUUCCAUUGGAAAUUUGUCUGGACAAGCACCUGUGAGUCCCGUAUCCUACAAAAUAUCAAGCGCAUAUUUUAUUUGGGACAUGUAAAUAUCAGCUUUGGAACAGGAAAAUUCAAUCCCUAGAAAAUAUUUUAGGUCUCUCCAAGAUCUUUAAUGCGAAAUUGUUGUAAUCAACAAUCUUUAACAUGCUGAAUUUUUGUCAAAUCAUUUCCUGUCAAAAGAAUAUCAUCCACAUAAAUCAAAAGGGCAGUAAAUGAUGAGUUAUUCUGUCUUGUGAAUAGAGAGUAAUCUGUCUUGGACUGUUAAAAUCCUACAGAUUUAAUCACAUGAGAAAAUGUUGAAAACCAUGUUCGAGAUGCUUGUUUGAGACCAUAAAGGGAUUUGUUGAGUCGACAUACAAUGUUCUCCCCCUGUCGAUGAUGCCCGGGUGGCAAGUCCAUGUAAAUAAUUUCAUGCAAUGUGCCAUGUAAGAAGGCAUUUUGCACAUCUAGCUGGAACCAAUUUCUGGAUGUUGCAAUGGUGAGGAGACACCUCAAAGUUGUUAAUUUUGAUGUUGGUGAAAAAGUUUCAGAAUAGUCGACACCUUCAAUCUGAGUGUACCCCUUUGCGACAAGGCGCGCCUUAUAUCUGUCGACGCUACCAUCUAAGUUGUACUUGAUUUUAUAGACCCAUUUGCAUCCGAUGGGUUUCUGUCCAGCGGGUAACGGUGUCAAGGUCCACGUUUGAUUUAGCUACAAGGCGGAAAGCUCUUCGUCCAUUGCUUUUUGCCAAUUUGGAUCAAGGAUAGCUUGAGCAUAAGUGUGAGGUUCUUUGGUGGCUGUGAUGUUAAGAUUGCUACCUUGGUCAACUUGGAAAGGUGAGGAAUUGUGGUCGACAACCUUUUGUGUUGUUUGUGCGAGAAGGAGGAGGAAUCUCACCGUCAUUUUUUUUAUUGUAGAUUUUCUUUUGUUUGGUGUCAUUGCUUUGAGUGGCUUAGCGUGAAGUUCGUGAUUCACAUUGAGCCCGUGCCAAAUUUUUUUCAGUUCGGGUUGUGCAAUGCUUCAGGUUUGGUUAAUGACUUUUGGGGAGCAAUUUGGGUUGGAGUGGUGAGUGAAAUUUGGAAACACAUGAACAAUGUCAUUUUUAAAAAAGGAAAGCUUAAAGUGUUUGUAAUGGUUCAAGUCAAGGUUUGGUCUUGGAUUUAUGAAAAAACUCGAGGUAAGUCGUUCUCUUAUUCUAAUUGGUGUUUGGACCCCUUAGCUUGCAUGAGGUUGGUUUCUUAAUGCUCUUGUUGUCAUUUUGUUUUUCUUUGUAUCUUUAAUUUUGUCUGUUUGGUAGGUGUUUCUUGGAAAGUAGGAGGAGGUUAAAGUGCAAUUUGUAUAAGGAUUAGAUCACCCUGAAGUGGUUCUUAUUUAUUAAUUUCUUAUUGUUGAUAAAGAAAAAAGUAAAAAGCUAUCGAGGAUUAACUAUGCAAAGAACCAACCAAGCUUAAUAGUCUUGUUAUAAUCCCAUAUGUUCGGCUAUCUAUACUCUAAUAUUGAAUAGCGGGAUUAGCAAAAUUGAAAAAAUAAAUAAAAAAUAAAAAAUGAAGAGUACUGAAAAUGUGGAGAUAGAUUGGUCACUUUCUCUGUAUAUGUAUUAUUUUAAUUGUAUUUUUCUCUCGGGAUAAUUUUUUAUUUUUAUAGUUUUUAAUGAUUUGAUUUUUGGUUAAAAAUAUUUAAAAAUUUAGUAACUUUCAUAUUUAUAGUUUUAACAAUUAUGUGAUUCUGAUUUACACAUAAAAAAAAUUUAGUUUACCGUUAAUUAAUGGUCCACUUUUUAAUAGCAUGCUAAUAUGAUAACUAUAAGGAACUGCUUUUGAAAAUUAAGGCAACACUUUUCCAUAUAAUCAAAACUAGUUUACAGGGAUCAAACCAUGUUAUUGGAGCUCUCUUCUUCAUGUUUUUUCUUAAAAAUUUGGUGAAAGAUCAAGAUUGUAGCAUCUCUUUACUCAUUCCUUGGCAUAUUAACUAUGAUUUUCUCAACUUUCCUAAACUCAACAUUUAAGCCAUGGGUUAAUAAGUGAGUUUUUGCCCCAAAAGGAUAUUUGAUAGAGCUUUUAUAGUACAUCUUUGUAUGCAUUAUUUUAAACUUAUUCAACUUUUGAUAGUGUCAUAUAUUGAUAAAUUAACUAUGAUUUGUUUUAAUGAGUCUUAUUAAUCCUAAUUAUUAGUUUUCAUAUUUUAUUUCUCAUUUUAAGAAUCAAUCUUACAAAUUUUGUAUAUUCAAUUAUUACUAAAAAAAAUAUUUUAUAUAAUGAUAAAAACCAUAAUUUUAUUUAAAUUUAAAAGAAAGAAAAAAAAUCAAUUAUAGACUUAUUUCAAGAAUAAAAGAAAAUUUUCUUAAGAGAAAACUACACCAUUUAAAAAAAUACAUUUAUUAUUUGUAUAGAUUAUAAAUGCUAAAUAGGCUCAAAGUAGCAAAGAUGGAAUAUUUAUAUAAAUUAGAGCGUGUGGCCCUUAAUCACAAGGUCGGAGGUUCAAACCACCCUCCUUCUAGCGCUUUUGAUGUUUCUUAAAAUAUUAGCAUUUUUUACUAUUUUGCUUUUAGCUAUUUCUAAUUAUUUUAUUUUUAAUAUGUCUAUUUAAUACUUAUUUUAAUUUAUAAAUUUUUAUAUUAUUUUAUGAUUCUAUAUAUCUCACCUACAUUUUAUUUUAUAUAAAUAUAUUUACUAUAUAUUACCCACGUUUUAAAAAAUGUUAUAUUUAUCAAUAUAUUCACAUAUUUAUAUAAAUUAUAUGUAUAACACAUUUUAAUAAUUAUUAUUAAGUGUACUGGACAGGACGGGUUGGUGCAUAGUGAUCAGACUCUAUACACCCAGCUUCACCCCCUCAUUUCUACCUUUUUUUUAUCAUCUUUUUUUUAGUCCCUCCAAAAAAAGUAAUUAAGAUAAAAGAUAAAGAAAUAUUUUAUCUAUUGUGAUAUUAUUUUGAAGAUGAAAGAUAUAAUUGUUAUUGUUUAAAUCUGUUAUCAUAUUAUUUUGAAGAUAAAGAGAUAUUUUAUAAUAAGCAAGUUUGUUAUAUAUAUUUUAUCAGUUGUGAUAUUAUUCUGAUGAAAGAUAUAAUUGUUAUUGUUUAAAUAUGUUAUCAUAUUAUUCCGGAGAUAAACAAAUAUUUGAUCUCUUGUGAUAAUAUGCAAGUUAGUUAUAUAUUAAUUAAUACAUGUUAGUUACAUAUUAAUGAGCAUCCAUGGUGCACAUGUUAAAUAGAAUGUUUCCAUGCUAUUAGCACAUGAAAAUAAGUGGUACCUGUUAGCAAGUGUUUUUUUUAGUUAUGUAUGUUUUCUAUUGAGAUUAGAUUAUCGUCAGUGAAAACUGUUACAAGAGUAGUUAUAAAAGGGGCAUGAGACCCUAGGUAAAGGUAUGUUAUUUCUUAAUACAAGACUGAAACCGAAUACUAUCUUAUUUUAGUAAGUUCUCACUGACUUGAUCGUCGGAGUGUAAUAAACAAGUAGAGCCCCUCUAUCCUAACAAAGUCAUGUUCCAGUGCAAGGAGAAGACGCAAAACAUAGUCUAGAAAAGACAGGUUAGAAGAUAAGUUUUCUACUCUAGCAAGAAAGUCAACUCGCAAGAACAUUAACAAAAACAUAUUUGAAAUUAUAUUUAGUCAUUUUUAUUUUUUUCUUUAAAAAUGUUUUCACAUUUUUUCCUAAACAAUAAAUAAAUUAAAUAAUACAAAAAUAAUUUUGAUCUUCUUUUGAUUUAUCUAACAACAAUUAAGAGGCACUCAAUUGUAUUUUCUCUAUAAAUUUUAAGUGGCUCAAUUAAUUUUCAACUGAACUGGAUGUAACAUUUUCAUCUUUAAUAUUGUAUUAUUUAAGCAAAUAGUUUAGAAUUAUUUUAUUUAUGUACAUUUAAAUAAAAAUACAAGGUGUUAGUUAAAAAAUUUAAAAAUUUAAAAAUAUAUUUCACAAAAAAAUCAAAAUUGGUUUGAAAAAACUUUAUAUAAAAGAAAUAUCAAUUUAUUGAUAGAGUCCCUAGUCAGAUAAUAAAUUUAAGAAAAAUGGUGAUUUGAUAAUUCUUGAAAUUGUAUAAAUUUUUAUGUGAUUAAUUUAAAAACAAAUAUACAUAAUAAAAAAUAAAUUUAUAAUUAAAUAAUAUAAAAAAAUUAAAAUAAUAAUAUUAAGAAUUUUAAUAUAAUUAUAUAAAAAAUUAAAUUUAAAAUGUAUCAUUAAUUUGAAUUUAAAAUGCAAUAAGAUUUGAAUGAAGUCAAAGUCAUUCUUCAGAUAAUUCAAUUUUGCAAAUUCAGAAUCUCAAUCUCAAUAAUUGUUCCGGUAUUCAAAUCUUGAUGGAGAAAGAGAAAUGAGAAAUGGAAAAAACGUGGUUUUUGUGCAUUUAUUGUUUCUCAAAAGGUGUUCUUAGUGAAUCUUGAUGGAGAAAGAGAAAGGGAAAAAACGUGGUUGUGCAUUUAUUGUUUCGAAGAAGAUGUCAUUAAAAAUAAUGGUAAAUAUAUAACUUUCAAACAAUUUCAUUCAAAUAGUUUCAUUAUAUUUAUAAAUAAAUUAUUUUGAAUAAAAAACCAAAAUAAUUGAUUUGAUGAUGGGAAAAAAUUAAUCAUUUAUUAAAAUAUAAAAUAUUAGCAAGUUUUAAUUUUUUUAUAUAGCUAAAAUCACAGUAUUAUUUUUAAAUGAAAUUAAUAACAUAAUUUUUCAAAUUUUUUUUGUGAAAUUAACAUGAAAGAGAAUUGUACAUGAGUAAACUUAUAUAUAGUUUUCUGACAAGACAAAUUUAAGAAAUGAAUAAAUUAGAAGUAGUGUACUCUAACACAAACCCACCCACCCUAAAAUUAAGACAGCUAACGUUAAUAAUUAAGUUGUACUUGAUCUUAGAACAAGAAUUCAAGGCUUUUACUUUUUCUAUCUUUGAUUUUUUCCUCUACAUCUAUCAUUUUUAUUUUCUUUAUUUUUUUUCAUUGUAAAAUUCGAAAAAUAUUUUAUAUUUAACCAUUCAAAAUAGUAAUUCAAAUUUAGUAUUAUUAUACAUUAUAUUUUUGAAAUAUUAAGCUUAGCGUUUCAAAUUUUGCAAUCCAUUUUGAGAAUGAAAUAGAUUAUAAAUUGUAUAAUUUCAAUAAAUAAUUUAUAUAAAUUUGUUCCUAUGAACUAAUUGAAGGAAAUAAGAGAAAACAAAAUGUUGUAGCAACUGAUUGAAUGUAAUUGCACAAAAUUGCAAAACUGAUCUUAUUCAUUUUGAUUUACUCAAUCAUAUAUAUAAUAAAAUUACAAUUACUGGAAGCUAUAUAGGAAUACUAACAUGCCUUUAAACUAACCAUUAAUGCAAUAUAACGGUAAAAUAGUUUAAGGGUAAUAAAAUCAGAAUUAAUAAUAAUAAAAUCUGAAUAACCAACAUCCUUCCUUAAUUCUGAUUUGGAACAACCUUCCCAAUUUGAGUUAUGAUAUUGUUUUUCUCAAUCGCCAUCAAUUCUUCAUUCAUAUCCUUUUGCCAUUUGGGGUGUUGAAUGACAUCGACAAGUCUCACAGGUUCUGAUUCUGCAAGAAAAGCAACGUGAAUCAAAUCUCCAUUGUCAUCAACUUCAUCAUCAAGAUUUACUUUGCAAUCUUGAAGAUGUACAGGUUGUCGUUGCUGCCUUCUUGGUCGCUCCAUCAUAGUUGCAAUUGGAGUUGCAACUUCAGGUUGAAUUACUACUUCAGGUUGAACUGCAGCUUCAGGUUGAACUGUAGGUGCUUCAGAGUGAUUUCAUCUUCCAUAUCAUCGUUCAAAACAUAAAUAUAUUGUUUUUUCAAAUCUAUUUCAGCUGCUGCAUUCCAUUGCCAUUCGUCAUCUUCGGCAAAUGUAACAUCACGACUAACAAUCACUUUCUUUGUCAUUGGAUUGUCCAGUUUGUAUCCCCCAUGCUUAUAUCCAAUGAAAAUGGUCUUCAUUGCCUUAUCAUCCAACUUCGAUCUUGCUGCCUUGGGGACAUGAGCAUAAGUAAUUGACCCAAAUACCUUCAAGUGUUGCACAUUGGGUUUGAAUCCACUCCAUGCCUCAAUCGGAGUUGUGUUAGGAACACUCCGAGUGGGUGAUCUGUUUAUCAAAUAUACCGCACAUGUUACGGCCUCAGCCCAAAAAUAAUUAGGCAUACCUUUCGCUUUAAGCAUGCUCCUCGCCAUGUCCAUGAUUGUUCUAUUCUUUCUCUCAGCAACUCCGUUGUGUGUUGUGUUGAGGUGUGUAGGGGCAAGUUAUGUUAUGUUGCAACCCAAGUUCUUCACAGUGCCUCUUGAAUUCAUUAGACUUGUACUCACCUCCUCCAUUACUACGCACCAUCUUAAUUUGUCUGUCACUCUCUCUUUCAACAAAUGCUUUAAAUAUUUUAAAGCAGUGGAAUACCUCAUCCUUGCUUUUCAAUACAUAAAUCCAGGUUUUCCUUGAAAAAUCAUCAAUAAAGGUUAAAAAAUACUUAUUACCUCCAACUGAUGAUAUGUUCAUCGGGCCACAAACAUCUAUAUGAACAAGCUCUAAAGGAAAUUUUGCACGCCAAGGCUCCUUAACAAAUGGUAUCCUGUGAUUCUUUCCAAAAAUGCAAGCCUCACACAAUUGAUCAGGGUGAUGAAUAUGGGGUAAAGCAUUCACUAAAUUUCUUUUGGAAAGAUUUUCCAAACUCUAAAAAUUUAAGUGCUCAAAGCGUAAAUGUCAUAACCACGAUUCAUUAUUCACUAUUGCAUUCAAGCACUUGAAAUCACCCAUAUGAAUAUCUACUGGAAACAUGCGGUUUUUUUAUAAAAAGGAUUUAAGAAUCAAACUACCUUUUUUAUCAAAAAAUGAUAAUUUAUUUUCAACUAUGUGCAUCACAUAACCCUUCUCGGCCAGCUGCCCCAUACUCAACAAAUUACUUUUCAUAUCAGGUACAUAGAAAACAUCAUAGAUGUACCUGUGAUCACCAUUCUUCAAUGUGAUAAGAAUUCGCCCUUUUCCAGUCAUCGGAACGAACCUACCAUCACCGAAUUUCACUUUUGUGCGAAAUGAGUCAUACAAAUCUGCAAACAACUCUUUCUUACCACACAUGUGAUUUGUGCAACCUGUAUCCAAAUACCAAGUCUGAUUGUUUGGAGUUUCAUUUGAUGUGGCUGCCAUUAGUACUACAUGAUCAUCUUCAUCUUGUUCGUGAUUACUUUCUUCUUGAGUACAAUUGGCAGCAUGAUUAUCAUCUUUUGAUAUGCACUCAUUUGCAUAAUAGCUACGUUUAUGGCAAUUAUAACACUCAACAUUUGAUUUAUUAUAAAUGCCUCCUCGUCCUCCGCGACCACGUUCCCCACGCCAAGCGCCUCCAUGAUUUUGGCUACCACGACCUUUGCUGAAAUAGCUACCAUGUUCAUGAUAGGAGCUACCAAUUGAGACUUGUGCUUGUAAAGCCUAUUCAAUUGGUUUUUCAAUCUUAUUGUCAUUCAUCCGUUGCUCAUGCGCUCGUAGAGAACCAGACAAUAACCUUACUGUCAUUUUUGAAAUUUCAUUGGCCUCUUCAAUUGCGGCAACAACAUGUUCAAAUCUAGGAGUUAAAGAUCUGAAAUUCUUCUCCAUCUUUGCCUGCUCCGAAUGUGUUUCACCAUUGGUCUUCAUCUGAUUUGUCAAGGCAAUAACCUUAUUUAUAUAGACAUCAAUAGUCUCUGUGGUUUCCAUUUGCAGCAAUUCAUAUUGGCGUCUUAGGGUUUGAAGAUGCACCCUCUUGAUCUUGUCAUCACCUUUAUAAUUGGUUGAAAAAAUGAUCCAAGCCUCACUAGCAUUUGUUGCUCCUUCUAUCUGCUCAAACGUCUCGUCAUUCAUCCCUUGAUGGAUGAGAUAUAAAGCCUUAUUGUCCUUCUUCUUCUGAUCACGAUGUGCUACUCGUUGCGCCUCAGUUACAUUAUCACCUAAUGCAGACACUCCACUCUCAACGACAUCCCAUAACUCAUGAUAAUCAAACAAAACUCUCAUUUGCACACACCACCGAUUGUAAUUUUUUCCAUUAAGGAUAGAGACUGAUAAUUGGGUAGAGUUCAUGAUAACAGACUAGCUCUUGAUACCAGUUGUAGGAACUAAUUGAAGGAAAUAAGAGAAGACAAAAUGUUGUAGCAACCGAUUGAACGUAAUUGCACAAAAUUGCAAAACUGAUCUUAUUCAUUUUGAUUUACUCAAUCAUAUAUAUAAUAAAAUUACAAUUACUGGAAGCUAUAUAGGAAUACUAACAUGCCUUUAAACUAACCAUUAAUGCAAUAUAACGGUAAAAUAGUUUAAGGGUAAUAAAAUCAAAAUUAAUAAUAAUAAAAUCUGAAUAACCAACAUCCGUUACCACCCAUAGUCCCACAUCGUUUAUGAGUCGAGGUCAAUGACAGUUUAAAUACACUUUCCUUCCUUCACCCUUCGAGACACCUUUUAAGGACAAAAUCAUGACAUAGCACCGACUUCCAAAGUGGACAAUACCUCGGAUGCAGUGAUUGAACCUAACGAUGCUGUCCAACGGACUUGAGGUCAGAACAUUGAAGUCGUCUGUGGGAACGAAAAUGUGUCCCAAGCCCUUCAACUAGGGGGAUCCACUCCCCUUAGACCUCGAUUGGGGGGCUUGUUCCGGUACUGCCAAUAUAGUCAUACAUCAUUUAGGAGUCAAGGUCAAGAGUAGUUUAAAUACACCAUCCUCCCUUCACCCUCUAAGGCGCCUUUUAAGGACAACCGUGACGGAGCACCGACCUCCAAAGGGGACAAUACUUGUGAUGCGGUGAUUGACCCUUACGAUGUUGUCCAACGAACUUGAGGUCGAAACAUUGUGUACUGGGCAGGAGUUCGACCCUCGAUUUUGGGCUGGUAGUAGCUUGAUUCUCGGUUUGGACUGGGGUCAGCUCAGUUAUUGGACCAUGGGUAAGGGUUAUGAGUUUGACCCAGUUUUAAUUAAUGAGCUCGUAAGAUAUAAUGGGGCUGCCAUUUGAGAAGGGUCCAUUGUAUAUGCUUAUAAAUAAGUGUGCGCAUAGUUAUGAUAUGCGCGUGUUUGUUACUUGUUAUGUGUCCAUGUUUGUUAUUUAUUGCAUGUUAAUUACGUAUUAAUGUCUGUUGAUAGUUGUUGUUAACCCUAAAAGAUAGAGGCAUGCAGUUAAAACAGAAUGUUGGCCUGCGAUUUAACACCUAAAGAUCAUUGGUGCCCGUGGUAGGUGGUUUUUCUGUUGAAGAUAAAAGAUUAAUGUGCUUAUUUUCAGUUAAGAUUUGCUUCUCUCAGGUGAGAGCGAUUGCAUGUGCGGUUAUAAAAGGGGCCUAAAACCCCAGAUAUUUAAAAAUUAAGUAACUUUCAUAUUUAUAGUUUUAACAAUUAUGUGAUUCUGAUUUACACAUAAAAAAUUUAGUGCAAAAAGGCAAAACAAUGGCGCCUUAUUAAGUGCGGUUUUACGAACAGACGCACUCGUAAAAAACGCAGUGGCUUUUUUAAAUUAAUUUCAUUUACAAAUACGGCUACACUAGUGCAAAAAGAAGAAAAGGAUACGCUUUAUUUAGUGCGGCUUUUGCGCUACCCGCUUUCGAAAAAAACGCGGUGGCAUUUUUGAAAUUAUUUUGAUUUACGAAUGCGGUUAUUUGAAUAACCGCAUUCUUAAAUCAAAGCACUUGAUUUACGAAUGCGAUUAUUUGAAUAACCGCACUUGUAAAUCAAAGCGCUUGAUUUACGAAUGCGGUUAUUUGAAUAACCGCAUUCGUAAAUCAAAAUUCUUUGAUUUACGAAUGCGGUUUUACCUUUAACCGCAUUCGUAAAUCCUUUUUUACCUUAAAUUUUGAAGCGCGCCACACACAAUUUCAAACUUUAUUUCUCGUCUUUGCCUUCGUUUCGCGUUUGCACUCUGAGUUCGUCUCCUUCUACUGCAUCUGCAUUCCAUUUGUGCAAUGUAAGUUUCUUGAACUCUCUUUUUUCCUCUUCAUCUUCACAAAUAUAUACAUAAAUGUUUUACGUUUUUCUUAUAUAUGUUUUUUUCUUUACAUUAGUGGUCUCGAAGCACUCUUUCAUUGUCUUCGUGGUUUCUUGUGGAUUUUUUGGUUUGCUCCGUUGCUGCUUCCCUGUCCGUCGUCGCUUCUGCUGCUGCCACCGUUGUUCGCUCCCGUGACUCUUCAUCAAUCUUGGCUUCACACAAGAUUGACGAUGUUUUAAAAUUUUUAAUUUUUUUUAAUGAUUCGGCAUAUACAAGUGCGGUUAAAGCAAAUAACCGCACUUGUAAAUGGUAUUUAUAAAUGCGGCUAUAUAGCCGCAUUUAUAUUUCUUGAUUUACAAGUGCGUGUUGAUCAAAUGCGGUUAUAAAACCGCAUUUAUAAAUUCAAAACAACCGCAUUUGUUUUAUGUUUCUGCACUAGUGCUAUUUGUAAUAGCUGCACUCGUAAAGCAAAACGUUUAUUUUACAAGUGCGGAUUUUACUUUAGCCGCACUUGUAAAUUAAAGCGCGUGAUUUACGAGUGCGGUUGUUACGAAUAGCCGCCCUCAUAAAUCAGUUUUACCCUAACUUCACUUCAAAAGCGCACCAUUCACUACUCUUUCUUUCUCUAGAAGCGUUUCGCAUUUGCACAGUGCUCUCAUUUGCGCUUCGCGUUCCUCUCUUCUUGAAGCGUUCUUGCCUUCGUGGUAAAUUUGUGAGCUCUCUUUCUUCUUCACCGCUUAUUUUUUGUUCAUAAAGCGUUGGUACUGUUCAUACUGUUGCAUUGCCUUUCAUUGACACUGUUGCAUUGCCUUCGUAGGUUCCUCUCUUCUUGCUUGUGUGCUCCGUCACUGCUUCCGCGUCCACCCUUCGUCCGUUGUCGCCGCCGCGUCCACUACCUCCGCCGUGCCACCUUGGCAACUUUGCCUUCACACCCAAGGUUGGUUGUAUUUUUUGAAUUUUUUUUAAUGUUAUGAAUUUUUUUAUGUAUUAUAAUUUAUUUAUUUUUUAAAUUUAUAUUAUUUAGUGUUUAUUUUAAUUUAUAUUAUGUUAGUUAUAAUUUUAUGUAUUUGUUUUAUAUGAUUUUAAUUCAAUGCAGAUUAACUAAUGUUUGUUACCUAAUUUUUUUAACACAAAUAUGGAUGACGAUCAGACUCUAAUCAGAUCCCGAUCCGGACGAGGCAGCAUAGGACCUACUAGAUUGAAGCGUCUUGCAUUGAAACGUACUGUUGGUGAGAAGAUAUGUGUUGACAUUGAGGUCAACACUAGAGUGGCUUUUGGUCCUCAUGAAGAUGGGUUUAUGAGCUAUCUUGGGGUUGUUUCUUGUGAGAGACUCUCCAUUUUGAUUAAUUCAUGGAAUGAGGUGUCAGAGGUCGAUCGGAACAUGAUCUGGGACGAUGUUCUAGUAAGCUUUACAUUAUUAUUGUUACCAUAUAAUGUUUUCUAAUAUUCAUUGAUUAAUUUUAAUUUGGCGAUGUGGCUUUUGCAAGAAAAUUUUGAAAUUCCUGAUGUGGAACCGCUUCAAUCAAAUAUUAUAUCCAAUAUCGGACUUAAAUUUCGUCACUUUAAGUCAAGAUUGACUUCGAGAUACGUUUUUGGCGACCUUAAAGACGAAAAUCCAUGUUUAAAGUACAAACAUAUUGAUGAAGAGACAUGGCGUAUUUUGAAAGAAAGCCAUGAAAAUGAGGCUUGGAUGGUAAAUGAAGUUACUUAACUAUUUUUUUGUAUAUAACAGUAAUAAGUUUAUCUUAUUUAAUUCACUUUGUUUAUUUCAAUUAUGACAGGAUCGUCUGAAGAAAGUUCAAGAGAUAGCUUUGAAGAAUGUUACCCCGCAUGUACUAUCUCGUUCGAGGUAUCGAAAGCUUGAGAAAUCACUGAUGGUGGAAAAGGAGCAAUCUAGACAGGGGACGUCGUCUGAGAAUGUGGAUACAAGGUUCACUCUUCCUCCAUCACCACCUUUUUGCCAUGUAAAAUGAAAGAGAGCCCGAAUUAAAAAGUUGGGUGCACCAAGUUUUGAGCAAUCUAGGGUUAUCAUCGAAAAAAUUGUAAGUUAUGCUUAACUUUUUUUCAUUUACUUUAAAGCAUUAAUUAUAUUAAAAACUGAUAUGAUUUUUGUCUAUUGUAGGAUUCCUUGGAAUCCCAAGGCAAUUUUGUUUCUGAAGGUUGGCACGAUAUCCUGGUUGAAGCAAUUGGACGACCUGAGCACUGUGGUCGUGUUCGUGCAGCUCGACAAGGGGUUGAAAUUAAACUAUAGUUUAGAGUUUCACAACGACAAUCAUCCUCCUCCCCCAAAGAGAGCAAAGCAGAAAUGAAGACUAAGAUAUGUGAAGAAUUAAUGGAGGAGAUGAGAAAGGAGACUGAUCAAAUGCGGCUAGAGAUGAGAAAGGAGAAUGAUCGGAUGCGACAAGAGUUUCUAUCGCAACAACUCUGUGUUGAGCUGAUUCAACCCCUUGUUAGUCCCACUCCCAAGAGCACAAAGGGGAGUUGUGCAGCUCCUACAACAUCAGGGGAGGAUAUCAUUGAGCAGACGAGGGAAUGUGAGCUACUGGUAGCGGGCGACAAGCUUCCUCAGGUGGUGGCCCUUGGAAAAGUCUAUGAAGAGGCCACCACCUUACAUAACGUUCAUCUCUCCCCUGAUGUGGUGAAGGUAACAGUUGAAAAAGUACGAGUACCUGAUGCUCGUGUUCCACUACCUUCAGAUGAGGUAACCAUUGUGGCCGAUGCAUUUCAGACAUUCGUUGCCUGGCCCAGACACCUCAUUCGAAUUAUGGCAGAACCUCAUCUAAUAAUUUCAUUUCAUUAUAUUAAUUUAUAUUUAUAUAUUACAUAUAAUUUAAUACAAAUGUUCUUUAUUUUGUAGAUACCUCAUUGGAAACUAAGUUUGGAAAAGAAGCAUGAGGUUCCAGUUGACGAUCCUAUAGCUUCCUUAGCUUUAGCUGCUAGACAAAUUGGUCAUGAUCCUUCUGAAGUUCCCUGGGAUGAUACGUUUUUUCAAAUAAACACUGAACUGUCACUAUACAUGUACAUGACAAAUUUAUUAGAAUUUGUAGUUGUGGAUCAGAAGCUCAAUAUAAAUAUAAUUCAAUAUUUUAUGACCCAAUCAUACAUCACUAACACCCUAGAAAAAGAGGGCAAACAAAUUUAUUUAUGCCCUUAUAUUAAUGAGUAAGUUUAAUUAUAUGUCGUCAAUUAUUACUAUUUCAUUUUUAAAUAUUUACUAACUCUUUUCAUGGAUGAUAUAGGCGUCAUUGGUAGUUACUUGUCUUAUCAAUGAUUGAUAAGACUGUUGUGUGGUUUUGUUCCCUACACAUAAGAUACCCCCAAAUCUUAAGAAUAUCAUUGAUACGUAAGUAUACUAAAAACUUAACUUUAUAUGUUACCAAUUAACCAUCUACUAACGAGUUUUUUUGUAUUAACCAGUUCAUGGCGUUGAUAUAACAUCCUAAAAGGUCGAUCCAGUUCAAAUUAUUUGAAGUGGAUAAGAAUAAAAGUUUGUAAUUUUUUUCUUUCUCUUUUCAUUGUUUUUCAAUAUACUAACUUUUACUUUUUAUUGAAUUAUAGUGUAAUAAAUAAACAAGAAGCUAUGAGUGUGGCUAUUACGUUAUGCAAUGGAUGAUUACCAUUGUAAGACUAGGCAUUAAAAGUGGUUGGAAAGAGGUAACAUGAUAUGUUAAAUUACUUUUGUAAUUCUUGAACAUAUAUGUAUCUUAAAACUAAUUUAUGUCAAUUAUAUUUUGAAAUGCAGUUUUUCACGGAAGAAGUACCGAUGAGUUCGAAAGCCAUAACAUAUGUGAGACAUUCUUGGUCCACAUAUUUCAAAUUUUUAUAACUCUAGGAUAGUUGAGCAAUAAUGUAGGGAUUAUAUGUAAUUUGAUUAGUGUUUGUAAUGUACAUUUUGAUCAAUAUAUAUUUGAUUCUCUGAAUUUAUCUAUUUUUCUAGAUGGGGGUAUAUAUAAUUGAACAGGUUAAUUUAUAUGAGAAUUAGCACUAAACAGAUUGCACUAAAAAAACUACUAUUUACAAGGGCGACUAUUUACCAAAGCCGCACUUAUAAAUCCAGCGCAGGAUUUACAAGUGCGGCUAUUACCAUAGCCGUACUCGUAAAUGUGAUUUACAAGGGCAGCUAUUUACCAAAGCUGCCCUUGUAAAUGCAUUACCCCUAAACCCCUAACCUUGAUUCAGAAGCAUAUACAAGUGCGGCUACCAGAAAUAGCCGCCCUUAUAAAUAGUAUUUACAAAUGCGGCUAUAUAGCCGCACUUGUAUCUCUUUGAUUUACGAAUGUGUGCUGGUCAAAUGCAGCUCUAUAGCCGCCCUUGUAGAUGUAAAAUAACCUCCCUUGUUUAGCCUUUCUGCACUAGUGAAUCAACAGGCAGGGCGCCCUCUGUCACAACGAAGUCACGUUUCAGUUCAACAGAAAGACACAAGUCAAUACUCAACUACGACAGAUCCAAUAGAAUGCGUUCAACUUAGUCAACUGGCAAGAACAAAUUUAAAACAACAUUUUUAAAUAAAUGAUGAGAAAAUCCAUAAUCUAUUUUUAAAACAUUUAAUAUGGAAAAUGUAAUUACCAAUUUCAGAUGUAAGAAUCCAUAAUAGUUGUUUUUUCGUUGAAAUGAAAGUUUGUGUUUUAACUUUUGGAGAAAAACUUGCAUGAGUCUCAUGAGAGAGAGUAAUCAUUUAGUGUUGUCAGGUCAACUUGUAUAUAUUACGCAUAAUGGAUGAUAAUGUGGGUUGACCUGCCUCGUGCUUGAUCUGUAAAAUGUGGAUUGGGUUGGCCCACCCUAUAUAAUGAACACGGACUGAUUUCUCUGUCUCGUAUCGUAUAAGGAUAGUUUGUGAGUUGGCGGUCCAACUCAGUAUAAGUUUUUUUUUUGUUUUUUUUAAAAGCCAUCAAAAUGUUUUAUAUAGAAGUGGAGGGCGUGCAAGUGAAGGUUGUGAACGGAGGAGUGCACAAAAGGGUGUGCAGAGACAUGCACUGCAAAUUUCGUGUGCAGAGGCGUGUGAAGAUAUGCACUAGCGAGGGCACGAAGGCUGUGUGUGGAGGCUAUAGCAGAGGUAGAGUGGAGUGAAUGCAAUAGCAAACCUAAUUAAUUAGGUUUUAAAUUGAGAAAAAAUUGGGUAACUUAUACAACUUGCUUUAAUUUCUUUUUUCUUUUUUACAAGUCAGCGUGCCAACUCAUCCUGUUGUUGGUACAUACGGACUGCGACUUAUGCAAGAUAAAUUUAAGUAAGUCAGAGAAUUGGAUUCCUAAUUCCAUCUUACACUUUUUGCCAGUGGAUUGCGAGCUGGAUAGCCCGACCCACAUUACCAUCCUUAAUUCUCACAUAUUUUUCAGUUUUUAAAAAUUAAAUAAUUAUUAGCAUAAAUACCACAAAGUAUAAAUUUUAAGUGGUUCUCGCAUAACUAAAUACUGAAACACAACACUUAUCUUCCUCUAACUUUUGUCAAAUUGAAAAUCAAUUGUUGGCUGCCAUUUACAUGUAUAUCCUUACACGUCUGUAACUACUACUGUCACAUCACCAUCACAUCUACAGUGAGAAGAAGAACUUAAAUAAACAGUGUUAACAAAACAUUUUCCUUUUAAAAAAAACAUCAAAUAAAUGAUGAGCCGAUUAUACAAGUUGACCUGAUUGAUAACACAAUGAAAUUGGCUCAAUUAAUUUUCAACUGUAUUUGAUGUAACAUUUUUAUCUUUCAUAUAACACCAAAUAAGUUGGCUCAAUUAAUUUUCAACUGUACUUGUUGUAACAUUUUCAUCUUUAAUAUUGUAUUAUUUAAACAAAUAGUUUAGAAUUAUUUUAUUUAUGUACAUUUAAAAAAUAUACAAUAAUGGUAUAUUUAUUGUUUCACAGAAGAUGUCAUUAAAAAUAAUAGUAAAAAUAUAACUUUCAAACAAUUUCAUUAAAAUAGUUUCAUUAUUUUUAUAAAUAAAUUAUUUUGAAUAAAAAACCAAAAUAAUUGAUUUGAUGAUGGGAAAAAUUUAAUCAUUUAUGAAAAUAUAAAAUGUUAGCAAGUUUUAAUUUUUUUUUGUAUAGCUAGAAUCACAGUAUUAUUUUGAAAUGAAUUUAGUAACAUAAUUUUUCAAUAUUUUGUGAGAGAAGUUAACAUGAAUAAGAACUACAUGAGUAAACUUAUAUAUAAAUUUUUGAGAAGACAAAUUUAAGAAAUGAAUAAAUUAGAAGUAGUGUACUCUAACACAAACCUACCCACCCCAAAAUUAAGAAAGCGAACGUUAAUAAAUAAGUAGUACUUGAUCUUAGGACAACAAUCCAAGGCUUUUACUUUCUCUAUCUUUGAUUUUUUUUCCCUGCAUCUAUAAUUUUUUUCUUUAAUUUUUUUUCAUUGUAAAAUUUGAAACGCUAUGCGUAAUAAUUCAAAAAAUAGAAUGUAUAAUAAUACUAAAAUUUGAAUUAUAAUUUUGAAUGGUCAGAAUGAAAUAAUUUAUAUAAUUUAAACAGUAUUUUUAAAUCACUGAUGAGAAAAACCAUAAACUAUUUUUAAAACAUUUAAUCUGAAAAAUGUAAUUAUCAAUUUCAGAUGUAAGAAUCCAUAAUAGUUUUUUUUUUCUUCGACUGUAAAAUUUUGUGUUUUAACUUAUGAAGAAUAACUUGCAUGUGCGUGCGUGUGAUGGAAGAGGGAGUAAAUCAUUUGGUGUUGUCGGCUCAACUAGUUGGUUCACAUUUAUUUGAUGUCCGCUUCUCUUAAUCCUUCAACUUCAAAACCUAAAUCUUAAAUAAAAAUAUUUUUUUUCUUGAACUAAUAAAUGUUAAAAGAUUAACGAAACAAAAUAUUUUUACACAGAUUAGUUUUGAAAAUACAUAUUAACCAAAUAUUUAAAAUCACAUAACCUAUAUGAUUUCUUUUAGUUCUUGCAUAUUUAUAAAAAAUAGUUUUGUAUUUUCGACUCUUAAAUAACACUGAUAAAUAAAAAAAAUAGCAAUGAUUUGUUACGUGUAAUGUACCAUGAUACAACUGAGAAAAUUAAGAGUUUGAUAUUUAGAAGAUAAUAACUAUUACAAGAAGAAGAUAAUAACUAUUACAAGAAAAUCAUGAAAUAGAAAUCAAUUUUUAGAGAUCAAAAUAAUUACUUGCAAUAGUAACUAAAUUAGAGACUAUUUUAAAAACUAAAAAGAAAAUUGGUUUCUAAAUUAGUUUAUAUUAUUGUUAAAUAGUUUCUAAAUUAGUAUCUAAUUAGCAACCAAGGUUUUAACUACCAAUUGUUUAGUUUCUAAAUUUGGUCUCUAAAACUUUGGUUGCUAAUUAGAUACCAAUUUAGAAACGAUUUAACAAUAAUAGAAACUAAUUUAGAAACCAAAAUUUUGUUUAGUUUUUAAAAUGGUUUCUAAUUUAGUUACUAUUACAACUAAUUAGUGUGGUUUUUAAAAUUUGGUUUCUAUUUCAUGAUUUUCUUGUAGUAAACUUUUCAACUUUGGUGAUGACCUAUGUCAUGCAUAGUUAAAUUAACUGAAAUAUGAUGUGAUUGGAGAGAGUUUCAAGCACUUUAGUUGCCUUCUCUUCAUAUUGCUGUUGUUUGUUAGUUUUGUCAUUCACAACUAACAACAUUUUUUUACUUUAAUAUACCGUUUCCACAAUAUUUAUAAGGCUUAUGAGAUCCAAUUUUAAAAUAAAGAUUAUUAGUGUAUUUUCCCGAGACCAAAUUUGAUGCCUAAUGAAGAAGACCAAUUAGGAAUCAUACCCAUUUAUAACUUCAUUUUAUCCCACUAUCACACAAAAUUAUGAAACAAAUAUUAAUAUGUAAAACCUAAUUUCCAUGUCAUCCCUAAUCACAAUCCUUAUAACAAUUUCUAUAUAUUUUAAUAUAAUUUAUUUUUGUACCUAUUAGUUUUAUUUUUUUAAUAAUUAUGUAGAUAAUAAUUUUUACAUUUUAUAAAUAAUAUUUUUAUAUAAACAAUUAAUAUUAACUUAUUAAUAUUCUUUUAUGUAAAAACUAUAUUCAUUAAUAUUAACAUUAUUAAUAAAAUCACAUGAAAAAGUAGUGUAAACUCACCACAACUUUAGUUAAAUAUAAAAACAACUGGAGUUGUGUCAUGUUAACAUGACUUUAUUUAAAAUUAAAAAACAAAUCUCAGUUUACAUUAAUCAAAGUUGUAACAAUUUCUUCUUCAAUAUCAAAGUUGUGUCUAGUUGUCAUAACUUCAAUUUUACAAUCUACGCUUUACGUUUUCUUCAACCUUCCACCUUUGAAUUUCAACAAGGCUCAUUUUCUUCAUAGUAACUCUUCUCUCCUAGCAGACCAACCCAAGAACUUUGAUCCUACAUACACUCCACAUUCUUUCUGCUCCAAAACAUUUGAUAAUAUUUUUCAAAUUACAAACCGAAGAAAUGAACUCCCCCAACCAACAAAACAUAAACCAGAAUCCUCCCGCAUCCAACAACCUACAAGAAAAAAAGCAAACCAUGGUCUUUUCUAUAACAAGCUAGAAAAUAUUAUUUCAUAAAGCAUAGCGGUAGAAUAACACUCAAUUACAUUUUAUAAUAUAUCACAUACAUUCUAAAGGUUCCAAGCACCAAUCUGAAUAAGAAAAAUCAAUUACAUGUUCCUUUGAAAUCAUCCAUGACCAAACCUUCAUUUGUGCAACCGCGAAAACUUCCAUGUGAUUGACUCUAUCAUUUUUAAAUCUCCCUAAUUAUAUCACAUACAACCAUUUCUAUGUUUCCAAAUCUCCCUAAUUAUUGUUAUCCAAAUACUUCUCCAAAUUAUAUUGCUUGUAGCAUUCAAGAAUGAUUAAUUGUCGACACUCCCAACCAAUAAUAACACAUCUCUCCCAUAUAAUUCAAACAAUUUUACAAUUAAAAAAUAAAUGAUUUAUAAAUUUUUCUUCCAGACCACAUAAAACACAUAGAUUAUUUAAUAAAACAACACCAUCGUCUAGACAAAUUAUCUUUUGGUGUUAAUAUCUUUUGUACACUCUCCAAAAGUUAUUUGUGCAGAUGGGAUAAACUUUAUUUUCCAAACAUGUUCGAAGAUUAAACUAAUUUAUUUUGGUUCAAUUUGAUUUAUAUAUUAAUAAAAAAUUUAAUCAAAUUUCUCAAUUUAAAAGCUCUAACAAAAUCUAUUUUAAUUAAAAUUUUCAAUUUUAAAGAUGUACCGAUGUAAUUUUUUAAAACUAUCUAUGAAAAUAUCUUUAACUGACAGGUGGCACCUAUAUAUAACAUUGACGACAAUUGGCUUGACAGGUCAGUUUGUGACCUAGCUAAUUGCGAGACAGCUAAUGGUUAUUCAUGUUUCAUAAAUAUGUACUUCUCUCAUAAAGAAGAGGAAAAUUAUACUUUCACCCCUAUAUUCUACUUCCACUCUACGAUCUAUGCUUUAAUAAUAUAAUAAAUUAAUAUUUUAAUUAUAUUUAUUUUAUUUUUUAAUUUAAAAUAUUAUUAUAUUAUCAUAAGAAGGUUCGAAGUAUGUGUUUUUUAGUAUUUGCACUAUCAAAGCAAAGUUUUCCUUUUUUUUUAACGGUAUAACAUCCCUCUUCUAUAAAAGCUGUUUGUGUAUGUUAGAUUAGAAUCACUGCUAAAACCUUUGAGCUUCGAAGUCCAGUGGAAUCUGAAGAGUUGAAGGUAAGUUGAGUGAAGUUGAGAAUUUUGUGUGUUGUGUAUAUUAUGAUUUAUUUAUUUUAAUUAUUCUAUAAAAUGGAUAGAUUGAUAUGUGUGUAGUUUAUGUAUUUUUAGACACAGAAAAAAAGUAGGUGGAAGCAGAGUUGAAAGGCCAGGAACAUAUAUUGAUACUGUUAAAGAAAAUGAGCAUGGUGGAUUUUCCCCGUGGAGAGGAGACGAGUAUGAACCAUGAUGACUUGGAAAAUAACCAUGUAGGAGUACAGCCUUCAAGGAAUGUGGUUGAAGAAAACAGAAUUGAAAGUGAUGAAGUUAAGGCACAUCAUCCGUGUUUGUUGCCAAAGAGAACAUACGAUUCAAUAAAAGAAAAAGAGGAUGAAUCUUGGAGAGAAAUAAUAGAUGAUCAGACUCUAAAGCAAAAGAGCCCUGGGGGAAACACGGUGCUGCAUGUAGCAGCUCUCUAUGGAAAUAAUAACUGUGUGGUAAGAAUAGUUGAAAUUGGUGGAGCAGAGCUUUUGACAGCAAAAAAUAUAAAUGGUGACACCCCACUGCAUGUUGCUGCAAGAGCUGGCCACAUCUCUACUCUUCGCAAGUUGUUGACUGCAGUUCUCCGUAAUCCAAAUUCAGAACAAGCCAAAGAGGCAAUCCUAGUAACCAACAACCAAGGAAAUACUUUGUUUCAUGAAGCCUUCUUGAAUGGUCACAAAAAUGUAAUGCAGAUUCAAUAUUCUUCACCACCACACUUCAGGAAAUGGGUUGUGGAAACUGCGUUUACUAUUACAAACAAUAAAGACAAAUCAGUUUUGCAGUUAGCAUUUGAGAAAAACUACGAGGACAUUGUUGACCAAGUGUUGUUCCCCAGUAUUAGCGAAGGUACAUGUUGCCACAAGCUUUAAACUUCUUCCUAUUAUUUUUGGGCUUUAUUUUUCCUUAAGUUCGCAAUCAUUUGGUUGGGAAUAAAGAACAUAUAUUAAUCAUAAGUCAACAUAACAUCUACCACUACUUUGGAAUUCCAUUUCUGCUAGCUUUUUUUUUUGUUAUUAUCCUUCCUAAAUUAAGAAAUUUGGUAAAUUUAUUAAUAAAUAAAACAUAUAUUAGUAAAAUUUAAAAAAAUGAUUAUUUAUGAAACUUAACUGAAUAGUUAAUUACAGAGUAAUAAUAAGUUAGGCCUUUUCAAUUUUGAAAUUAAUAUUUUAUUUCGAAAUUGUAUUUUUAAAUUAAAAUUUCUCAAAUGUCCAACCCUUUUAUUCUUCUCUCUCCAUCCAAUUAAUACACAAAUGUCUUUAAAGCAUCUCAAAAAAAUGUUCAGGGGAGUUUUUUUAAGAUGUAAAAAAUUGAAAUGUUAAUUAUUUUUUUAAUAACUUUAAUUGAUACGACAUUUUAACGGAUGGCAUAAAUUUCAAUGUGAAUUUUACAUAUAUAAUUUAUAAUUUUUUUAUAAAUUGAAAAAAUUACUUAGUAAAUAUUUCCAAUUCUCUAUAUUUUAUAAGUAUUUUUUUUUAAAUUUUAAACAAAUAUAUAUAUUAAUUAUUUACAUUAAAAUAAUAUUUUUACUCACAUCUAUCUCAUUGUGAGAAAACUAAAAAUCAUAAUUGCUACUUCAUAAUUUUGCAGUUCUCAUAUCAAUUAUAGUUUGUCAGCAUCUUACAGUUUUAUAUGAUAAUAAUGAUAAUAUGUUCGGUUAAAAAAAAAUAGUUGAUAUAAUAACAUUUUCAGGUAAAGAAAAAUCGUCUAAACUUAUAUUGAUAUUUAUUAUGUCCUAUCUAUAUAUUACUUUUUAAAAUAUCUUAUUGAGUUACAGUAUCCUUCCGCUCUCAUUCUAAUUCUGAUUUUGGUUAUGAAGAUGAAGAUGAAGAUGAAGAUGAAUAUGAAGAUGUAUAUGGUGAGGUCAAUUAGGUUAGAACUCUGAAAAUAAUUACUGUUUUUAAACGGUAUUUCAAAUUUGUCCACUGGAGUACAUGCAUUUAUUUAUAGACAAAUUUUCUUAUAAGUUCUUUUUGAAAAACUAAUUUAAAAUUAAUUAAUAACAGGUUAGGAGUUUUUCUUUUAUUAUUAUUUAAUGUACUUCAUUUUCUUAAAAAUUUAUAAUCAAUGUUCACGAGAAUGAAACUACAAAUAACACUACAUUACAAGGUAUUAAAUAAUAACUAAAUUUAAAGAUAAAAAAUAUUAAUCACUAUAUUAAAUAAAUUAAAUACUAAAAUAUUAUUUAUAGUGGUUUCUAUGAUUAAUAAAUCUUUUUAUUUAAAUUAAUUACUUAAGUUUUAAUGAUUAAUAUUUUAAAUUUUAAAUAAUUUAAAAUAUAAAAUAUAAAAUAGUAAGCAGUUACAAUUUUUGUUUUAAAAAUUAUUUUAUAAUUUUUUUAUUAAUAAUAUAAACUACUUUAAAUACGGUAGUUUUUUAAUUUAUAAAAUAAUUUCUAAUUUAAUUAAAUAGUAAUUAAUUAUUUUGACCUCUAAAUUUAUUUUUAUUUAAUAUUUUUUUUCGAGAAAUGAAGAUAUAAAUAAUAUUUACACCUGGAAUCUUAUAGUUUUCAAUAGUUAUCUGCAAUCAUAAUUGCGGUUAUUGCUAUUCUUCAAUUGAUGCACUGACAAUGAAGAUUGACAUAAUUGCAACAUAUUUUUCUCCUUCUUCAUAAUAACUUAUCCUCCUAUUUUAUAUAUAACUUAUCCUCUUACUUUAUAUAUAAUUUACAUAGAUGCCAUAGUUGUUUUCAUUAUUUUGUUGUGGAGAUAUUUUUAGACUUGUCUCAUGAGAAUUGUACAAAGAUAAUUUUAUUUUUGGUCUUUAUAUCUUAGACUAAAUAACAUAUAGUCACUAAUAAUGUAAAAAUUAAGUUAUGAAAAUUGUAUCUAAGCAUAAAGUGUUAUGUAUAGUAAGUUUUUCAUCGUUAUAAUACUUAAGUUAAUUAUGAUAAGAUGAUUUUUUUAAUUGGUUGUUAGUGUAAAAGCUUUUACACUCUUGAAAUGUUAAUUGGCAUUGGAAUCAUAAACACCCCUUAUCUUUUGUUAAUACAACUUCAGUGCUCAUUAAAGUGGUGGGAUUCAUUUUUGACCUUACUAUCAUUUUUAGUUUAUCUUUUGGAAAGAUGUUUGAGUAUAUGAAAAUAUGCAUUUUUAUAUUUUAUCCGAGGGUUAGAUCCUGUUUAUUUAUUUGCUUUCUACUGAUAAAAAAAAACUUCAGUACUACAAUCAGCACUCAAUUCGGAUAUUAAAAUGACAAGAAGGAGAAACAUGCGGAGGUUCAUACCAAGCGACCGAGCUCGAUCAUCACUUAUUAUGACAAUCUUUAAAAAAAAUAAAGGUAAUUUUUAUUCUAUAAUUGUAAAUUUUCUCUUAUCAUUUACUAAUAAAUUUAUUAACAGGAUACUAGAUCUGCACACUAUCUCUCCAUUUUCUUUCUGUGUAGAUGGAGUAAUCAAAUUUUAAUAAAGUUUAAAUAUUCAUAGGGAUGAUUUUGAAUUAUUUAAUAAUUUUUAAUUAGGUCUUACAGUUUUUUAAUUAGAUGAUUCAACUUGUUUUGUCUAUUAAUUGAACAUUUUGUUAACCGUUGUUAUGAUUACUUUUCAUUGAGAAUUAAUAACAAGUUCAAAACGAUGACCUUAAAAAGUGAGAAUUCUCGCUAAAUAUACGCUAAAAUGUCAAUAUCAUAUUUAUAGAUUAUUUAGAUAUUUAUAGUUAGUUUUCUAUAAUGAAAAUUACACAUAAAUACUUUUUUUUAUCAGCAAAAAACAAAUUAAUAAAUAAGAGAUAUUUUAAGGAUACCUAAACCCUUAUACAAAAAUUCUAUAUGAGGUACAAAACUUCUAACCUCCAUACAACCACUCAAGACCUAAAAACAAACACAUUAUAAUCAAGUUAACUAUCUCCUAGCACUAUUGACAGACUUCAUGCAAAUUAAAGGCUCGACGCACCAGCCUGAAAACGAAAAACAUAUCCCACGCACUUUACACACAACCCACGACCAGGCCUUCAUCUGAGUCAGAGUGAAGAUUUAUAAGUGAUCUAUCUUGCCACCUCUAAAAAUCCUCUUGUUCAUAUGGAACUACGACUCACCUACAAUUGCUAUCAACACACCACCCCAUAUCUGAUUAACACUAUCCUUUACCCCGCUCAUCCUGAAGCUUUUGAAUUUUUUCUUUAGCUCCCUAUGAUCUGUCCCUGCCAACCCCUUCCACUCAUAGCAUUUAGACCACACAAGCCAGGCAAUUCUACAUGUACAAAAAAGAUGGGACGUGGUUUCCCUUCCUCCCCGCAUAAACAACAUGUAAUGGAAGUCAUAUUUAACCCCCUUCUAACUAGGUUUGCUUUAGACACUACUUUGUCUUCCAGAACCCUCCAUGCUGUGAAAUGUGAAGAUGGUGGUGCGUUCAUCCUCCAAAAACCCCAUACAGCUCCCUCUCAGCCCCAUGAACAUCUUUUAGAGUAUUGUAUGCAGAUUUGAACGUGAACACUGCUAACUCUUUGUCUUUCCAAGCCCAAGAAUCCUCCUUAUCAAAUAUUACCCUUUGUUCCUCCAAAAUUUGCAACAACUGCUGUUCUUGAUUCCACUCUCAUUCAAACAGAUUUCUUCUCCAUUCGAUCUUCCAAAUCCACUAUGAAUUUUGUGACCACUCCCCCGCAUGCCAAAUAGUUGAAUCCUUGGUGGAGCAGAUAGUGAAGGGUCUCGGAAAGGCAUCCUUGAGGUUUGUAUUGCAUACCCAUCUAUCCUCCCAUAACCUUAUCUCCCUCCCAUUCCCAAUCUCCCGUGAAAAAGUAUCUUCAGAAUUAUCUUUCCACUCGUCAAGUGACUAGACCUCCUUUAGAUCCCUCCACCAAGGUGAAUUCAUGUGAGUUGAUUUUAGAUUGAUUCAUUUAGAUGACACUUUAGAUUUAAGAUUGAGAUUGUUAAGCGAUUAAGAGUGAAAAGCCUAAGGAAAAUUCUCACUGGACAUUAACUUAACAAGUGUUAAGUAGAUGUGAAGGUUCAUUUCCAUAAGGCCAAAAGGAAAAACACAAUUAAAGGUGAAGAUGAAUGCCAAUAUAGGUGCGAUAUUAAACCAAGGAAAGCUAAGCAAACAUAAAUGGCCGAAUUGAAUUCAAAGAGCAAAAACAAGAACAAGACAUAUUUUGGAAUUGAAAUUGGAAUGGAAAUGGAAUGGAAAACGAUGAGUGAAAGGAAACUUAUGAGAUGAAUUUGAGAAGGUGAAACACGCCACUUGGAUUGAUGAUUUGCUCCAAGAUAAGUGUGAAUGUUGCCACUUGAGAGCUCUCAAUUUCUCAUAAGAUAAGACAAAGGUUUAGGGAGACAAUACUCACACACUCUAACACAAUUUGUGUAUAGUAACUUUACUCUUAAUUCAACUUGUGAAUACAUGAGAUAGGCCUCCCUAUUUAUAGAUUUAGGAGCCUUGGAAAAGAAGAAAAGAGAGUAGAAUGGGAAAGGAAGAAGUGGUGCGAUUUUAGGUCUUGACUUUGGUCAAAACCGCACCAUCCUACGCAUUCUAGAAACUAGGGUUUCCUUUCUAACCUAAUGGACUUCUUAUGGGCCAAUUCUUAUGUCUUCACCUCCUAAUUAUGCUAUAUGAACAUACUCUUGCUUAUUCUACUAUUUGGACCCCUCAUGUGAGCCCAACUUAUUUACAACAUUUUUCUAAAUAUUAAAAAGACUAGCAGGAAGAACUUUAAGUGCUCUGGUCUUUGUCCAAUCCUCCCUCUAGUGAGGUAUCUAUUUUGAGAUACCUCACCAGAGUGGGCUUGGUUUGCACCAUGAAUCAUAAUUACUUUUUCUUUGACUCCGGAUAUCCCUUCAACCUUUGUACUUUGAAUCUAGAACCUUUUUCCCACAGACCCGUCUUUUCAAAGCCUAGGCGCCAAAUCCACUUUCCCAACAAGGCAAUGUUGAAACGCCUUAAGUUUAUCAUACCGAGCCCUCUCUCUUCUUUUGGCUCACAAACCUUUUUCCACGAAGUCCAUGCUAUUUUCAUGCUUUCUGAUCCCCACCCUCACAGAAAGUUCCUCUGCACCCUCAUUAUUUUCUUCAUCACCAUAACCAACAUUUUAUACAGAGACAAGAAAAACAGAGGAAGAGCGGACAACAUCGAUUUAAUCAGGCGAAGUCUACCUGCCCUAGAGAUGAACUUACCUUUCCAUUUGCUUAACCUUCUUCUCACCUUUUCCACCACCUCUUCCCAGAACUUACUUCUUUUGUGGCAUCCUCCUACCGGCAAUCCCAAGUAUUGAAACAGAGUCUUCAUUAUCUCGCAAUUCAAAAUAGCUGCAAACUAUUGUACCAACAGAGAACUGAAUCCUAUCCCUCUGACUUUGCUCUUCUGAAAGUUAACCUUUAGGUCAGAAGCUAAUUCAAAGCAGUUUAGAAUGACCUUGAUAACAAACAUACAAUGUGCUUCCGCCUUGCAGAAAAACAAUGUGUCAUCCGCGUACUGAAGCAUAUUAACUUUUAUGAACCUGCCUCCGAUCUCCAAGCUUUCUAACAAAUCUUUCUUGACCGCCUCCCUUAUAACUCCGGCUAAACCUUCAGCCACAAUGAGGAAAAGAAAUGGAGUUAGGGGAUCUCCUUAUCUCAACCCCUUCCUUGGUUUGAACACCUUAUUAGGACUCCCGUUUAUAAGCACUGACACUGAGGAGGAAACAAGACAUACUCUUAUCCAACCGAUCCACUUGGUGCAAAAGCCUAGCCUCUCUAGCAUGUAGAAAAUAAACUCCCAAACAACAGAGUCAUACACCUUCUCGUAGUCAACCUUUAAGAACAUGCAACUGCUGCUUCUCCUCUUUACUUCUUCCAUCAUUUCAUUUGCUACUAGAACACUAUCGAGAAUCCCUCUACCCUCCAGAAACGCGGAUUGUCUAGUAUCUAUGACCUUAUGCAUCACGUUCUUCAUCCUCAUAGACAUAAUUUUUGCCACAAUUUUGUAUAAACAUCCAACCAGGAAAAUAGGUCUAAAAUCAUUCAGGGGUUAUGGAUUAUCGACUUUAGGAAUCAAGGAAAUAAAAAAGGCAUUCAUCCCCCUUGGCCAUCUUCCUUCAUCCUCAAAAUUAUGAACUGCUCUUAUGAUGUCCUCCUUAAUCUCUUCCCAACAGAACUUGAUAAACCCGAAGUAGAAACCAUCAGGACCCGGGCUUUUGUCGCUAUCACAACUCCACACUGCCCUUUUAAUUUCCUCCUCGGAUAUCCUUCCUACUAACAAGGCAUUAUCUUCGUCUGCAAUUCUGUUGAACCUUGUGUUAUCUAGCCUGACUCGUUGACAAACUACUCCAUUAAACCUUUCUUCAUAGAACUCUCUGACCUUCUCUUUUACCACUCCCUGAUAUUCGUACCAGUGACCCUUAUCUUUCAACCCACACAAGCCAUUCCUCAUUCUUCUCCAAUUAAUGACCGAAUGAAAGUACUCUUUAUUCGAGUCUCCCUGCUUCAACCAUCUAAGCUGAGUCUUUUUUUGUAGAAUAACUUUCUGACUAUGAUUAUUUCGUUUUAGUUCAGAUAAAAGCCACAUUCUCUCCUCCCUACCUACCUCAUCCAACUCACUUUCAUCAUCCUUUGCAUCAGGCUCUUGUAUUCUCCUCUGAAGAUCCUCCCCUUGCUGGAAAACAUUGCCAAAGACCUCUCUUUUCCAAACUUUUAAAUCAGAUUUCAACUUCUUCAUCUUUUUUUUUUAAAACGAAAAUUCCGCUUCCUCGCACUUCAUCACUAGCCCACUUAUUGCGAACGAAAUCCUUGAACCUGUUGUCUUUAUGCCAUACAUCCAAACACUUGAAUGGUUUCGGGCCUUAGUCCUUGAUGGUUGUAUUCAAAACCAAAGCACAGUGAUCUGACACUGACCUGUCUACAACCUGAUAUCUGUUAUCCAGCCACUUAUCCAACCAUUCCUUUGACACUAAGAUUCGGUCUAUUCUACUCUUAAUUAGACCAUUUGGAUUAUACCAUGUAUACUUUCUUCCCGUCAUCGGAAUAUCAAACAACUCUGUAUUUUCAAUGAAAUCAUUAAACCUUCUUAUCUCCUUUCAGUGGUUACCUUCCCUACCCGCAUUCCUUCUUUAUCCUGCUCUCAUGAUAGAAUUAAAAUCUCCGACCAUUCACCAGGUCUUUGUAUUAGUCACCCUUUUCUUUUCUCGAACCUCAUCCCACACAACACUUCUAGCAGACAAAGGCCCAAAGUUGCAUAUAUUGACAAACCAGCUACAUCGCCCGUGCCUGCCUGCACUUGCCUCACGGUUUCUUCUCCUCCACACAUACCGUUCAUAAAAAUGAGUAAUACUUUUCCUUGCUUCUAAUUAUCCUCGCCGGAGACACCGCAGAUGCCGUCAUCGUUAGUUUUGCAGCCAUCGUCGUCAUCAUUACCAGGAGACGUGACCUGAGGCAAUGCUGCUUGUGGCACCCCCUAUCUGUUCAUCUUCCUUUUCCUUUGGGCCCAGACUCGAAAAAAUGUUAAGAACACACCCUUGACUUGAUUGGGCCUCAGUUGGCCCAUCUUCAAUUAGGUCAAAUCCAUUCCUCCUCUCACUAUCUGUUGCCUCCCCCUUAGUUUCCCUAUUAUCCUUCUGCACUAACAGACUCCCAACAUGCACCUCUCCCUUUCCCUCUUUUCUCAUGCAGUCUACGUGUUCCUCCAAAAGGGGAAACCUACAUUCACACCUAGAGCUCCUUCCACCAUUCGAACUGGAAAGGCACGCGCCUCCGUUCUGGAACGCCGCCUCGUUCAGCAGAAAUCUCACGGAGAACUCCUCACCUUGUUGCCCUUCUACACCAUUUAGGCCAUCGAAUUCGGAGCCCUCUGACUCUAAAAGCUCGUCUCCAAACUUAUCUUUUGAACCCUCGUUCGACACCCCAUUGCUCUCUACCCCCUAAUUGCAUUGGAAGUAACCAGCACAUGUGUACGACAAGAGGGGUUCCUCUUCGAAAAUAACUCGGCACGAGGUUUCAUUAAACCUCAUGUUCUUCACCAAGCGAGGCUCUCCACCCACAGGGAUUCUCACUCACAGCCUUGCAUAUUCAAGUAUUUCAUGUUCUGACGUUGUGACAUCAACCUCUACCAACGACCCUACUUGAGUUGCGACUUGUUCAAAGCAUGAUCUGUUCCAAAACCUGAGGGGUUUGAACCUCAAAGUUGUCCUCCCACGGUACAACCGAUUCAAAUAUUUCAGCCAACAACUUUUUAUUCUCUUUUAGCGAUUUUUGAAGAACCUCUUUCGAAUCUCCUGGCAAUAACACAAAAAGCCCCCCUAGGUACCUCACUUUGAUGAAGUUGAACCCUCCAUAAAAAAACUCUCAUUCACUGUCUGUACCUUCUCUCCAUCCACCACCUUUCCAAUAUAACAGUUCUUCAACCAUCUUUUAUCUUCCUCCUCAACUCUAAUGUGAACCCUAUUUUGUUCCUUGCCCCCUUGCACAGACGUUUCGUUUUCCUUCCUCGUGUUUUGGGCAUGCAUUUGACGGUUCACCCUACCCACCACCUGAGCGUAUGUUUGAUGAGGUUCCUUUUGUCUAAACCCUAAACCCACCACCUCUUGAAAUCUUACCAAGCCAAACCUCUGAUAUUUGAUAUUCAAUCUGCUUGAAAUAAAGAUAUCCUUAAUUCGUCCCCACUUCUAGAAAAUCUUCCACAUAUCCAUUUCAUUGUGAUCGUGAGGGAAGUUAGAGAAGAAAAACUAGCCUUCAUCAAAUCGUCUUUAGUGAGUGUGUCAAUUAUUGAAUCAUUACAAAAUAUGUUUGGUUUAUGAAAAGAAGAAAAGAAAUUUUAUAAGAUUUCUUAAAAAUUACUGGACAAUGCGCAUGUGAAUCUGACCUUACAUUCUACACACCACACAUGAGGGAGUGUGUACAUAAAUACUUAAUUAAAAAAAAAAUAAAGUUUAAAGAUUCAAUUAGAAAAAUGUUUUAUAGAAUAAAAAUUCCGUAGCUUAACUGAAAUUUAUUUUAAUUUUAAAAAUAAUACUUAAAUUCUUUCAUUUUCAAAAUUUUAUACUUACACCAAGUGAACAAAUUUAUUUAUUAUAAAGAAAAUAUUCAUUAUUGAAGUUUCAAAAUAUGGUGAAAGAAGAGAGAGAAAACUUUGUAUGCAUGUUAUUUUUUUUCCCUUUUAAAUAUUCAUUUUUUUUUUAAAUUUCCCUUUUUAAUUAGGAAAUUUCUUUUAGGAAACUAUGAAACGGAUGAAAUGUAAGAUGAAAUGUAACUAGUUAACUUAUUUUGGCAGUAAUAUUUAUUUAAUGGACAUUUUUUUUUCAUCAUUCCUUCUUUAUGAAAAGAAAAAUCAUCUAAACUUGAUAUAAUAACAUCUUUAUGAAAAGAAAAAUCAUCUAAACUUAUAUUUAUAUUUAUUAUGUUCUAUCUAUAUAUUAUUUUUUAAAAUAUCUUAUUAAGUUGAUCGUUGUCGAUGACCAAUAUCCUCCCGCUCUACUUUUUCUAGUUAUGGAGAUGAAGGUUAGAACAAUGUGGAAAUAAUAAUUGUCAUUUAAAUGAUAGUUCAAAUUUGUCCACAUAUUUGGGAGUAUAUGCAUUUAUAGAUAAAUUUUCUUAUAAGUUCUCUUAUUAUUCAAUAUUGUAUUUCAUUUUCCUAUAAAUCUACAAUCAACUGGUCGGGAGAAGGAGAGUUACAAAAGCAAAUCAUUAAAAAGAAAUCAAGUAAGUUUAGAUGUAACAAAAUAAUUAGAUUAUUAUAUUGAUUAAAUUAAAUAUUAUUUAAAAAAUUAAAAAAUUUAUUGGUAUCUAAAUUAGUUUUUAAUAUUAGUAAACUACUUUUAAAUUGAUAUUUAAUUAACUACCAACUUUAGAAUCUCAAUAAUUAGUACUUGAAAUCUUGGUAACUAAUUAAAUACUAAUUUAUAAAUUAUUUGUUAAUAAUAUAAAUUAAUUUAAAUACGAAUAAUAUUUUUAGCCUUUAAAAUAAUAUUUAAUUUAGUAAAUAUAAUAACUAAUUAUUUUUUAUUUUUAAAAUUGAUCAUGAUAAUAACAUAUGACUAGGAAAGAUAUGAAUAAUAUUUACCUUAUAGUUUUCAAUUGUUAUCUCCAAUCGUAAUUGUGAUUAUUGCUAUUGCAAAGUUUCCCUAAAUACGAACUCUUCAAUUGAUGCAUGGACAAUGAAGAUGGACAUAACUGCAACAUAGUUUUCCUUCUCCUUCUUCUUCAUAAUAACAUAAUCUCCUACUUUAUAUAGAUACCAUAGUUGUUUUCAUUAUUUUGUUUCUAGAUAUUCGAAUGGCAGGAACGACAAACAUUUAAAAUAUUUUUCUUAAUUUAAUUUUAUUCUUUAUUGAUGAAAACAAAAGAAGAAGAAAGAAGAAACAUCCGAAGAUUCAUACAAGAUGACCGAGCUCGAUCACCACUCAUAAUGACAAUAUUAAACCAGAAUAAAGGUAAUUUUUGUUAUAUAAUUGCUAAUUUUCUCUUAUCAUUGACUAAUCAAUUUAUUUUGAGGAUACUAACUAUUGGAGAUCUGGACACUAUCUCUCCACUAUCUUUCUUUGUAGAUGGAGUAAUGAAAUUUUAAUAAAGCUUAAAUAUUAAUAGGGAUGAUUUUGAAUUAUUUAAUAGUUUUUAAUUUCAUUCUUAGAGUUUUCUAAUGAGAUGAUUCAACAUGUUUUGUCUAUUAAUUGAACAUUUUUUUAACCAUUGUUAUUGUAAACAUGUACUUUUGAUUGAGAAUUAAUAACGAGUUCAAAACGAUGACCCUUAAAAAGUGAGAAUCUUCAUUACAUAUAUGCCAAAAUGUCAAUACCAUAUUUAUAGACUAUAUAUAUAUAUAUAUAUAUAUAUAUAUAUAUAUAUUUUUUUUUUUUUUUUUGCAGUUAGUUUUCUAUAAUUGAAAAGUACACAUAAAUACUUCAUUAAAAAAAAUACUAAGUUUAAAGAUUCAAUUAGAAAAAUGUUUUACAGAAUAAAAUACCAUAGCUUAAUUGAAAUUUAUUUUAAUUUUAAAAAUAAUAAUUAAAUUCUUUCAUUUUCAAAUUUAUUUAUUAUAAAGAAAAUAUUCAUUACUGAAGUUUCAAAAAUAUGAAAGAAGAGAGAGAAAAUUUUGUAUGCUAUGUUGCUUUUUUUCUCUUUUAAAUAUUCAAUUUUUUUAAAAUUUCCCAUUUCAAUUAGAGAUUUCUUUUAGAAAACUAUGAAAUGGAUGAACUCGGACAAGAUGUAAUGUAACUAGUUGACUUAUUCUCUCAGCAAUAUUUAUUCAAUGGAUUUUUUUUCAUCAUUUCUUCUUUCCUUAAAUAAUUGAUGUAUUUGCUAUUUGUCAACGACAUUCUACUUGUAAUUGGUUAUUUAUAAAAUAUGACAGGUAUUCUAGAGAAAAUAGUAAAUAACAAGAAAGAAUGGAUUCAUGUUAAGGAUGAAAUAGGAAGAAAUGCUCUUCACUAUGCAGCAUCUAGAGGUUACCUACAUGGUGUUGAGUCCUUGCUUCAACAUUGUCAUACCUGCAAUAUGGAAAAAGAUAACGAUGGUUUUUUUCCUCUUCAUCUGGCUUCUGCAUUUGGACAUACAGAAGUGCUAAAAAAAUUGCUUAAAAAAUGUCCAGAUCCUAGAGAAAUAGUUGAUAACAAAGGUAGAAAUAUUGUACACAUUGCAGCUAUAAUGGGAGAGUUUAAUGUGGUAAAGUACAUCUUGCAAGACACAAAUGAUGCAGUUAAAGAUAUGAUAAAUGGCAAGGAUUACGAUGGAAACACUCCGUUGCAUUUGGCUGCCUCACACUCUCGUCCAAAAAUUGUGCAAG
rnacentral:lncRNA from 1 species